GCUUCUGGGCCCGAACUGGAUGCUCCACGGACGCCUCUGGAAAGUUCGUCUGCGAAACCGCAGACUGUGACUCUGGUCAGCUCAUGUGCAACGGUAAGACUGGCAUUCCGCCGGCAACUUUAGCGGAAUUCACUAUUGCAGCAGGCGGAGGACAAGAUUUCUACGAUGUUAGUCUUGUUGAUGGCUUCAACUUGCCCAUGUCUGUGACUCCACAAGGCGGUACCGGCACCUGCAAGACGGGUAGUUGCGCGGCGAAUGUGAACGCAGUUUGUCCGACUGACCUGCAAAAGAUAGGGUCCGAUGGGAGCGUGGUUGCCUGCUUGAGCGCAUGUGUUAAAUUCGGUGACCCACAGUACUGUUGCACUCCGCCUCAAGAAACUAAAGAGAAAUGCCCACCAACAAAUUACUCUCAGAUAUUCCAUGACCAAUGCCCCGACGCUUACAGCUAUGCUUAUGAUGACAACAAGGGUUUAUUUACGUGCAGUGGUGGACCUAACUACCUCAUUACUUUCUGCCCAUGAUGAGCAUACAUAUAUAUAUGAACUAUAGAAAGGACAAGGUCUUUAAUAAAGAUAGGACUCUCAUGCAAUGUGUCGAUAAUUAGUCCGGCUCUAUAUUAAACGUUUGAUCUUUAAUAAAGGUUAGACUCUCGACAUGUAAUUGGUAACGUAUCGAUUAUUAUAGUCUGGCUAUGUAUCAAGCACUUGAUCUUCAAUGAAGAUAGAAUUGUCUACAUGUAAUUGAUAAUGUGUCGAUAUUAUUAUCGUCAAUAAUAAACAUUUUGAUAUGUUAACAAUAUACUUUUGCCAAACUUCAAUAAAAUAUAUAUGCGAAUAUUGAUAGUCCGGUAUUUAAUUAAAGAUAGAAUUAAUGUCAUGCACAAAGAAUUUUUGGAAAAUAUAUUGCACACAAAAUUUGUGUGAAAUAUAUAUUACCCCUCUUUCAUUAUGUUACAAUAACAGAAAAUUAUGAAUGAUUUUAUGUGAACAAAUGGUGUCCAGAUGAUGCAAUUAGGUUCAGUAGCAAAUGGUAAGUACAAUAACAUGUCAAAAUGGAUAAAAGCAUCAACUUCAAAUAAAUCUACAUUUUAAAUCGCAUGUCAUGUCAUGUAAUCUUCAAAUGUGAUUCAAAAAUUUGAUCUCCGUAAACUUAUUGAGAAUAAAUUGCAAUUAAUGUUGGAAAAAUUACCUCACCUAAGGACACUAGGCUUGGGAAAGCGACUGGUCGCCAAACUUCAAGCGACCGGUCGCAGAUGAAUCUGCCUAAAAACGACCCGUCACCAGGCAUCAAGUGACCGAUCACUGGAGACUCUGCCAAAAUGCGACCAGUCGAACUGUCUAGGAGACCGGUCGCUUCAGUCGUGUUGUUUUCGUUUUCCACGUGUUUUGAAGUCCUCUUUUCAUGUGCUAUUGCUUUCCACUUCAUUGCAAGGACUUUUUGGGUCACUUCAGAGUUAAAUGAAGGUUGGCAAGCUGCUGGAAAGCUGAGAUAGCAUUUUUGGUAUGUUGUUGACGUGUUUCAAUGAGUACCUACUCUUUGGCUCUAGAAAGGGUGGCUGAUGUGAAGGCAUAGGAUGGCUGGUGUGCAGGCAUUAAUGAUUUGCCUAAGCUAUGGUUUAUGAUGGGUGACUAAAGCCAUAAAUUGUUAAUGUAUAUAUUUUAAGUUUUUCUUUUGGCUUCCUUGACAACUUUGUAAUAAGAUUUCUAUUUUUAUUUAUCAAGCUCAAGUUUAGAUUGAGAAUACCUUCUCUAGGUAUUCUUAACUAACAACAAUCCUAUGGAGGUUCAAGCAAAUUGACAAAGGUAAAUUGUGCAUUGCAUAACAUUGCAUUAAACUGUUUUCAUAAAAUGAUGACUAGUCAUCUGUUUCUUGUAUGACUAGUCAUCCUUGCUCUGUAGGAUUUCCAGUUGGAUAACCAACUUUUUUGUCCUAUUCUCUUUUCUCUCUCUACUGCCAUGUGUGAUUCUGACCUAAGGGAAUUUUUGUCUGUAAAGGCUAAGGAAUUCCUCUUUGGGCAAUCGUCUCUUUUGGGUGGAAGUUUUGAAAAGUUUAGCUUGCCAUCUUUCGCUUCUACUUCCUCAAGAGAGAACCAUCUUAUUUUCAUCUAUGAGUUUUUUCAAAUUGAUUUCUUUUUGAAAAACUGCAUUUGAAAUACUAAUCUGCAUCUAGCUACUUAAAACACUCUCUCAUUUAUAUCCAGGUCAGAUUCAAGAUUGAUUUCUUCAAGAGUAUGGUUUCUUGAAGAAAUUGGUCAUUCUUAUUUGAAUCCAAAUUUUUGUUUCUGUUUGAGUUAGAGCUUGCAAGCUAGUGCCAUGGGAUGAACGAGCUGGAGAAGGAGCUGUUAUUGCCAUGAAGAACUGAGCUUCAAGCUUUGCUAAGUUGGAGAAGAAGAUUGCACAAAGGAGGUAUAGCUCAUCUUCCUAAAUAGAUCUAGUUUUUCCUUAAGCUUGCUUGUGUUCCUUUGUAAGAAUAUUUUUUUACUUAGUGGAUUGCCUGGUCGGUUGAUGACCCCCAGUUUUUUCAAAUUGUGGGUUUCUGGGUGAACAAUUUCUGUUUGCAUCUCUGUAAUUUUUCUGAGUUUGUGUUCUUGGUGGUUGACCAGUCAUCGUAUGAAUUAUGGUUGACUAGUCAUCAUAUGAAUUAUGAGUUUGUGUUCUUAGUGGUUGACUAGUAAUCGUAUGAAUUCUGGGUUUGUAUCCUUGUAGUUGACUAGUCAUCAUUAUCUGCUGUUUGGAGUUUGCUUGAUUAUGUUGUCUUCACACACUUUCACCAUAGUUGUUGCUAGCACAAGGGAUGCCUAGAUUGACGGAUCCUUCUGAGUGCCUAGAUUGUCACUAGUAAUUCUCUAGGCUUGCAGGUACAUCUUGGUAUGCUCUGUGUAUGUUAUUAUUUGGUUUAAUUCAUAUCUGACAGUUGACUAGUCAUAAGAGUAUUUGGUCAAGGUCUAGAGUGUGUGAAGUUCGUUGCGUUCUUGGUUGAAUAUCUUUUAAGUUUACCCAUCGUCACCUAAGUACCAAUUGGUAUCAGAGCACUAGCUCUUAACAUAAAUAGAGAGAUCCUUUGGGUGCUAAUUGGUAUUAGGUGUGCAAACAUAAAAAUGGAUCAAAUUGCUCCUUGCAUUCAUGAUGAGCUUGCCUUGUUUGUUAAGAAUUAUAGAAGGGUUGUCAAAGAUAAAACCAAAGUAAUUAGGAAUUGUCAGAAUCUUCCUAGUUCGUCUACAUGUGUGUCUCAAGACAAUGUUUUUAAGGAGAUGAAUUUUUUGGAAUCUUAUAGCUUUAGGGAGAACAAAAGUUUAAAGGGUCUUGUAAAGUGCUAUCUAUGUGGUGGUGUUGGUCACAUUAAUGUGGAAUGUGCAAAUAACCACAUGACAGAGUCUAAUGGGAGAGAAGAGUCAAUUAGUGCACAAUGGAGUGAUAAUGAUAGUGAUGAUUCCAAUAACUAUAUCACUUCAUCUUAUGAAGAGGCAAAUAAUUUUGCCUUUAUUGGUUCUGUUCAUAACUCUAGCCUUGCUAGCGUUCAUGUAGUUAAGGAAGGAAAAUCUGAUUCAGGAAAUGAAUCUGUGUCUGGAGAUGAUAGGCAGGAUGACCAGUCGUACAGGGAACAUGAUGACCAGUCAUACAAGGAACAUGAUGACCAAUCAUACUUGGGUAUGUGUGAAAAGUAUGAUGUCCUUUUUACUGAAACUUCCAAGCUUAAGGAAAGAAAUCUCUUACGUGAAGGGAAGGUAAAGAACCUGAAAAUUCUUAAUUACACUUUUAAAGAAGCAAAUAAUGAAUUGAGUGAAAAUGUUGAGACCUUGGAGAGUGAAAGGGAUUCAUUGAUUGUCAUUAAAAAUGACAUUUCAAACCAAGUGAAUGUGCUCAAGGAAAACAACCUGAUUUUCCAAGCCUUCAACAAGAACUUGUUGACUCAGAUAAAUGAGGCAAAUGACGCGAUGAUCAAGCUUACCAUAGGGGCUAAAAAAGUGGAUAAAAUGUUGAAUAUGGGUAAGGUUCAUGGAGACAAAACUGGUUUUGGUUAUGGUUAUUCUAGUUUAUGUGUUCCUCCUCCUUUGACCACAUUUGUCAAGGAGUCAAAUACAAAGUUUGAUGUUUUAGAGCCAACUAGGACUCAAAGAUUCAUUCCUACUUGUCACCAUUGUGGUGUGAAAGGUCACAUUCGACCUAGGUGUAAUGCUCUAAAGAAUGUGUCUAGAGCAACCAAUGCAAAUGGCUUUAAGAACCAUAUUUCAUCUCUUAAAACAUGUGAGCUUGCAAAAUCUGUUCUUUGUAAAAGGGAUAAACAUUCUUCACUUUUCCCAAAACCAAAAAGGUUCAUUCCUACUUGCCAUCAUUGUGGCACAUUAGGACACAUAAGACCAAAGUGGUUUGAACUUAGGAAUUUUGAGAAAAAGUCUUUUGUUCAUUUCAAGAAAGUAAAUGAUGACUCACUUCAAACUCAAGUGAAUGAUCUUCUUUAUAAAGUUGUCAAAAUUCCUAAGGUGAUCUCUUUGCCUCAUAAAGUCUCAAAAGUGAAGCAAGUUUGGAUCAAGAAGGAAGACCAUGCUCUUCCUCAUGUUGGUGACUAGUUUAUUUAUUUUAUGUAUCUAGACCAUUCUCUUGUUUGUGUGUGCUUCAUGGAGUCUAGAUACAUUGUCAUGCAUUUGAACCUUGUUCUUUUGUUUUAUUAGGAUUCAUUUGUUUUAUUAUUUUUAAAUGUGGUCAUUGCAUGCAUGUCUUUCAAUCAUCUCUCUCACAGUGCUUUGAAUCUGGGGUGAUCAACAAAAUUUCAUGUUCUUUUGAACUUGUUCACAUUUAUCUUGUUGGUCUUGUCCAAACAUUUUCCCUUGGUGGCAAAGAAUACAUCCUAUCCAUUGUAGAUGACUUCUUUGGGUUUAUUUAGGUCUCACUCUUGCUUGAAAAAUCAGAAACCUUUCAAAGGUUUAAAUCUAUCUACCAUCUUUUAUAAAAAGUUAAGAUGACUAGUCAUCUGCCUCUUGUUAGAAUUAGAACAGAUCAUGGUUCUGAGUUUGAGAAUUCUCAACUUCUGAAAUUUUGCGAGUUGAUGAGAAUUAAGCAUGAGUUCUCUGCACCUAUUACACCUCAGCAAAAUGGUGUUGUGGAAUGAAAAAAAAAAAUAGAGUUCUUGUUGAGAUGGGUAGGGUGAUGCUCAAUGGCAAAAAUUUUGCUAAACAUUUUUUGGGCUUACAUCUCAAACAUGGUGUUUUUGAGGUAUGGUGCCAAACAAACUCCCUAUGUGCUUUGGAAAGGUAAGAAACCGAAUGUGUCUUAUUUUAGAGUCUUUGGUAGCACAUGUUUUAUCUUAAGAGAUUGGGAACACCUUGCUAAGUUUGACUCUAAAAGUGACAAAGGAAUUUUUCUUGGGAAUUCCACUUUAAGCCGAGCCUAUAGAGUAUACAAUUAUAGGACCGGAACCAUCAUGUCAAUAUUGAUGACUUUGCUGCCUCUUCUGAGAUGGCAUUAGAUGAGGAUGGUCUUUUAUUUUCUAUGCUUGAGGAAGAAUCUCCAUGUCUGGAUCUAGUGGUUGACCUGUCAAUCUUUAGCAAAUCAGUUGACCAGUCAACUCUUGACAAUUAUGUUCCAGUUGACCUGUCAACUUGUCAUAAUCAACCUCAGAAUCUCAGCUCAUCUGUCCCUGUUGAAAACUCUCUAUAGAAGCAAGAUAAGAAGCCUUCUCUACUUGACUGCAAGUAGACCUGACAUUUCCUAUAGUGUAGGAGUUUUGUGCUAGGUUCCAAAGUGAUCCCAAAGAGUCUCAUUUGUUUGCUGUCAAAAGAAUCAUAAAAUAUGUGAGUAGAACUUUUGAGUUUGGGUUGUGGUAUACUUAUGACACUUGUGUCAAUCUUGUUGAGUAUAGUGAUGCCGAUUGGGCAGGUUGUAGUAAUGGUAGGAAAAGCACUUCCGGGAGGGUCUUUUAUGUAGGCAACAACCUUGUUGCUUGGCAUAGCAAAAAAUAGAAAUCUAUCUCUUUAUUCAUUGCUGAAGCAGAGUAUGUUAUAGCUGGGAGUUGCUGCACUCAACUCUUUUGGAUGAGACAAAUGUUGGAAGACUAUGGUCUUGCUCAAUCAUGCUUUCUAAUCUAUUGUGACAACAUGAGUGCUAUAGAUAUUUCUAAAAAUCUUGUUCAACACUCUAGGACUAAGCAUAUAGACAUUAGACACCAUUUUAUUAGAGAUCUUGUGGAAGACAAAAUUCUAUCUUUGGAAUUUGUUCCCUCUGAGAAACAGCUAGCAGAUAUACUCACCAAGGCCUUGGACUUUCAGAAACAUGUCAUACUUAGGUAGUCCAUUGGCCUUUGCUCAAUUGAUUGAUUAGCUUGUCUGUUCCUUAUCUUCAGCAUAUUGCAGAACUGUUGACUAGUCAUCUUCGUUUUAGUUGACUAGUCAAAUAUAAAUUUUUGUUUACUUGGUGUGUAAAUGUUCAAAACAUCUAUUUCUUCUGAUCUCUGAUGGUGCAAAGUUUGAAUCAUUUUAUGCUUUGCCUGAUUUGUGCAUAAUUCCCCCCUUCUAGUUUGGAGUCAUUAGAUGAAAUUUUUUGGUGUUGUUACGUCCUCUUAGUGAGACAAGUGUUGUGAUCCAUUGUGGACAAUCAUUGUUAUAAUCUCCUAUCUUAUCUCACUCUCUCAAGCAAGUGUGACCAAUGUAGUCACGACUCUAGGAAGGUAUAAGGUGAUUGAAGAAUCUAGAGCAAGAGCCACAAAAUUGGGCCACUCAAGCACUUAAGUCUGGGAUGUGCAAAUAACAAACAUAAUAAAUGGCCAGAUUGAGUGAUGAAAAUCAAAUUGGUUGAGUCUAUGCUUUGAGUUUGUCUUGAAGGUUCAUUAUAUACUUGUCUCUCCAAGAGUGAUAUUUCUUCAUCUCUUGUGUUUUUCUUUUGGCUCUGAACCUCCUCUGUCCAUCUUGCCGUAUCUCUGAGCAUGAAAUCUAAUUCAUAUUCUAUCUAUCAGAGUUAGUUGCAAUUGUUAUGUUUGCACAUGUGGUUAUCUUCUCUCUCUCUUACUUACUGUGCUUGAAGAUUUGGACUAGGCUAUAGUAGCUAAUAUAUCAUUGAUCACUUGAUAUAUUUUCUAGUUCAUGUUUGUGUUUUUAAAGCCAAAAUCAUGUCUUCUUCAAGGUCGAUGCUAAAAUUGCUGCUUGUUAUGAUAUUGCUUGAGUUCACUAGUCAACAUAUGCUCAUGCUGAUUGUGGUUGACUAGUCGUCUGCUUAAUAGGGAUCUUGUGCCUUUUGAUGAAAUUAAUUUUCACUCUCUAAGAACCAAGACCAUUGGUUAUGACACAAAGCACAAAGGCUCACUUGUCUUCUCCUUGUCUCAUUUACACCUUCUGUUUCAAUAUUGGUACUGUGUUUAUGUGUGGUCGUGUUUGGAUGAUGCCACUUUGGUCUAUGACCCUAUCUUAAUAAGUUGUGUUACCACAUUCAAUGAUUUAGCCUAACAUAAUUCUUGAAAUCCUUACGAGUCUGUUGUGCUAUAUAAGUUUAGGAUUGUUGGCUAAUUUAUUUUGUUGGGGAGUUUCUUUGAGAUGCAUAUGUUUUGGCAACAUUCUUGCUGGUUGUUUUUAUCAUUUUCAUACAUCAAUGUUGCCUUCCUAAGCCUUAUCUCGAUUGAUUUGCUCUCUUUUGUUCUUGGCUGUGUCUAUGAGGUUGUUGGUCUUUUGAUGCCACCUCAAAUUUAGACAUGCGUGACUAGUACAUUUCAUAGUCCACUCUCUUCUCCUUGUGCUUUUUGGAAGCUAUGUUGUGUUUUUUGGACAACCUAGAGACUUAUUUCUUGUAUUCUUUCUCACAUGUCCUCAAUUUUGAGGAAAAAAUUAGGGUUCAUCUUGCAUGGUGCUUUCUUCAAAUUUGACAUUGAUUGACGCCUUAAAUUUUAAAAUCUUGGUGCUUUGUCUUGAUUUUGCACUAUGGUGUGUGAAGAAAAAUUCAUUGGUUGUCCCUUGUUUUGAUAAAUAUGUUGCUUAAACUCUGUCUUUUUAGGGGAGUUUCUUUAUGUGUAAUGUGUACACAUUGAAAUUAAAUUCAGCCACUUGAUUUUAAUUGCUUUAGGUAUGAUUCCUUGCAACUUGUGCUCCAUUUCUUAUUCUUUUUAGCCUGAUGCAAUUUUGUGUUUGUUGGCUAUUUGCUGAAUUAGUACGUCAAAGGUUAAUUCCUUUAUGCUAUAUGAUACUGAGGGGGAGUAUGUUUUCUAAAGGGGCGUUUUGCUUUAGGGGGAGUUUCUAUUUGUGUAGUGGUUUUAAUGUUGUACCCUCUAUAGGUUGAUAGGGGGAGUUGUCUUGUUGUGUUUUUGAACAAAUGUUGUUUUACUUUGUAAUCAAAUAUGUCAUGUGCAUAUUGUUAAAAUCUGAUUAUGUGACUUAUGUUUAAUUCACUUGAUUACUGUUUCUCUAUAUUUGCCUUUUUGCUCUUUCCUUAUCAACAUGGGGGAGAACACUCUCAACCCUAUAUUGCAUAUAUUGCAUAUUGCUUCAACUUUAUGUGAUAUAAUAUGCUUGUCUUGUGCUUGGGAGUUUGGUUGUUGUUUUGCAGGUACUUCAUGUCAUCAUCUCCUUAGGUUUGGUUCAAGAAAAUUGACAAAGGUAAAUUGUGCAUUGCAUAACAUUGCAUUAAACUGUUUUCAUAAAAUGAUGACUAGUCAUCUGUUUCUUGUAUGACUAGUCAUCCUUAUUCUGUAGGAUUUCCAACUGGAUAACCAACUUUUUUGUCCUAUUCUCUUUUCUCUCUCUACUGCCAUGUGUGAUUCUGACCUAAGGGAAUUUUUGUCUAUAAAGGCUAAGGAAUUCCUCUUUGGGCAGUUGUCUCUUUUGGGUGGAAGUUUUGGAAAGUUUGGCUUGCCAUCUUUCGCUUCUUCUUCCUCAAGAGAGAACCAUCUUAUUUUCAUCUUUGAGUUUUUCCAAAUUGAUUUCUUUUUGAAAAACUGCAUUUGAUAUACUAAUAUGCAUCUAGCUACUUAAGACACUGUCUCAUUUAUAUCUAGGUCAGAUUCAAGAUUGAUUUCUUCAAGAUUGAUUUCUUCAAGAGUAUGGUUUCUUGAAGAAAUUGGUCAUUCUCAUUUGAAUCCAAAUUUUGGUUUCUGUUUGAGUUAGAGCUUGCAAGCUAGUGCCAUGGGAUAAACGAGCUGGAGAAGGAGCUACCACUACCAUGAAGAACUGAGCUUCAAGCUUUGCUAAGUUGGAGAAGAAGAUUGCACAAAUGAGGUAUAGCUCAUCUUCCUAAAUAGAUCUAGGUUUUUCUUGAGCUUGCUUGUGCUCUUUUGUAAAAAUCUUUUUCUACUUAGUGGAUUGCCUGGUCGGUUGAUGACCCCCAGUUUUUCCCAAUGGUGGGUUUCUGGGUGAACAAUUUCUAUUUGCAUCUCUAUAAAUUCUGGGUUUGUAUUCUUGGUGGUUGACUAGUCAUCGUAUGAAUUCCGGGUUUGUGUUCUUGGUGGUUGACUAGUCAUCGUAUGAAUUGUGGUUGACUACUCAUCAUAUGAAUUCUGGGUUUGUGUUCUUAGUGGUUGACUAGUCAUCGUAUGAAUUCUGGGUCUGUAUCCUUGUAGUUGACUAGUCAUCAUUAUCUGCUGUUUGGUGUUUGCUUGAUUAUGUUGUCUUCACACACUUUCACCAUAGUUGUAGCUAGCACAGGGGAUGCCUAAAUUGACGGGUCCUUCUGAGUGUCUAGGUUGUCACUAGUAAUUCUCUAGGCUUGCAAGUACAUCUUGGUAUGCUCUGUGUAUGUUAUUAUUUGGUAUAAUUCAUAUCUGACAGUUGACUAGUCAUAAGAGUAUUUGGUCAAGGUCUAGAGUGUGUGAAGUUUGUUGCGUUCUUGGUUGAAUAUCUUUUAAGUUUACCCCUUGUCACCUAAGUACCAAUUUCAAUUGGUAUCAGAGCACCAGCUCUUAACAUAAAUAGAGAGAUCCUUUGGGUGCUAAUUGGUAUUAGGUGUGCAAACAUAAAAAUGGAUCAAAUUGCUCCUUGCAUUCAUGAUGAGCUUGCCUUGUUUGUUAAGAAUUAUAGAAGGGUUGUCGAAGAUAAAACCAAAGUCACUAGCAAUUCUCAUAAUCUUCCUAGUUCGUCAACAUAUGUGUCUCAAGACAAUGUUUUUAAGGAGAUGAAUUUUUUGGACUCUUAUGACUUUAGGGAGAACAAAAGUUUGAAAGGUCUUGUAAAGUGCUAUCUAUGUGGUGGUGUUGGUCACAUUGAUGUGGAAUGUACAAAUAACCAUAUGACAGAGUCUAAUGGGAGAGGAGUCAAUUAGUGCACAAUGGAGUGAUAAUGAUAGUGAUGAUUCCAAUAACUAUAUCACUUCAUCUUAUGAAGAGGCAAAUAAUUUUGCCCUUGUUGGUUCUGUUCAUAACUCUAGCCUUGCUAGAGUUCAUGUAGUUAUGGAAGGAAAAUCUGAUUCAGGAAAUGAAUCUGUGUCUGGAGAUGAUAGGCAGGAUGACCAGUCAUGCAGAGAACAUGAUGACCAGUCAUACAAGGAACAGGAUGACCAGUCAUACUUGGGUAUGUGUGAAAAGUAUGAUGUCCUUUUUACUGAAACUUCCAAGCUUAAGGAAAGAAAUCUCUUACUUGAAGUGAAGGUAAAGAACCUGGAAAUUCUUAAUUGCACUUUUAAAGAAGCAAAUAAUGAAUUGAGUGAAAAUCUGUCAUGAUGGUCAGUUUGCUUUUCCUGAUGAACAACUCCCUUGCUCCCUACUUAUCUCUUGAAAACGUGGCAUGCUUAUCUCUUGGAAAGGCAACCUUCUGUUUGGGCCUAAAUUGGCAUGCCCCGCCCAAAAUUGAAAAGCCCAUGUCAAAAUUUUGGCAGCCACCAAAGUUUAUCUUGAGUUUGGGCCAAUUCUCGGCACGCCCAGCUUGUUUUUUUAAAAGGGCUAGAAAACAUAAACAUUUGGGCUUUUUAUCUACAAAGGAUUAAAAGGAACCAACACAGCCUUUUUCACACCAUGUGAUCUCUACCCCAAAAAAAGACAAGUCAGUAGAUCUUUUCUCUAAGAACCCACGUGACUACCUGACUUUGAAAAGUCAAAAAUUUCAGCUAUCAUAGGAGAGUUGACAGGGAGUUAAUGAAGGCAAGUAUAAAAAGAAUACAUCUCUAAAUCUUUUUUCAACUAAUAUUUUCAGCCAAAAGAUCAAAAUCCCUUUAUAUAUAUAUAUAUACAGAAAAAUUCUGCACCAGAGCAGGUGUCAUUUCCAAGGGAUAAGCUGACUACAUUUUCUAAAAAGACAAGUAGGGAGCAGAGAGUUGUUCAUCAGGAAAAUCAAACUAACCAUCAUGGUAGACUGCAUUCUUACCAAGGGCAGUUAAAAGAUUAAAAAGGGAUUAGGUUUUCUUUCAGGAAAAGCAGGGAAGUAAUCACCAUAAAGAACUAUCUGUUGAUGGCUUUAUUUGCCAGAAUAGAUAAAAUUCCAUUUUUCUUGGCAUUUAAAAUAAAAAGAUCUUCCUUUUUGAAAAUCUGCCACCCAUUAUUAAAAGAUUAGAAGCCCCACUCCAACAUUUUCUAUAAGUAUGAGAGGAGGUGAACAGAUAAAAAGACAGCAAAAAAAAAAAUCAAUCAAGACAAAAACUGUCAAAGUCACAAUUGACAAACUGAAAAAGAUCCAUUGAUCUCAAAAGCCUUCAAACACUGAAGCAACCAAAGCUCAUUGAACCACAAGAAACAAGUUAGCUAGAAUUCAAAAUCUCCGAUUUCAGUUCAGUUCAGAGAAACAGUUAUACAAAGCGAGAUUUCUCUCGUUACAAAUUUGGUUAAGCAUAAGCCAAAUCAAGCAGAGUCCGGGUUUUUACAAAUAUGAAAACCUCAAAAAAAUUGUGGAAAGCCCUGAUCAAGCAGAACAAGUAAUGUAACAACCCGAUCCGAAAUUAAUUUUUAAUUAUUAAUUUAUUAUGGAAAAAGACUAUUUUCCCCCUAGAAUAUUUUAUUAAGUCUAAAGUUGACUUUUGACCGGGAAGGAAUUUGGAAAUUUCGAUUGUACUGUUGUGUAAAUCACGUUGAAACGAGUCCGUAGACACAUAGUGAGCUCAAAUUCGAGUUGUAACAAGGAAAAUACAAUCAAAAUUCAAGUAGGGGCAAAAACAUAAUUUUUGAAAACUGGAUUUUAAAAUCAGAAAUCUCUCUUCUCUCUCCUUCGUGCAUCUUCUUCUCUCUCUCUCUCCCCGACAUUUUCUCCCUCUCUCUCUUUGAAACUUCGGCCACCGUCCACGGCCAGCCAUGAGACCGGUGCCAAAACAACCGGCCUGGUCCCCCCAUCGAACCCCAACCUCCCUCCGUCACUAGCCAUUGUCUCAGCCACCGGAAAACCAUGAAAACAUGCCGGUUUUCGCACGAAAUUUCAAUCGGUCAUUCUCCGUCCUCCGGCCACCAUUUUCAGUGAUCAAGGUAUGAAAUCUCAUCUACUCUUCGAGCUCUAGCUGCCUGUGGGGUAGGAAUUGGUUGAUUUGGCAUGUAGGAAAACGAUUUUGGAACUUGGUUUUGGGCCGAUUUCGGGUUGAAAUUCUGGCUACUUUCGGCCAUUUUUCGGGGUAGGUCUAAGAACAAAAGUGGCUUCAAUCGAUGUCCUGAACCUAGGGUAGGAGCCUUGGCCCGUAAUUUUGAGAUUUUCCGGUGAGUGUUAUUGCUUUGGGCACCCACGCGCUGCCGGCACGUGCGGCGGUGCGUGGGCAAAGCGGUGACGCCCCAUUUCAUCCUGAUGUGAUCCUUGUGUUGUCACGAGUGCGUAGGUGUGCUCGGAUUCCAAUUCGGAUGUCGUUUGAGUCUCUAACGGAUUUCGCCUAUUGCGCAUUAUCCGGGUUCGAUGGGUUCAAACUGUUGGAUCGACUUGAAUUUAAUAUAUGUUGAUCUAGGUAUUCCUAGGAUCGUAUAGGAUUUCGCGGAUCAUGAAUCAGAGUCCCGGAUCAAUAAUUCAAAGUUUAAUUAAAUUAUAACCGUCUGAUCGCAUGAUUGUGAUCAAUCUGACUGUCCAAUUCGGACCAAACUUGCAGAACAUCGUUAUUAAAAUAUGUGGAACCUAUAGGAACUCUCGGAUCGAUAAAUGAAGGUCGUGAACUCCACGGGGUCUCGGGUUGACCAAUAUGGAAGUUUAUCACUUAGUGAGUCUCGGGUCUUUUUAGACAAUUCUAACUGUCCGAAAUGUUUAAGUGGGCAUAGGAAUAAUCUUAAAUUGGGUACACGCACUUUUAGAAGCCAGGUAUCAGGGUUUUGGAAUUAAAUGAUUAUGUUGAGUAUUUAUAUUAAUUAAAUAUUUAUUAUGGCAUAAAUAGGUACUCAGGCACCAGUUGACCCGCAGAAGGGACCUUCGAAAGGUCCAGCUAGCUCGGACGCUCAGUGAGCGGACUUUUGUUUUCUAAAUGAUUUUAUGCAAAUGAAUUUCAUUGUUUGAUCUUGAAUAAGUUAUUAUUUGUUUAUGGCUUUCCAAGCAUGAUUGGUUGAUUGUGAAUAUUUUUGUUAUUUUUUGUUUAUAUGUAAGUUGAGCAUGACUUGGAAAGUAGGAAAUGAGGUGAUUACUAGAUUGAUUGAUUUGAUGGGAAGUAAAAUUAUAGUUUCCAAGAAUGGCAACAAGAUUCAAGAAUAGAAUGAAGAAUAGUUUUAUAAUCAUUUUUAUAAUCUUUAAUCUUUUUUUUUUUUGAGAAUAUAUUUAUUUUAAAAACCACCUUAUGUACCCAAGGUUGCCUCGGAAUAAAAGUUGCCUCUGAAUAAAUAUUGCCUUCGGAAUAAAAUUGUUGCCUUCGAUAUAGUCAGCGCGCUUGACAUUUGCCUCAUGAGCUUCAGGGAUGCCCGGACCGUGGGAGUGAGGAAUGCGGAUCAGGUUGACUAAAGGUCUCCCAAAUCUUGCUAGGGUUGCGGCUCGGGUUGACCUUGUAUUACCGAGACCUGCUAGGACGUGUCACGAGGAAUUAAUGGAAAAUAAAGGAAUUGACGGAUAUAAAUCCAUACACCUAGGUGGGAGGAAAUUAUUAUUUUUCAAUGGUUUCAAUUGUUUUCAUGAUUUGAUUGGAUGCAUGAUCGAUAAUAUAUAUAUAUAUAUAAAUACGCAUGUUGAUUUCAGUACGAAUAUAGAACAUUGAGAUAAUAGAGUUUUCUAACUGUUUUUACGGAGGGCUUAGUAUGUUCGUAUGCUAUUUUCUAAACUUUUAUUUUUUCUCCACUCACAUGUUUUUCAAUGUUUUGCGCCCCCAAGUAAUAGUCGUGUACCAGAGUGUCACCAUAGGGCUGUCACUUCUUCUCAUCCAUCUAUUUUGCUACGUAGGAUCUCUUUGUUAUCAUAUUAUCCCUUUGUAAAUUCUAAACUAGCAGCUCUGAUAUUGCCCUAGGUUUUCUGUAUGGCCUAAGGCCGUUUAGUUUAGUUGAAUUAUUUAGAUGUAAAUUGAAAGCAUGCUGGUAGUUGGGUUAUUUAUUUAUUUAUGCUUUUGACAGGUUGAAAUGUUGGGAAAUGAUCAAAUUACAGGAGAGGUUCUGUCGAAUUUUCAGUAGAGGUCGAACUUGUAAUAAACCUGAAUUUAAACUAGAAGGGCAAUUUAGUCAUUGUGCCCGGCGCCCGCCAAGUGUUAGACACGCACAGGGUUCAGCUCGGAUUCCAAAGUGAAAUUUAGGUCGGGUCCUUUCAGGUACUACAGUGUAGUUCCAGCUCAGUAAUCAUCAAAUCCAGCCACUUCUACCCCUUCCAGACUGAAGAGACUCCAAUUCUGCCUAUUCAAAAAGCCUUCCAGGGCUUGAAAUAGCCAAACUCGAUCGUUGGUAUCGAUUUAUAGCUGAAACUUGACAGUUGAAGGUGUUGAUGGUCCAAUCCAGCACAGAUAUACCCAGUCCAGUCUAGAUCAAAAGCAGCUAUCCAGGCCGAAAUUGAAGUCCAAUGCUUUUUUUCUUUUUUUUUUCAGAGUUGGUCUUUCCUUUUCUGAGCUUUGUAAAAGGAAAUUUUGCCUAAAACAGUUCACUUGUUUAUCAUUUAUUCUGGCCAGAACUACCAGUUUUUGUACUAUGAAAAAUUAUGAAGUUCUCACCUGUCUGAGGCAAGAAAAGAACUUCCUUGGGAAAUAUUCCUCACCCAAAUUCACAAUCGUUUGUUUAGAAAUCAAUAACUUGGGGCGCAUGUUAUCUAUUUUUAAGAAGUCUGCUAGGGUUUUCAUUGCUAGCAGUGGCACGCUCAUGCACAAAAGAAAGUUGACUAGUUGACCACCAAUGGUUUUCAAGCCAAUGGGGAACCUUCCCCUACCAUCACAGGAUCAGAAUCAAAAUAGGUGAACACCUUCCUUGGUGCAGAGCUUCCCUGUAUGUAAUAAAAGAGAUUUGAUCUUCUUUCUUUGGCUGCAAAAAUGGAGAAGUCUUCCAGUAAGACCUGCCUUCAUUAACUCCCUAUUAACUCCUCUGUGAUAAUUGAAAAUUUUGACUUUUCAAAGUCAGGAAGUCGCGUGGGCCUUUUUGAGAAAACAUUUUUUUGUGAGAAAAAGAUCUGCUGACUUGCUUUUUUUGGAGUUGAGAUCAAGUGGUGAGAAUUUUUCAGAAGAGCCUUAGGUAGGCACCACACCGGUGUCCGAAGCUUGACGAUUGCUUCUUCCACUUUGUCGUCUGCAGGUUCUUUCCUUUCCGAAUAUCCUCACCUUCCCCCUUGCUAAAGACACACCAUAUUACUCUAAGUUGACCCUCUCCGAAGAAGAGCCUCAACACCUAUAGUUGCACAUUUAGACUUCAGUGGCAUAUCCUGUGCUGUAAAUUCUACCUCUGUUUGUUCGUGGCAGCUUCUUCUCCUAGAGUGGCACUUUCUACAUUGGCGAAGGAUGUGAAUAUUGAUCUUUCAUAAAAAACAAUUUGACAGAAAACAAGAAAUAGACAAAUACAUAGAAUUGAAAAAACAAAUAAAUAUUCAAACAAAAAAAAUAAAGUAAUUUUAUUUUAUUUGUUUUUUAUUAACAGAAGGAAGGAUGCAAACUAAGAACCUCUCUUAAGUUGAAAUUAGUGUCGGCCCUGAACAGGGGCAGUCAGUGCAACUACUCUGGGUCCACUGUCCAGGGGGUCCAAAUUUUUUUAAAUUUUAAUUUUAUAAAGAGGUAUAUUAUAUUUAUUAUAUAUUCUUUUAAUAUUUAAAAAAAAAAAAAGUAACAUGGGCUAUUUUUUAACUCUUUUAAGCUCUAAUUGAUUGCAAAUUUGGAAGUUUUAAGUUUGUUGUUGUGGAGGGGGAUUUCUCAAAUUCCAAGUUAUGUUGUUCUUUAUUUAUUAUUUGAAGUAUUAAAAUUUCAUUGGAUUUCCUUGUACUGUUUCUGAUUUCAAGUAGCAAUGAUUCCUUAAAAAACAAGAAUUUGAAAGUCAAAAAAGAAAAAGAAAUGAUUGAAUUGUUAAUUACAAAUAUUUAUCUUGUUUCGGCAUUAGAUUUGAAUGUAUGAAGUGUAACCUCUUAUUUUAGAUUUUUAUAUAUUGAUGUUUGAAUUUAUAUAAUUUAUAUAUUUAUCUUAAAUGUUAAAUUUUUAGUUAAUUCGAAUAAGUUAAAUCUUGAUUGAAAAAUGAGAUUGAGUCUGGCAAGGCAAAGGCAUUGUUUUCGGCUGGAUUGGCUCCACAUUGGUUAUGGCCUACAAUUGGGUUGAAUAGAGAGGAAAUUUAGUUUUUUUGCAGGAGGUGCGUGAUACUCUUUUUUCUUGACCGGAUUUUCCUCCACAGGGGUUUUCAUGGCAAGGUUUUAACAAGGCUACCCGAGAUGCAUCUCCUUUCUCCAUAUUUUUUGGGGUCCUUUUGUAUCUCAUAUUGAGUGUUACUUAAAGUAAUAAAGAUUUUUCAUUUGAUAAAAAAAUAAAAUAAAAUAAAAUUCAACUCAUAUAAAUGUUGAUAAUUAUAUUCAUGAUUAGUUCGAUAUCCAAUUAUAGCUAGCCGAUGAAAUUAAAGUAUUGUGUAAAUAUGUUGUCGUUUGUGAAAAAGAAAUACAAAAUAAUCACGUUAAGCCUUGAACAUAUCCGUCACAAUAAUCAAUUUUGUCGGAAUGGAGAUAGACCUAGUAGAUGGACAUAUUGGUAUCCUUAAUUUAAGAAGAAAAAAAAUGUAAUAGUAGAUAAAUUGAUAUAUAUGGAGCCAAAGUAAUUGAAGGUAGUUUUGCAGCCAAAUUAAUUUAGCCAAACGACGACUUCCAAAUUUCAUGAUGCUGGUCUGUGGAAAAUUGAGACUCAUUAAAGAUUACUUGAAUGUCUUGGAGUCUGCAAAGAUAGAAGACCAAAAAGACUUGAAUCUGCACCACUUGUCUUUGAGGAAGAAAAGUCCAAUAAGAAGGUUACAUACGUAUGCAAGAUAACCAAUAAAAUGUCACAUGGGAUAUGUAUAAAUUUUGAUUUAUUUUUAUUUUUUAUACAAAUGAUAUUAGUGGCAAUUUUUUUCUUCACGUCCUGUGGAAAAGAAAAUGUAUAUCCCUGAGUGUUGAAAAUUCUAGCUCUGCUUGUUCGUGGCAAUUUAAGGGGAUCUAAUAAAACACAUUUCAAUGGCCUUAUAGUUCAGUACAGUUGCACAUUUAGACUUUAGUGGCAUAUCCUGCGCUGUAAAUUCUACCUCUAUUUGUUCGUGGCAGCUUCUUCAUGGGUUGUCCUCGGCCAACUACUAAAACGAAGGACAUAUAUCUUCAUAGAAAAAAUUAAUUUGGGAGUUUUGAAGUAAUAACUUGGUUUUUUUUGUUUUGGGUAAAUUACUCAAAUGGUCCUCAAACUUGUACUCGAUUUAUAUUUUAGUCCCUCAAUUAAAUUAUUAGUCCAAAUGGUACAUAAAUUCUACUUUAAUCUCCCAUUUGAUCCAACCUUUAAUUUUCCGUUAGAUUUAACCAAAUUUUAGGGUAAAUAUGACUUUUCAUAAUUAACAAAUAAAAUAGGGUUAAAACAAAUAAAAAAUUAUCAAAUAAUUGAAGAAAAAGAGAAAGAAAAAAAGAAGAAGAAAAAGAUCCAACCCACCCCUGCCCCCCUUCGAUUUCUUCUCCCCCAUUCCCACAGACCUCUCCAUAUGGGCAUAAAUCCCCAAAAUCCUCGCAGCAAUUUUGGUGUCUUGGAGGGUGAGAAAUUGACAGUGGCUGUGAUUUUGGGAGGUGGGGUUGGCGGGUGAUGAGGUGGGGAGGAGGGUGGUGGGUGGUUGUCUCUCAACAACAAAGGGAAAUCAAGGGGGAGGGGAAGAGGGUCUGGUUCGUUGUUGAAUUGGGGUUUUGGGUUCGUUGGGAGGGGUCUGUGGAAGAUUUUUAUUUUUAUUUUUCUCUGUAGUUGCUGGCUCGGUUGGAAGGUGGGGAGGAGUUGGGGUUCUGGGUUCCUGGGGCCUGGGGUGGAGCGUGGUUGUUGGAUGGGUUUAGGUGGAGAGUGGUUGGGGGUUGGAGCUUGAGGGUGGUGGCCAUGGGGGAAUGGAGAGAGAGACAGAGAGACAGAGAUACAGAGAGAAGGAACACAAUCUUCAAAACCUUCCCUUGUGGAACACAAUCGGCUUUAUUUCAACACUGGUACUGCACGUGGGAGUUUCAGAGCCUUUAUAUUACUGGAUGCAUAGACGUUUCCAUGGCAACUACUUUUUUGAAAACUAUCAUUCACUUCACCGUUCCUCUCCUCUCCAAUACCACUGCCCUUUACAGGUAAGAUCAAAUAUAUGAGCACAGACUUACAAAUUCUUUUUUUUUUCCCCUCUUUAGUUAUUUUGACUGAUUAAUUUAUCAAUUAUUUUUGUUAAUAUUUUUGUUCAGCUGGAAGUGCAACACUUCUGGAGCAUCUGGUUUUAAGUGCAAUUGUUGGAAUUCCAGUUCUUGGUACCACCCUGAUGGGUUGUGGAGAGAGAGAGAGAGAGAGAGAGAGAGAGAGAGAGAGAGAGAGAGAGAGAGAGAGAUUUUAUUUCAUUUUUCAAUAUUUAUUUAUUUUUAACACACGAAAUGACCAAUUUAUCCUCAUAUUUAACAGCAACAUUGACAGAAUGUAAUGGUAGGACCAAUAGAGCGAUUAAUAUGUAGUUAAUGUACCAUUUAGACUAAUAAUUUAAUUGAGGGACCAAAAUGUAAAUCGAGUACAAAUUUAAGGACCAUUUAAGUAAUUUACCAUUUUGUUUAUCUAUAUAUAUAAAGCAAAAGGCAGAGAAUGGUGAAACAUUCAAAAUACCAGAAAAUGCCCUUGGUUAAUGCAAAUAUUAAGAAUUCAAAUUAUUAAUUAAAUGAGGAUAAUAUAGUAAAUUCAUACUUUUUCAUAUUUAAAAAAAUUAAAAGAAAAAGAAAAAACAGAUAAUGUAUCCUUUUUUUAUGGAACACAACUACCCAUUAUCUUUUUUAAUUCUAAAAUAAAUUUACUUAUUUUUUUUAAAAAACCUCUCGCAAGCGCGAAAGCGCCUGCAGAGAGGCUAGUUAACAGAAAGAAGGAUGCAAAUUCGGAAACCUCUUUAGUUGAAAUAUACUUUUGGAAUGUGGAAGUAUAAGACAUUUAAGUGAUUUAUUUAGUUCUUUUGAUCUGAGUUAGGGCACUUAAUUAAGAUUAAGUAGUUUUUUUUUGGUUUAAAUAGUAUUUGGCUGAACUUAAUUGGGAACCAAGACCUUUAUAGACUCUACCCUCAUAGUCAGACGUGAGCGGAGUUUGGACAGGCUUUCGUCUAAAAAAUGAUUAGGAUAAAUGUUCAAAUGGUUAUUUAUAUGACUUAGUUUUUUAGAGAUCACUUUUGAAGUUUUAUAUCAUUGAAUUAAUGAUGAGUGGGCCACACAAUGAAUCCCUCAACUAUAUAUUUAAAGAAUCCAUCAACUGAAUCCUAUUAAAUGUAAAUAUUGCGUGAUAAACAUGUUAUAUAUACAGUAAAAAUUAUGUAACUAGAUAAAAAAUUUACGUUUGUUAACUACAAAUCUAUGCCAAAAACAAACUCAGCGAAAAAUCAACUUGAUAAGUUCAUAAGACUAGUUGUCUUGUCACUUGUCAUCGCAGCAGCCAUAGUCCUGCAAAAGAACAAAAAGUUAGGCCCGCACUAAGCCUAUAUAACUAUAAAGCCCAAGCUCAUCAAAUUCGAAGCACAGAAAACUAAGACAUUCCGAUGAUGAAGACCCUAGUAGCAGUCCUCAGCCUCAGCUUAACCCUCCUUUCAUUCGGAGGUAAACAAGCUUCUUAUUUUCUUUAAGUUUUUCAUUUUGGGCAAACGAUAGAAAUACUCAUUGAUCUUUUCUUAAAGUCGAAGCUUCUUAUUUUCUUUAAUUUUAAUUUAAUAUUUGUUCACAAUAAGUGUGGUUUGUGAUUACUGCAUCAAAUUAAGUGUGUUUUACUUUGCAUGGCAGGUGCACAUGCAGCGACAAUGUCUUUCAAAAACAAUUGCCCCUACACGGUCUGGCCAGCCUCCUUUGGAAAUCCUCAAUUAUCAACCACAGGGUUCGAGUUAGCAUCCCAAGCUAGCUUCCAGCUAGACACUCCGGUGCCAUGGAGCGGCCGCUUCUGGGCCCGAACUAGAUGCUCCACGGACGCCUCAGGAAAGUUCGUCUGCGAAACCGCAGACUGUGACUCUGGUCAGCUCAUGUGCAACGGUAAGACUGGCAUUCCGCCGGCAACUUUAGCGGAAUUCACUAUUGCAGCAGGCGGAGGACAAGAUUUCUACGAUGUUAGUCUUGUUGAUGGCUUCAACUUGCCCAUGUCUGUGACUCCACAAGGCGGUACUGGCACCUGCAAGAUGGGUAGUUGCGCGGCGAACGUGAACCUAGUUUGUCCGAGUGAGCUGCAAAAGAUAGGGUCCGAUGGGAGCGUGGUUGCCUGCUUGAGCGCAUGUGUUAAAUUCGGUGAGCCACAGUACUGUUGCACUCCGCCUCAAGAAACUAAAGAGAAAUGCCCACCGACAAAUUACUCUCAGAUAUUCCAUGAACAAUGCCCCGACGCUUACAGCUAUGCUUUUGAUGACAACAAAGGUUUAUUUACGUGCAGUGGUGGACCUAACUACCUCAUUACUUUCUGCCCAUGAUGAGCAUACAUAUAUACAUGAACUAUAGAAAGGACAAGAUCUUUAAUAAAGAUAGGACUCUCGACAUGUAAUUGAUAAUGUGUCGAUAAUUAGUCUGGCUAUUAAACGUUUGAUCUUUAAUAAAGGUAAGACUCUCGACAUGUAAUCGGUAACGUGUCGAUUAUUAUAGUCUGGCUAUGUAUCAAGCAUUUGAUCUUAAAUAAAGAAAGAAUUGUCCCCAAUUGAUAAGGUGUUGAUAUUAUUAUCAUCAAUAAUAAACUUAUUGAUAUGUUUGUUAAUGUAUGCAUUUUGGGUUUUUCUUUUGGCUUUUCUUGACACAACCCAUGAAGAAGCUGCCACGAACAAAUAGAGGUAGAAUUUACAGCGCAGGAUAUGCCACUAAAGUCUAAAUGUGCAACUGUACUGAACUAUAAGGCCAUUGAAAUGUGUUUUAUUAGAUCCCCUUAAAUUGCCACGAACAAGCAGAGCUAGAAUUUUCAACACUCAGGGAUAUACAUUUUCUUUUCCACAGGACGUGAAGAAAAAAAUUGCCACUAAUAUCAUUUGUAUAAAAAAUAAAAAUAAAUCAAAAUUUAUACAUAUCCCAUGUGACAUUUUAUUGGUUAUCUUGCAUACGUAUGUAACCUUCUUAUUGGACUUUUCUUCCUCAAAGACAAGUGGUGCAGAUUCAAGUCUUUUUGGUCUUCUAUCUUUGCAGACUCCAAGACAUUCAAGUAAUCUUUAAUGAGUCUCAAUUUUCCACAGACCAGCAUCAUGAAAUUUGGAAGUCGUCGUUUGGCUAAAUUAAUUUGGCUGCAAAACUACCUUCAAUUACUUUGGCUCCAUAUAUAUAUCAAUUUAUCUACUAUUACAUUUUUUUUCUUCUUAAAUUAAGGAUACCAAUAUGUCCAUCUACUAGGUCUAUCUCCAUUCCGACAAAAUUGAUUAUUGUGACGGAUAUGUUCAAGGCUUAACGUGAUUAUUUUGUAUUUCUUUUUCACAAACGACAACAUAUUUACACAAUACUUUAAUUUCAUCGGCUAGCUAUAAUUGGAUAUCGAACUAAUCAUGAAUAUAAUUAUCAACAUUUAUAUGAGUUGAAUUUUAUUUUAUUUUAUUUUUUUAUCAAAUGAAAAAUCUUUAUUACUUUAAGUAACAGUCAAUAUGAGAUACAAAAGGACCCCAAAAAAUAUGGAGAAAGGAGAUGCAUCUCGGGUAGCCUUGUUAAAACCUUGCAAUGAAAAUCCCUGUGGAGGAAAAUCCGGUCAAGAAAAAAGAGUAUCACGCACCUCCUGCAAAAAAACUAAAUUUCCUCUCUAUUCAACCCAAUUGUAGGCCAUAACCAAUGUGGAGCCAAUCCAGCCGAAAACAAUGCCUUUGCCUUGCCAGACUCAAUCUCAUUUUUCAAUCAAGAUUUAACUUAUUCGAAUUAACUAAAAAUUUAACAUUUAAGAUAAAUAUAUAAAUUAUAUAAAUUCAAACAUCAAUAUAUAAAAAUCUAAAAUAAGAGGUUACACUUCAUACAUUCAAAUCUAAUGCCGAAACAAGAUAAAUAUUUGUAACAAUUCAAUCAUUUCUUUUUCUUUUUUGACUUUCAAAUUCUUGUUUUUUAAGGAAUCAUUGCUACUUGAAAUCAGAAACAGUACAAGGAAAUCCAAUGAAAUUUUAAUACUUCAAAUAAUAAAUAAAGAACAACAUAACUUGGAAUUUGAGAAAUCCCCCUCCACAACAACAAACUUAAAACUUCCAAAUUUGCAAUCAAUUAGAGCUUAAAAGAGUUAAAAAAUAGCCCAUGUUACUUUUUUUUUUUAAAUAUUAAAAGAAUAUAUAAUAAAUAUAAUAUACCUCUUUAUAAAAUUAAAAUUUAAAAAAAUUUGGACCCCCUGGACAGUGGACCCAGAGUAGUUGCACUGACUGCCCCUGUUCAGGGCCGACACUAAUUUCAACUUAAGAGAGGUUCUUAGUUUGCAUCCUUCCUUCUGUUAAUAAAAAACAAAUAAAAUAAAAUAACUUUAUUUUUUUUGUUUGAAUAUUUAUUUGUUUUUUCAAUUCUAUGUAUUUGUCUAUUUCUUGUUUUCUGUCAAAUUGUUUUUUAUGAAAGAUCAAUAUUCACAUCCUUCGCCAAUGUAGAAAGUGCCACUCUAGGAGAAGAAGCUGCCACGAACAAACAGAGGUAGAAUUUACAGCACAGGAUAUGCCACUGAAGUCUAAAUGUGCAACUAUAGGUGUUGAGGCUCUUCUUCGGAGAGGGUCAACUUAGAGUAAUAUGGUGUGUCUUUAGCAAGGGGGAAGGUGAGGAUAUUCGGAAAGGAAAGAACCUGCAGACGACAAAGUGGAAGAAGCAAUCGUCAAGCUUCGGACACCGGUGUGGUGCCUACCUAAGGCUCUUCUGAAAAAUUCUCACCACUUGAUCUCAACUCCAAAAAAAGCAAGUCAGCAGAUCUUUUUCUCACAAAAAAAUGUUUUCUCAAAAAGGCCCACGCGACUUCCUGACUUUGAAAAGUCAAAAUUUUCAAUUAUCACAGAGGAGUUAAUAGGGAGUUAAUGAAGGCAGGUCUUACUGGAAGACUUCUCCAUUUUUGCAGCCAAAGAAAGAAGAUCAAAUCUCUUUUAUUACAUACAGGGAAGCUCUGCACCAAGGAAGGUGUUCACCUACUUUGAUUCUGAUCCUGUGAUGGUAGGGGAAGGUUCCCAAUUGGCUUGAAAACCAUUGGUGGUCAACUAGUCAACUUUCUUUUGUGCAUGAGCGUGCCACUGCUAGCAAUGAAAACCCUAGCAGACUUCUUAAAAAUAGAUAACAUGCGCCCCAAGUUAUUGAUUUCUAAACAAACGAUUGUGAAUUUGGGUGAGGAAUAUUUCCCAAGGAAGUUCUUUUCUUGCCUCAGACAGGUGAGAACUUCAUAAUUUUUCAUAGUACAAAAACUGGUAGUUCUGGCCAGAAUAAAUGAUAAACAAGUGAACUGUUUUAGGCAAAAUUUCCUUUUACAAAGCUCAGAAAAGGAAAGACCAACUCUGAAAAAAAAAAGAAAAAAAGCAUUGGACUUCAAUUUCGGCCUGGAUAGCUGCUUUUGAUCUAGACUGGACUGGGUAUAUCUGUGCUGGAUUGGACCAUCAACACCUUCAACUGUCAAGUUUCAGCUAUAAAUCGAUACCAACGAUCGAGUUUGGCUAUUUCAAGCCCUGGAAGGCUUUUUGAAUAGGCAGAAUUGGAGUCUCUUCAGUCUGGAAGGGGUAGAAGUGGCUGGAUUUGAUGAUUACUGAGCUGGAACUACACUGUAGUACCUGAAAGGACCCGACCUAAAUUUCACUUUGGAAUCCGAGCUGAACCCUGUGCGUGUCUAACACUUGGCGGGCGCCGGGCACAAUGACUAAAUUGCCCUUCUAGUUUAAAUUCAGGUUUAUUACAAGUUCGACCUCUACUGAAAAUUCGACAGAACCUCUCCUGUAAUUUGAUCAUUUUCCAACAUUUCAACCUGUCAAAAGCAUAAAUAAAUAAAUAACCCAACUACCAGCAUGCUUUCAAUUUAGCCAUACCCCCAAGAAGCAAUUGAUGAAGUCCGGAAUGAAUGGGCAGAGUUUGUUUGCCUUCAACUGGAAUAUGGGAAUUAUUGAACACUUGAUAUUUAUGUAUAAUGUACAAAUUUUGUCUAUAAUAUAUAAUGUAAAAAUUUGUUGAGGUUUUCUUAAAGUAAAAACAAAAACAAACAUACAAAAUGCGUUACCGACGUGUGAUAAUUUUCCAACGACGUAAUAAAGUCAAAGGGUUCAGGGUAGUACUUUGUAACGACAGCGGUUAAGUCGAGGAAUAUAUAUUUUACGUCGGAUAGUUAAAUAUCCACCAUCGUUUCUCAUUUAAACGACGUCAUUUUAACAACUUAGACGUCUAUUACAAUUUACAACGUCUACAAUUUAUUAACACCGAAGUGGUUUGUUGUUGUGAUAAGAAUAUUUUAUUAUUUUUAUAUCAAAAUAUUCAAAAUAAAUUUAAAAUAAAUCAGAAAAAUGCAAAGUCAACUCCUAUGAAGUCAUUGAUAUAUUGUCUUCCCCCUAAACCUUGAAAAAAUUCAUUUUGAAUAACAAAAAUUUAAAAUGAACAUCCAAAACAAAAUUGUUUUGAUGAGUCAUAAAAUCACUUCUAGUUUUAUGGUUUAGGGUUUAGAGUCUAGGGUUUAGAGAUUAGGGUUGUUAUUUAUUGGGGUUUAUUUUUAAAGUAUAAUUUUUCGGUAGUCUAGGGUAUAUAUUAGGCUGUAAAACCAUAAACCCUUUUAUAAACUUAAUUUUUAAAAUUAUGUAAUUUAGUUUUAAGGGUUUAGGGUAUUAAUUGUUAACGACGGUGGUUGAGUCGUGGAAUACAUAUGUUACGUCGUGAAGUAAAUUAUCCGACAUGGUUUCUACUUUAAACGACGUCAUUUUAAUAUGUAAGUCGUGUAUUAUAAUUUACAACGUUUUCAAUUUCUUAACCCCGACGUGGUUUUUCAGUCGUCUUUAUAUCAAAAUAUUGAAAAUAAAUUUAAAAUUAAUCCGAAAAAUGAAGCGUCAAAAUAAACGGCGUUACGUUCAGUAUUUCCGUCGUGGAAUAUUACAUUUACGUUGGUUCUUGUAGAACUUUCGCCAUGGUUUUUCUUUCGACGUUUUAAAGAGCGCGCGCUCUAAAAAUUUUCGCGCGUCCUAAAUUUUUUUAUAUUUGGCUCUUAAUCUUAUUCUUCUAACCCUGAACCCUAAAAUUUUCAGAUUUCGCGCAACAUAACAUUUCGCUCUCUCACUUCUGCUCUAAUUAAAAGUUGCUCUAAUUAAAAGUUGCUCUGUCACUUCUGCUCCGUCGAAUCUGUGAGCUCGUCCAACCUGUAAGUACAAACCCUAUCUUCCCCUUGUAAAUUCAUUGAAUGAUAUUAGGUUGUUUUGUUAAAGGAUUUUAGGUAUAUGCUUUGCGAUCUGUUAAUAAUGUGCUUAUAAGUAUGGGUUCAUGGAUUUUCUGUUUAAUGGGUUCAUGGAUUACAUUAUCUGUUAUGUUGAAUUGGGAAUGGAUUUAAUUUUGUCGGAUCUUUUAAUCACCCUAUGUUAUGUUGAAUUGGGAAUGGAUUUAUUGUUUUCAUGCUUGGUUUCAUGUAUAUGUUGUUUUCUUGCUUGGUUUCAUAUAUAUGUUGUGUUCUUAAUGGGUUUUGGGUUCUUGAAAAUAAACUGAGACACGACGCCUUUUUAGGCAUACGACGACGAUUACACGACGGUUUAUGAAAAAACCGUCGUUGUAUUACUUAUACACGACGGUGUUUUCAUAAACCGUCGUUUGUAUUACUUAUAUUAGACGACGUCUGUUGAAAAUCCGUCGUCUAUAUAUGCCAAAUACGUCUGUUUUUGUUUAAAACCCGUCGUCUCUGUUGUGUAUUACUUGCUAUUAGAUCUUUGUAUAAUCUGCUAUAGUGAUGGUCAUUGCCUGUAUUUUCACUUUAUUAUAGAUAAUAGGUUAUAGUGUCGGAGAUGGAUAAGUCAUGGAUGCACUCGGAUAGAAGAUCGAAGGCAUAUGAGUUUGGGGUGGAAGCAUUUUUGAACUUUGCUGUAGAAAAUCUUCUAACUACAACACAUAUCCGUUGUCCAUGUGUUAAAUGUGUUAAUUUGAAGUUGUUUGGGGUUGGAAUUAUAAGGGAUCACUUAUACUUUAAUGGAAUUGACCAAAGCUAUAAGAAUUGGACAUUUCACGGAGAACCUUGGGAAGCAACUACUAAUUCUAGUAGAAAUGUUGAAGAAGAUGAUGGCCAUAGUAGGUACAGUUAUUGAUAUGGAUGAUAAUGAUUUUGGUGAUUUUGGUUCGGAUCCGUAUGAGUUUGCCAAUGUGAUUGGGGAUGGAGAUCAACCAGUGUACCCUGGUUGUAGAAAGUACACGAAGUUAUCGGCAUUAGUGAAGUUGUAUAAUUUGAAGGCAAAACAUGGGAUGAGUGAUGUCUGUUUUACAGAAUUAUUGAUACUUCAAGGCGAUUUGCUUCCAGAAGGAAAUACAAUACCAACCUCCAUGUAUGAGGCUAAAAAGACUUUGUGUGCAUUGGGGCUGAGUUAUGAGAAAAUGCACGCAUGCCCCAAUGAUUGCAUCUUGUAUAGGAAGGAGUAUGAGGAUUCAACUAAUUGUCCUACUUGUGGUAUCUCAAGGUGGAAGGAAGGCAAAGAUUCAAUCUUGAAAGAGGGUGUGCCAGCGAAGAUGGUGUGGUAUUUUCCUCCAAUUCCAAGGUUUAAAAGGAUGUUUCAAUCACAUGAGACAGCUAAGAGUUUGACUUGGCAUGCUGCUAGAAAAUCAAUUGACGGUCAGAUGUCUCAUCCGGCGGAUUCCCCGUCUUGGAAACUUCUUGAUGAUAAAUGGCCUGAGUUUGGUAAUGAGCCGAGAAACUUGAGAUUGGCUCUUUCAUCUGAUGGAUUCAAUCCCCACAGUUCUCUAAGUAGCAGAUAUAGUUGUUGGCCGGUUAUCUUAGUUACAUAUAAUCUCCCUCCAUGGCUGUGCAUGAAACGAAAGUUCAUGAUGUUAACCUUAUUGAUUUCCGGUCCUAAACAACCCGGAAAUGAUAUAGACGUCUACUUGGAGCCUUUGAUUGAUGAUUUAAAAUCUUUGUGGGAUGGGAUUAGAGGAGUGUAUGAUGCACAUAAUGGAGAAUACUUUACACUCAGAGCUGCAUUAAUGUGGACAAUUAAUGAUUUCCCCGCCUAUGGAAACUUAUCUGGUUGUGUUGUUAAAGGAUAUAAAGCUUGUCCAAUAUGCGGCGAUGAUACACCUAGUCACAGGUUGAAAAAUGGCCACAAAAUUUGUUACAUUGGGCAUAGAAAAUGGUUACCAAUCAAUCAUCCAUAUAGGAGGCAACGUGCAGCUUUUAAUGGGAAACCUGAAUAUGGCAUACCUCCCGAGCCAUUAACCGGAGAAGAAGUGCUGCAUAUGGUUGAAAAUGGUGACAGAGUUUGUUGGAAGAAGAAAUCAAUAUUCUUUGAUCUCGAGUAUUGGAAAUACAUUCCUGUGAGGCAUGCCCUAGAUGUUAUGCACAUUGAGAAGAAUGUUUGUGAUAGUAUCAUUGGUACAUUGCUGGAAAUCCCUGGAAAAAAUAAAGAUGGGAUUGCUGCUCGAUUAGAUUUAUUGAACAUGGGGGUCAAAACUGAUUUGCAACCCGAGUAUGGAGAAAGACGUACUCGUUUGCCUCCUGGGCCUUGGAAUUUGUCAAGAGCAGAGAAGAGAGAGGUUUGCAAUUCUUUCUAUGGUAUGAAGGUCCCUGAAGGUUAUUCUUCAAAUAUUAAAAAUCUUGUAUCUUUACAAGAUUCAAGACUUCUUGGCCUUAAAUCACAUGAUUGUCAUAUCUUAUUGCAACAAUUGCUCCCUGUGGCAAUUCGUUCUGUUUUGGAGAAGCCUGCAAGGUAUGCAAUAACUCGUUUGUGCUUCUUCUUCAAUGCUAUAUGUGCAAAGACUGUUGAUGUUUCCAAGCUAGAUAAGUUAGAAGAAGAUGUAGUAGUUACUCUGUGUUUGCUUGAGAAGUACUUUCCUCCUUCAUUCUUUGAUAUCAUGGUUCAUCUAGUAGUACAUCUUGUCAGAGAAGUUUGUCUAUGUGGGCCAGUAUAUUUUAGGUGGAUGUAUCCGUUUGAAAGAUAUAUGAAAGUGCUGAAGGGGUAUGUUCAGAAUCGUACUCGUCCCGAAGGUUGCAUUGCUGAGCGGUAUAUAGCUGAAGAAGCGGUAGAGUGUUGUACUCAGCAUUUAUCUGAUGUUAGUACAGUUGGAGUGCCUUCAAGCCAAAAGAUGGGACUUUCAAAGCCAUUAUCAGGUUGCACAGUGAGCGUAGUUGAUCAGGACCUGUUGAAUCAAGCACAUCUAUAUGUCUUGGAGAAUACGGAGGAAGUCCUACCUUAUAUCGAGUACGUAUGAGCUUUAUUCUUUAAGUUUCCAUUUUAAAUUAUUUCUUAUGUUUAUCUUCUAUAUUUAGGACCGUAAUGCUUGAAUUUUUCGUGUCAUGUAGGCAACAUAUGAUUCACAUCAAGACUGCUUAUCCAAAAUUUAGAAAGAGAACAAAGUGGCUGCAGGAUAAGCACAAUAGCACUUUCAUUCAAUGGCUACGCUUCAAGGUAUAUGUUGUUGAAUAACAUAUUUCUCUUUUAAUUUUCUUCUUAUUUAUAUGUUAGAUUGAAUUAAGAUAUGAUUAAUUUGCAGGUUCAAAGUGAACUUGAGGAAGACAAUCAUGGCGUAUCAGAAAAUUUAAGGUGGCUAGCAGCUGGUCCAAACAUGUCAGUGCCAUUAUAUAGGAGCUAUCUUAUUAAAGGUAUUAAAUUCAAUAUCAAGGCACAAGAUGAUGUGCGGACAACUCAAAAUAGUGGAGUUUAUUUACUUGCACAUACCAUGCAAGUUGCUAGUGCCAAGGAUAAAAACCCAAUUCUCUCAAAUAUGGGUUUCUAUGGUGUCAUUCAAGAAAUUUGGGACCUUGACUACCAAAAGUUUACAAUCCCAGUCUUUAGGUGUGAUUGGAUAGAUAGUUCUGGUCUUGUAGUCGACGAACUUGGAUUUACCCUUGUAGAUUUGAGUAAAAUUGGACAUAGGAAUGACCAAUUUGUUUUGGCUUCUCAAGUCAAACAAAUAUUUUUUGUUGACGACCAGAUGCAUCGUGGUUGGUCGGUAGUGUUAUCAAUGCCUAAUAGAGAAUAUAAUGAUGUUAUUGGUGAUGAAGUCUUAGGUGAUGUGAUAAUUGAGUGUGAGCCAUUUACUAGAGGGAUGCCAAAUGUUGACAUAUUUGAUGAACUGGUAGGUGAGUUAGGCGGUCAAAAUAUUCGAGAUGGGUGUGAAGAUAUAUGGAUUUAAUGAUGCUUAUGUAAUUGGCAGUGUAUGACAUUAAUUUUGUAAUAUAUUGUAAUGCGAUUUCUUCACUUUCUACGUUCAAAUAAAACACGACGUUAUUGUGAAUCAGUUAUUCAGCAUAUUUACCGACGUCUUAAAGCAACGUAACAAUGAAGAACCACGACGCUAUUGUGAAGCAAUUAUUCAGGAUAUCACGUCGGUGAAGGAUUAAGAACCGCCAUGUAAUUCAGAAUAACACGACUCCAAUCCCAUAAUACCGACGUCUAAAAAACGAGAUAUAUAAUCUGAACGUUAAAAAAUACGACGUCAUCAUACAUUUUCCACGUCGCAAGUUCUUUUAUAAACGAAGAGGAACGAAAUGAAUUCCGACGGAAAUUCAUUAUAACCGCCGUCUAAUAACAAUUAAACGACGUUAUUUGUAAUACGGCUCUCAUCAUAAUCUACGCCGUCUAUAUGUUCUGUAAUACGGCUCUCAUUUAUUUGGAACCGACGUUGUUUAGAAGUUCAACGUCGUCUAUAUUAUUAAGUGCGUCGUGAGUAAUGAAUACAUAUAAAUACAACGUCGACUAUAUAAAUGUAUACGUCGUAAAUAAUAACACUGACAACUAUUUUCACGUCAUAUUUUUUAGAAAAAUCGAAGUGGAAAAUUUAUUUCACGACGGUUUUUUGUAAAUAAGAGACGUAGUAGAUUUCAAUAACGUCGUCUUCUCAUGUAUUUAAAGACGUCAUAUUUUUUCUUGUCGUGUAAAUUAUAUUUAACGGCGUAGUAUUUUAGUUGUCGUCGUUGUAUGUAUAUCUUGCGGCCUUGUUCUUUUAAUAUGUGUCAUAUUUUUCCUUUUUAACGACGGUGAUUUUUUUGAGUUGGUCGUCUAUUCUCAUCCUCGACUAUUUUCUAGAACUUUAGCAGACUAAACACGUCUGUUUUUAUUUUUUUCCGACGUUGUUUUAUUUAACAACGUCUAAUAUUUAUCGUCGUUGUUUGUUUCUGAAAAUAGGACGUAUAAAUUUUGUAAUACGACUCUCAUAUAUUUGUAACCGACGUUGUUUAGUUUUUCAACGUCUACUCUAUAAACAUAUACGUCGUAAAUAAUGACACUGACAACUAUUUCCACGUCAUCUUUUAUCGAAAAAUCGAAGUGGAAAAUUAAUUUUACGACGGUUGUUUUUAUAUAUGCGACGUAGUAGGUAUCAAUAACGUCGUCUUCUAAUGUAUUUAAAGACGUCAUAUUUUUUAUUGUCGUGAAAAUUAUAUUUAACGUCGUCGUAUUUGUAUUUUCGUCGUUGUAUGUCUAUCUUGCGGCCUUGUUCUGUGUCAUAUUUUUCCUUUUUAACGACGGUUUUUUUAGAGAGUUGGUCGUCUAUUAUCAUCCUCGAUUGCUUUUUUUAGAUCUUUUUGCAGUACAAAGACGUCGUUUUGUAUUUGUUGAUGACGUUGUAUAUUUUAACAACGACGGUUAUUUAGCGUCGUGGUUUAUGAGGGAAAAGAUGACGGUGGAUUCCACGACCAUUGAAAAACCCAAUACACGACGGUGAUUUACCGUCGUCUUUUUGCUUUUUUGUAGUAGUGAGAUGUCGGAAGCUUUGAUGCUUACUUUAGCUCCAUAUAUAUUAAUUUAUCUACUAUUACAUUUUUUUUUUCUUCUUAAAUUAUACUGUGUAAGGAUACCAAUAUGCCCAUCUACUAGGUCGAUAUCCAUUCUGACCAAAAAAAUUGUUUAUUGUAAUGGAUAUGUUCAAGGAUUAACAUGAUUUUUUUAUUAUUUCUCUUUUACAAACGACAACAUAUUUACACGAUGCUUCAACUCCAUCGGCUAAUUAUAACUAGAUAUCGAACCAAUUAUGAAUAUAAUUAUCACUAUUUAUAUGAGUUGAACUUAAAACCUCUUACGACCAGCUAUAAAAGUCAUACAAGUACAGUGCACUAUUUAAAUCUAUGAGUUCACGUUGAACAAUUCUUUCGAUCCUUGACAAUUGCUGACACAUAGGAGUUUAUAACUUACAAUAUUGCUGACACCUAGGCGUUUAGAACUUACAUUUUUAGGUUUUGCAAGCUGCUUUACAUUUUGCACUUCUUUUCCAAUUCAGGUUUCUAGUUUUUAACAACUUCCUUCUUUUGAAAUUAGUGAGAUCAUCGUCCUUCUUGGGUGUGGUUGUUCUUUUGCAUCUAUUUCACCGAAUUAGUGUCUGUUUAAUUACGGUGAACUCAAUUUGUACUUAAUCCAACAUUUUGUUAAUAUUAUAUAUUAAAUACAUCUAAAUUCAUCACUAACCCAUAAAAAUUUACCUUUCCUUUCCAAAAGGAACAUCAUGAUUUUCUUCAUCUGUCUCUGAGUGGUUUGGCUCUCUCUCUCUCUCUCUCUCUCUCUCUCUCUCUCUCUCUCUCUCUCACACACACACACACACACACACAGCUCCACAUCCAAGAUGAACAAGAUUUGAUACAUCCUUUUUUUCGAUUCCAAAUUUCUUGAUUUUAUACUCUCCCCCUAUGAUUUCCCUCUCAUCUAUUAUAAUGUUAUUUGCUCAGUGAACUCAAGAAUUGUUUUCUGACAGUAAUUUACUGUCCUCCACAGGGAUGGAACCACAGCCAGUAACUUGAACAAAAACUAAUGAUAAACCACAAGAAGUUGAUGCCUUUUGGUUUUUUUCUCAAAGUGCUAUCUUCAUCUGUCGACUUUUUUUUGGGGUGAUAUUAUCUGCUGUCUCUGGCAAAAGGUUUUUGAAGAAGAAAAAAAACCUAUAUGGCCCACCAUCAACUACAAUAUUAGGGAACUAUUAUCUCAAGUUUAUUUGUAUUCUUUUUCAAGAACAGAACUCAGACCCAAAAAAAAAAAAAAAAAAAAAAAAAAAAAACAGAACAGUACGUUAACCUAAAUAUAUUAUUCUAGGGAGACUUUGGAAAACCCCAAGGAAGAGAGAAAUUUUUUAAAAGAAGCCAAAAUGGACAAAAUUGCCCUUAUUUAUAUUUGGAUUUUCCGAGGAAUCCUUUACAUUUGCAUGUCUUUGAUUUGAAAGUUGAGAGGUUUUUCUGUCUUUUUUGAAAAAGCUUUAGCUUUUUCCAAAAGUGAAAUUUUUAUAUUUUUCCAAAACCUAAAUUUACUUAAUAUAAUAUAUAUAUAACUUAAAUAUUUAUAUUUUUGCACUAAGUAUGCCAAAAAUUUGCAUUUUAGAAGCUUAUACGGAUAUUUUAACGAAUUCAAACUGCAAAAGUCACUACUACAUUUUAGGAUUUGAGCGCCGAAGAGAAUUUCGUCGCGCAAAAUGACUUUUAGUCGCACAAAUUCAAGCACAACAGAAAAUUCAUCGCGCACAAUCCGUCGCGCAAAGAGCGUGAAGAAAGACUUUGUGUGACCAAUUUUUUUCAUUCGUCGCGCAAAACUGUGCGACGGUUAUCCUUCGUUGCACAAAAGGUUCAAGGACGACACAAUUGUUCGUCGCACAAACCUUUGUGCAACGAAAGAAGAUUCGUCGCGCCAACACUGCAUGACGGAUAAUAUUCGUUGCGCGAUUCGUGUCGCAGACAUUUGCGGCACGAAGAGUUCUUCAUCGCGCAAUUCGUGUCUCCAACGUUUGCGCAAUUCGUGUCUCCAAAUCCUUUUCGCACGAUGAAAGACUUCGUCGCGCAUGAAUAAAUUAUAUGUAGUUAAAAAAAAAUUUUACCUUUUUUUAUUUUGUAAAAUGUGAAUUUGCGCGACAAGAAAGGUUUCGUCGCGCAAAAUUUAUAUAUAUAUAUUUUUUAUUUAAAUUUAAUAUUACGUUUUUUUUUAAUUUUGUAAAAAAAUUAAUUUGGUUUUUUUUUUGGUAAUAAAAUGAAAUUGCAAUAAAAAAUGAAUUGUAAAGAAUACAUUUAUUAUAUAAAAUAAAAUAAAUGUAUACUACAAGAAAAAUAUUUAAAAAAUAAUUAUGAAAAUAAAAAACUAAUCAAAUAAUGUUCCAAAAUCUACAUUGUCGUCUGGCACAUGCGGCUCGGAGGUCUGGGGGUUUACAGGGGCCAUCGUCUGGUGGGGAUGCUCGGGGUGGAUGGGCUCGAAGGUCGGCGCAUCAAAAUACAGGACUGGAAUGCCGGACCGUGCGAGGGACUGCAGAAUCACCAACAUCUGACUCUGAAGAGUGGCCACCUGUGCUGUCAAAGCAGUCACCUGACUGUUUGACUGCGCUGAUGAACGGGGUCUGGGUUCCCUCUGCCUGGCAUUCCCCAUCCCUCGACAAUAUGUCCCCGGCCUCCUCCCGAGAGUCUGAUCCAACGUCUCCGUCAAGAUCUGAAACCUAGCAUCCUGUGGAGGAUCCACAGACUCGAUCGGAGUAUCGAGAGGAAGUUGGGAGGCGGACUCUUGAAGAACCAACUGGCUCCUCUCCACCAUCGUCGUCUGUUUAACAUAACAUAAAAUAUAAAAUAAAACAUUCAUAUGAUAACCUUUAAACUUGAAUGCGUAACAUAAGAAUUAAAAUUAAAUAAUACUUACAUGAAGGGACUCGGCCAACUCAUUCCCAGGUCGAACAUAAACGUCGCCAAAGACGUCGAUCUCUAGGAAUUUGGACCCCCCCUAAAUUGAACAAGAGAAGAAAAAUAUUAGUAUAAAAAAAAUAAAUUUAGAAUAAUGACAUAUUAAAAAAUAAAUAAAAAUUAUUUUAUUAUUACCUGCCGCCGUGCAUCCAUCCUAUAGGAGAAGGGCCUAGAACCUGAAUGGUGGAGAAGAGUCUUCUUUUUCCUAUUGCCCUUAUUGACUUUGGCUUUCUUCUGUUAUACAAAAAAUAAAACGUAUUAGUUGAAAUUGAAAUGAAAUAUAAAAAAUUAAAUAAACAUUAGUAAGAAAUAUAUAAUAAAUUUGAAAUUCAUAUUACAAAUUACCACAAAAGCGGGCGCUUGAAAAUGAGCACAGAGCCAUGCCCAACUAUCAUCCUACCCCUCAAGCUCCUUCGGGCAACCCUCCUGAAGAGCGACUUGCGGAUCAUCAAACGCCUCAAAAUAGUGGUGCAAGUCGCUCUUCCACUGUUUGUACCUCUCAAAGAAGAGUCUGUUGACGUACGUCAACGACUCGUCGUCGAGGUCCUCCAAGUUGUAGUUCGUCUGCAAUAAAUUAAUUACAUACAUUAAAUAAUAGAAAUAUAUAAAGUUUGAAAGAAAAAGAAUUAAAAGGUAGGAUACAUACCGACAACUGGCCGCGAACCUCCGUCUUGAUCUCGUCAGGCAUGACCUUCCAAGACUUCCGUUGCAUCGGGCAAUGGGUCCGAACGACAUGACCAAUGUCGCGGGGCAAGGAGCUAUGCAACUCCGCUGUCGAUGUAGCCCGAUGUCGCUCAUCGUAUCUGAUGUUGAUACAAUUGUUGGUCACCCGGGUGACCUUCGCCGUCUUCAACUACCGACACGGCCCUCGGGUGUUCUUCUUGGCUGUAAAGAAAGACGACAUUAAUGUUAAAUAAAUAAAAAUUUUAACUAUAAAAUACACACACAAAAACAAAAACAAAAACAAAAACAAAAAAAAAAGAAAGAAAAGAACUGGAGUUGAAGGAAAUCUAUACCUGGCUAUGACCCCGACGCAUCAGUCGAUGUGGUGUCAGUGGUGCUAGCGGGCCGAUGACGCCGCCUGGCGUUAACACGCUGCGCCACUGAUGAAGCCGAUGAAGCAGGCUCCUGGGACCUCACGGGACCAACUGCCAAGUGGUCCAUCAGUGCUGGCGCAGUGGCUCCGAACUCUGUGUAGUCGUCACCGCCCUACGACGUCUAAUCAGGUCCGACAUCUGCACAAUUUCAUUAAUACACAUACAAAUUAAUAAAAUAUACGAAUAUUUGUAAGCACAUAAAGUUUUAUUAAGAUUCUUGACCUAGGGUUUGCGAUCCGCUGAAUCCUACACGAUCCUAGAAAUACAAGGUACAACAUACGUGAGUUUGAGUUCGAUCCAACGGUCCGAACAUAUCAAACCCAGAAAUCGCACAAUAGAGAAAAUACGUUCGAGACUCAAACGGUAGCCAAAUUCCAAUCCGAACACACCUACGCGCUCAUGACAACUAGGGGAUUGCACUGGGACCCAAUGCACGAGUGCUACAGUAUCCCACGCGCCGGCAGGGCGUGGGUGUCCAAAGCGAUAACAAUCGCAAGAAAAUUCUAAAAACUAAGGGCCAAGGUUCCUACUCUAAGUUGAAAACAUCAAUUGGAGCCACUAUUGUUCUCGGACCUAUCUCGAAAAAUGGCCGGAAGUGGCCGGAAUUUAAAUUCAAAAACCGCCCGAAACUUAGGGUUUAAAAUCGAUUGCCCUAUUGCGACAAUUAAUGAAAUCCUACCCAACCAUCAUCUAAAGCAUCAAAAAUAGUCCAAAAAUCAUACCUCGGUGUCGGAUUUGGUGGCCGGAGUUGAGAGAACGAGGCCGGCAAAGAUUCGGUGAAAACCAAGCAAAUUCCGACGGCAGGCUCGACAGUGACGGUGGGGAAGCUCCGGGGUUCGAAGGUUGUGGCGGCCCGGUCUAAAUUCCAGCGGAGUAGUGGGCUGAGGUGACGGCGGAGAGAAAGAGAGAGAGUUAGGGCAAAAAAUCAGAAACUGAGGAAGAAGAAGGCGCUCGCGUCCUUUCUGAAACUUUAUUCGAUUUUACACGACAAAUAAUUAAAAGCUUCGCACAAAAUAUUUUAAAUGAAUCUUGCGCGACGAAAAAUCUAUAAUUUUCGUCGUGCAAUGUUGUAAGUCCGCAAAAAUUUGGAAUUAGGGUUUAGGGUUUGUGCGAUUUUGCACGACGCAUAGUCAGGUCUUUCGUCGCACAAAGUUGUCAUUCCGCCAAAAUUUUGGGAUUUGGGGUUUAGCGUGAGAGAGAGAAAGUGAAGGGUCUGUGCGAUUUUGCGCGACAAAGACGGAACAGCAUCGCGCAACGUUGUCUGUUGUUCACUUUGCGUGACGCAAAUAAACUAUCCGUCGCGCAAGGUUGUGAUUCCGCCAAAAUUUGGGGUUUAGGGUUUAUAGGGGGAGAGAGAGAAGGUGAAAUGUCUUACUGAGAUUGCGCGACGAAGAAGUACCCCUUUCGUCGCGCAAGCUUGUGAUUGCCAAAAAUUUGGGCUGCGUGUUCAAAAGGGAGAGUGAAAGGUCUAAAUGAGAUUGCGCGACGAAAACGUACCACUUUCGUCGCGCAAGCCUGUUUUCUGUACACUUUGCGCUACAGAGACACCUUUUCGUCGCGCAAACCCUAAACCCUACCUAAACCCUAAACCCUAAACCCUAAACCCUAAACUCUAAAUCCUAAACUAGUUUCAAUGAUCCAACCGGCAAACUUUUUUUUUUAUACUUCGAGAUCGUAUACGCCGAAAAACGGAAAAAACAAACAUUAAGAGAUCAAGUAACGGGACAAAACUUUUCGACGGUUAUAAAUGAAAAGUCAUGAUUUAACGGUUAUUUUAACUCCGAUUUUGAUGAUUUUUUACAACUACAUUUCUUGACCCUAUAUGAAUACAAUGACUUGAUCUUCAAUUAAAUAUUUUUACACUAGGAGAUACCACAUAAUCUUAUGUUAUAUUUAACGAAAGUAUAAAUAAACUUUUCAUUGUUGGUGAAUAUAUGGUUUUGAUGGCAUCCGCAUUCUACGAAACUAGUUUCAGUAAUCCAGCCGUCAAGCUUGUUUGUUUAUACUUUGAGAUCAUAGUCCCCAAAAAUCGGAAAAAAAAAACAUUCAAAGAUCAAGUAACGGGACAAAACUUUUUGAUGGUUAUAAAUGAAAAGUCAUGAUUUAACGGUUAUUUGAAUUCCGAUUUUGAUAAUUUUUUACAGCUACACUCCUUGACCCUUUAUGAAUACAAUGAACUAAUUCGAUCGAAAAUUUCAAAUAUAUAUGUCUGUAUAUAUUAUAUUGCAGUAAAAUAAUAUAUAAUUGCGCGACGAGAGAUAUCCUGUCGUCGCGCAAAAUUUCAUCACGCGACGGAUGUUAGGUUGUCGCGCAAUGUUGUAACUUUACGCGAUGAGUGGAUUCUGCGUCACGCAAACUAUGCGCGACGAGGAAAGAUUCGUCGCGCAAGGAUUUGGCGCCAUUUACAUAUUUAGGUCAAAUUGUGUAUCAUUUUCAUUUUUUUAAAAUGUUUUGUGUCAAUAAUUUUUAAACUUUGUAUCAAUAUUUAUUUACCAAUGUUUUAUAACAAAUUUUUUUUUCUUUUUUCAUUUUCUUGUAUUCGUCAAUUUAUUUAAUAAUGUCUCACGCGGUUGUUGUUGCGUUGACCUAACUCGUUUGCCCUUUUUCUUUUAUAAAGUGAAGUGAUAAACUUUCAUAAACUCAUGAAAAGUCAAUAAAAGUUAGAAUUGGAUACAACCCCCUUAGGUUAGAUUGUUUAUCAUUUUCAUUUUUUAAAAGUGUUUUAUCAAAAUAAUUUUAAAAAUUAUUAUUAAAAGGGUUUGGAUAUAUUGAUUUACCAUUGUUUUAUAACUAAAUUUAUUUUAAUAAUGUUUCAUUUCUCCACAUAUAUAAGGUUUGGAUAUAACAACUACAUAUAUUCAAACAUUUGUAUUACACAAAAUCUGUACACUAACAUAAUAAAAUUACAAAAAAAUUCAUUAUUCAUCAUCUGAACUAUAAUAACUUUCGUUAUUGUCGCUAUCAUCACUUUCGGUCUCCUAAUCCUCCUCUUCCUCCUCUAUAACCAUAUCAUCGCCGUUGCUCGGGCCCAUUGCAACAUCGUAUCGCGGAAGAUCACCGAGGUCAAUUGUAAUUGACUGAAUCGGUAUUUCGAUUGAAGACACUCCUUGUAUUUGAAACGGUCCUUGUAUAACAUUGGUAUCUCGAAGUGUUUCCACAUCAUUUUCCAUUGAAGAUUCUAAAUGUUGGUCAGCCACAUUGUCGACGUCGUUGUCAGUUGGGUCUAGUUCUGGUAUAGCAUACACAUUCCUAUGAUCCAUCUUCUGAACAACUUUCCAACCGCUCCCGGCUUUAGGGUCAUCUAGAUACACAAUUUGUGUUGCCAUGUUUGCCAAAAUGUAAGGGUCGUCAUCAUACCAAGUUCUGUUAAUGUUCAUAGAUAGUAAGCCAUGGUCGAUUUUAACACUUCCCGGCCUGUUUGGGUUGUUAUCAAACCAUCAACACUUAAACAUGAUCACUUGGUAUCGAUCUUUGUAAAGCAAUUGCACGACAGUUGUGAGUUUGCCAUAGAAAUCAAUGUCCGUACUUUCGCCUCCACCUGGGACAUGGACACCGCUGUUUUGCAUACACAACUUGUCAUCUCGUGCAGCCCCCAAAAAUUUGAUGUUGUUAACAUUACAACCCGAGAACAAUUCAGUGCGAAUCGGGCCAAACGCCAAGUUAUAUAACUUAUCACUGUAAGUGGGGGAAUUCGACGAUUUCAACUUAUUCACCUAAUAUUAUACAAAACCAUUCACAUGUUAGUUUGACAAAAUUAAAUACUACAAUUUAUAUUUGUCAAAUACAAAACACUUAUAACUUACAGAAUCCAAAAACCAUUGUGGAAACAAUUCACGGUGUUUCUGGGCAACCAAAUGUGAUGGAAGUUCUCGCUUCAUCAUCUCUUCAUGCUCAUGUAAGUAUGCCAUUAUCUCAUCACAAUUGUUCAGUACGAACCAAUGCGCUACCUCCAUGUCAUUUCUAGAAAACGACUCUCCUCGUCUAGGAUUUUCAAAGGGUCGUGCGCUUUGGGGAAAAACAGAAAGUUUUUCAUUUCUCAUACCUCCGUCAUUAUUGCGCUGAGGACGAUUGAAAGCCAUCUCCACAUCUUUUAAAUACAUUCCACAGAAAGUAAGCGAUUUAUAUUGAACCCAAGCCUCUAUAAUUGAUCAUUCGGGCUUCGCCCUGUUGCGUACACUUUUUUUCAGCUCUCCGAGAAGUCUGCCAAACUAAAAUGAUAUGAUACAAAUUAGCAAGCCUGUGAUAAUGAUGCAUACACAAACGAUAAGGAUUAUAUACCUUUCUAUUGGAUACAUCCAGCGAUAGUUGACAGGACCAGCAAGCAAUGCCUCUUCUGGCAAUAGAUGUCGAAUACCUACAGAAAGUAGGCGUUGCAUAAACACAUGGCAGUCAUGGCUCUUAAGUCUAGUAAAUUUACCCCCGUCAACAUUCACCCAACGUGAGAUAUUAGAAGCAUACCCAUCGGGAAAAUUUACAGACAAUACAAACUUUAGAAACUCUUUUUUGUCAUUCGGUUUCGUAGAAAAGAAUGCAAGAUCCCUUUUAGCUUUAUCACUGUCCUUAUUCAUCCAUAAACCCCUUCGUAUGCCCAUUCUUUCCAAAUCAAGACGAGUUUUGAUCAUGUCCUUUGUCUUGCCCUCGAUAUCUAGAAUCGUGCCCACCAAUGUGUCGAAUACAUUUUUCUCAACAUGCAUCACAUCUAGAUUGUAUCUCAAUUUGAGUUUUGACCAAUAUAGGAGCUCAAGAAACAUAGGCUUGUGCGUCCAGUUCAUAUGUGUAGAAGGUCUGGUCCGACUAACUAUUUUUCCGAACGGAGCAAAAUCCAAACGGUUAAGUUGUUCCAAGAUCUCAUCACCGGACCAUUCUCUAGGUCUGAGGUGACGCUCUGUGUUCCCGUCGAACUCUUUAUUUUUUUCCCGCCACUCGUGGUCCCAUGGCAAUCAUCUCCGAUAACCAAGGUAACAAACUUUUCCACGUGCCAACCAGAAGUUACAUCUUCCUUGCAUGCAGGACAUGCCAUAUAACCCUUUGUGCUCCACCCAGAAACCAUUGCAUAUGCUGGAAACUCAUUCACAGUCCACAUAACUGCUGCCCGCAAAGUGAACAUCUUCCCAGUUGAUUUAUCGUACGUGCAAACACCGUUUGUCCAUAAAUCCUUCAGCUCAUCAACCAGCGGCCUUAAGUAAACAUCGAUUGACCUACCAGGAUCCUCAGUUAUCAAAACAGUCAUCAUCAUGUAUUCUUUUUUCAUGCAUUUCCAAGGCGGCAAAUUAUAUGUGAAUACGAAAAUCGGCCAAGUGCUGUAGUGUUGGUUUAAAACCCUAUACGGAUUGAAUCCAUCAAUGGCAAGUCUCAAUCUAACAUUUCGGGGAUUAGCAGCAAAUUCGGGGAACGUUCGAUCGAACUCUUUCCAUGCCUCCCUAUCUGCAGGAUGCCGCAUCACAUCAUUGUCUACCCGUUUUUCCUUACGCCAUCUCAUGUCUGUGGCAGUAUGCGUCGACAUAUACAAUUGCUGCAACCUAGGUUUCAGGGUGUAACACCCCGACUCCAAAUUUAACCCUUAUUUAAGUUAUUUAAAUUAUUUAAGGGAAAUUAUAAAUUUACCCUUGAGAUAAGGGCAUUUGGUUAUUUUCUUAACCGGAGAGAGUUUUGGGCAGUGACUAGUAUUUUUGGAUAGGUCGUACUGAGAUGAGUUCGUAUACACGUAGUGGGCUCAAAUCGGAGUUGUAACGAGAGAGAUAUGGUCAAAAGAAACCCAGUGGCAUAAUCGUAAUUAUUUUGAAAUGGGAUUUUUAUAAAAAUCAGAUUUUUCUCUAUCUCUCUCUCUCUCCCUCCCGCGAGCUCUCUCUCUCUCCCCUUCGGUCUCUUUCUCUCUCUCUCUCCGCGUAACUCCGGUGUCGUCCUAUUCCAGCCCCAGCCGACUCCCACCUCCAGCCGCUGUGGUUUCGCCGGAAAAUGAAGAAGAAGCGGCCGUGGUCUCCCUGUCGAUCUCCUUCCUCCGGCCACCGAUUCCAAAGAGCAGGGUAUGAUUUCUUACCUAUUUUUCAUGCUCUAGCUGCCUGUUGGGUAGAAUUGGAUCGAUUUUUAGCGUAGCUAAUUCGAUUUACGAAUUGAAAUUCGGCCGUUUUUGGGAUCGCAAUUCCAGCCACUUCCGUUCAGUUUUUGGGAUAGGUCCAAGAACAAAAGUGGUUCCAAAUAGGGUGUUAUACCUAGGGUAGGAGUUCGGAGUAGUGGUUUUGAGAUUUUCCGGUGAUGCGUAAUCGCUUUGGACACCCAACGCUGCCAGCGAGUGUGCCGGCGCGUGGGCGAGGGUAGUGGAGUUGCACUGUGUCUCGAUGAGAUCCUUAGGUUGUCACGAGUGCGUAGGAUUUCACGGAUCUCAAUUCGGACGUCGUUUGACUAUCGAACGGACGAUCGCAUAUUGUGCGUUAUCCUGGUUCGAUAGGUUGGGACCGUUGGAUGGUCUCAAAUUUAAUAUAUGUUAAUCUAGGUAUUUCUAGGAUCGUGUAGGAAUUCACCGAUCGUGAAUCGGAGCCCCGGAUGUUCCGGUUUAAUAAUUUAAAAUUUAUGUUUUAUAUUAACCGUCAGAUCGUGUGAUCGUGAGCGAUCUGACCGUCCGAUCUGAACCAAACUUGCAGGAUGAGUGUCCUAUACCUUAUAGAACCCAUAGGAACUUUCGGAUCGGAGUUUGGAGGUCGUGGGCCCCGUAGGCCCGUUUGACCAGGGUUAGGGUAGUUUGACCCCUGGUUGACCGUGAGUCUCCCGGAGUAAUCUCACAUUCCCAGGGGGAUUAUCAGGUGCUAGACUAUUGUUGAGGUCUACACAAUAUUAGAAGUAAAUUAUAUAUUUAUUUACGUUUGUAAAGGCAUAAAAAGAGUCUAGAGUGUCAGUUUAGAGUGCUAUACGCACUACCUUAGGUACCUCCUCGGAUUUUGAUUACACUACAAGUAUCACCAUGUGAAAGUUAGGUUCCACGUGGCGUAGGUUAUCCGGCGUGCGGACAAACCUCAUACGUGGCAUUGGUAGUAUCGGCGUAUGGGGAGAUUACGUGAUAUUAUGUUGAGGUCGUGCAUGGCGUAGGUUAUCCGGCGUGUCGACAGACCCCAUACGUGACGUUGGUUGUACCGGCGUAUGGGGAGAUAUGUGAUAUGAUGUGCAGGUCUCGCAUGGCGUAGGUUAUCCGACGUUAAGACAGGCCCCAUACGUGGCGUGGGUUGUACCGGCGUAUGGGGAGAUUAUGUGAAAUACAGAGAAAAGAAAUAAGGUAUUGCCUAUGUGUGGAAUUGAGUUUUAUGAAAGAACUAUGUGUGGUUUGAUCCCUCAAGGAGAUUACGUAGGCAGCCUAAGAUUAUUAGGUGCAGCCGCAGACUAAAUGUUAGUCAUAUAGAGAUUGGUUCGGACCAUGUUGUUGGUCCUGAAAUUGAGGUGAAAAUGUGAUUAUGUUAGGAGGCUAAAACCUCAUAUAUUGAAAUGUGAAAGGUUAAAUGAUGCAUGUUCAAAUUUAAUAGUCAUAAUUUAUAUUUGAAUUUAUCGUUUGCCUUGCUUAAGGCAUGAAUUGGUUUGUUAGCAUGCUUGGUAGUUGAGAAGUAUUGGAAAGCCAAAGGCCGCUUAUGUGAAUUGCAUGAAAUUAUAUUAUGCAUGCUGCCAGUUGUGGAUAGUAAAUUGUGUUUUAUGCAGGUUGUAAUUUUGGGAAAUGUCCAAUUUAUAGGGGAGACUCUGCCGAAAUUUCGGCAGAAAGUCUCGAUCUUUAUUAAGUGGGGUCGGCAUCUGGGUGAUGUCGGAAAUUUCCACAGGGUUCGCCUCGGGUUUUGGGAAAUUCGGGGAUGGUCCUUUCACAGGGGCAGAUAAUAACGCAUGACUUUUUGUGGGAUCUUAGUCGUUCUAUUCUGAGAUGUCAUUUUGUACCUCGACUCAUUGCAUAUAGGGCAUAUAUCUAAUGUUUCAUGCUCUUUGUAGAAUAACAUGCAAUUGUUUUUGCAAACGUGAAUUUUUUCAUAACCCAAUCCAAGACCAUUCAACACCUUCUGCGCUUGUUUAUGGUCUUUCGGCAAACAAUUGUCCAUCAAAAGCAUUCUCUUGAAAAUCCCCAAGAAGUAAUCGAAACAUAGGUUCGACAUACGAUACUUUAUUUUUCCGUGCAUUAGCUCCACAAUGACCAUGAGAACGGAAAAGCUCUCGCACCUUGGGUAUAACUCUUGGUUGACAUUUUUUCACAGUUUUUCAUAUUGUUCAAACUCCGCACUAUCUAUUGGUGUAGGCACGUCAUCUUCCCCUUCCUGAUUGAUGUUGGUCGAUGCAAAUGGAAAAGCAUCCUGUAUAAUAUCCAUGACUUGAUCAUUAGGAUCCACAAUAGGUUCAACACUGUCUACUCUUGUGGCAUUUGAAGACGAAGCAUGGUUUAAUUGUUCCCCGUGAAGGUUCCAAAUGUUAUAUGUCUCAAUCAUUCCAUUCCUUACUAAAUGAAAUCCAACAUUUUCAAUUGUCUCCCACAAUGUGUUGUUACACCUUCUACAAGGACAACGGAUUCUAGUUGCACCCGGGUUGUGUCCACGUGCAAACUCAAUAAAAUCCUCGAUUCCAUCCAAGUAUUCUUCUGCGCAUCUAUUCGGGUUCUGUAUCCACCUUCUGCUCAUAAUUCCUGAAACCACAAUCAAAACACAACAAUCACAACAACUUCAUACAAAGUUAUAAUGUCACCUUAUGCCUCCGAUAAGGGCCCUAUCCCAUUCGGGAAUGCAUAGUUCUGUCACGUAACCUACGGCUACAUGAGAUUAGAUUUUGACGUGGAUGAAUUUUGGCAGCAUCUCAAUAUAGUUCUUGAGGUGGGCAUAGGUAUAAAUACUACGUACAACCCGAAGAACGUACCGAGAUGACACCGAAAUCUCCACAAUCGAAACCUAAUCUUGUAGCCGUAGAUUUGAUGACAAUAUUAUGCAUUACCAAACUGUCUGAAUAAUGGGACAAUUCAAGAAUUAAUUGGACCGCAGUCAUGCUUUACGUAUCCAUGCACGAAAUCCAACUAAUCUCGAACGGGAAACUAAGUGUUACUAAACAUAAAAAUAAAAGUACGAAGUUAAUUUCAAUUAACUUCGUACAUCACAAUACAUUGUGCUACGUCACGCACAAUUUAACAACAUAAUAUAAAUAUAACUUCACAAAAAAAAUAUAAACAUAACAAACUAACUUUAACAUUUUUAAUAUAUAAAACGAAUAAAAUACCUUCUCAAUCGUUCUCCACCAAUCGCUAAUUACAAAUAUCCCUAACGAGAACAAAAUUAAUAGCGUUAGUACGAAUUUACAUUAAUACUUUUAAACUAACGACAAAAAAUGCUUACCCAAUGAACGUACUGAAUUCCCAGCAGAGGCAGCGGCAGAGAGGUUGAGAGAGAGGCAGAAUGCUUUUUUUUUUUUUUUGCAUUCUGCCUCUGCAAUGGCAGAAUUCUAAUAUGAAGAAGAAAGACUUUGCGUGACGAACCAUUAAUUUCAUCGCGCAAACUGCCGUCGCGAAAAAUCAUUUUUCCGUCGCACAAAACAACUUUUUCGUCUCGCAAGCACGUGUCGACAUUAAACUUUUGCGCGACGCAUGACAUGGUUCGUCGCGCAAAAACAACUUUCCGUCGCUCAAAAUCAAUCUUUCGUCGCACAAGAAUGUACUGACAUCAAACUUUACGUGACGAACACGAUUUCCGUCGCGAAAAAAAAAAUCCCCUCAAGUAUUUUGGCGCCAAAAAAAAAAAUCCCUCGUUUUCUUAUGCGACGAUAAAUGAUGUCGUCGUGCUAAGUUGUCUUUUGCGACGAAAACUGUCGUCGCACAAGUUUUUGCCGCCAAAUAACGGGACCCACUGUUUUAUGUACACCUUUACUCGACGAAGAGUCAAAUCGUCGCACUAGGUUCUCUUACGCAACGAUUUUUUUCGUCGCGCAAGUGUUUGGCGCCAAAAAAAAAAAUUCGGGUUUUUUUUUUCCUCACUUUGCGUGACGAAAACUUUGGUCGCGCCAGUUUUCAGUAGUAUGUGCGACGAAUAUUUUUUUCCGUCGCUGUAGUGCAUUUUGCGUCGCGCAAAUAGUAAAACGUAGUAGUGAGUAAGAUUUAAAAUUCUUGGUCCCAUCCUUGGUCCUCUACAUCUGCUCCAUCCAGUUGAAUUUCUUUUUUUUAUUUAUUUUAAUUUUAUUUAAUUUUUCUAAAUUUGUAUAGCAAAAAUAUGAUAGAUCACCUCGUAGGACCUCCUGCCUACUCGGGUCUUGUAUGGAUUAGUGAAACAAUAACUCUACGGGCACCAACUUGUUUACCAACUUUUGGAUACCAACACAUGUGGCACAUGACAUGGCAACCCAUGUCAUCUGCCAUCUCAUCUAUUUUAAUACAUAAAAGAAUUUCUCACCGAAAAAAUGGGGGGUUUUUUAUAUUUAUUUUAAAUUAUAUCUUUUUUCGAUGAGAAAUUCUUUUAUUUAUGUUGAUGCUCAAAAUGGUUCAGCCAAGGUUGAGUCCAACUUAGUGAUGAGGUGUGAUGGAUGAUGGAUGAAGGUGAGGACCUUCACCAAGUGUGUGAGGAUUUGGCCAAACGAUAAACAUAUAGAAGACAAGAUAUACGUGGUUCACCCGAAUGAUGGGCUACGUCCACGGAGAAGGGUGUUCUCAUUAUGAUAAUGUUUGUUUACGUUUGUACAAGGGGAUUAGACCCAAAUAUAAAGAUAACAAGUGAGAAGCCCAACCCAGAGAUGGAUCUAGAAGAGAGAGUCCAAGGCCUAAGGGUCUAGAUCCAAGACCCGGAUCCUCUUCUAAGGAAAGAGCAGUCUUCUUUUAUAGGUGAGGGGGAGUCUUCAUCUCUUGUAGUUUUCCGAUGUGGGACUCCUCCUGCUAUGCUUAGAGUUGUGAUUUGUGGUGAUGCUUCUUUGGCUAAGGUGAUGACCUCUCAAAGCAUGGCACGUGGAUGAUCUAGCCUAGCUAGUUGCUCGGUCAGUUACGGUACCAACAGUAGUCCCCCAAGUUCUCGAGUAAGAAGGUACUUCUUGGUUGGGGACUUGUAAUUUUAAGUGCACUGGCCGAGCAACACCAUAGUUCAUCUUCCAAGCUGUAUAGUGCACUACCCAUAGUCCCCCAAGUCCCCGGGUAAGAAGGACAUUUGGAAGGGAGAGAACUUGGCACGAGGGUGCCGAAGGUGAAGGGGUUGUCGAAGGCACAAAGCUUGCGUGUCGCAAGGCAAUGUGCCUAGGCACGAGGGUGCCGAAGGCAUAAGAAUUGCAUGUCGCAAGGCGAUGGGCCUAGGCACAAGGGUGCCGAAGGCAUAAGACUUACAUGUUGCAAGACAAUAGAGCUAGGCACGGGGGUGCCGAAGGCAUAGGGGAUGCCGAAGGCACAAAGCUUGCAUGUCGCAAGGCUAUGUGCCUAGGCACGAGGGUGCCGAAGGCAUAUGACUUGCAUGUUGCAAGAUAAUAGAGCUAGGCACGGGGGUGCCGAAGGCAUAGGGGAUGCCGAAGGCACAAAGCUUGCAUGUCGCAAGGCUAUGUGCCUAGGCACGAGGGUGCCGAAGGCAUAAGAAUUGCAUACGUGCAAAUAAUAAUAAUAAUAAUAGCUUCUUUUUUUUUUUUUUGGAAGCUCGGGAGCUAGACCUUCGGCAGGCUGAGGCUGUUCAAAAUUUUGGGGGCUCUCCUCUCCUUCCAUGGUCCUUGCCGUUCGGCAAGGGUCUAGCCCUUUUUUUUUUUUUUUUUUUUUGGAGGCUCGGGAGCUAGACCUUCGGCAGGCUGAGGCUGUUGAAAAUUUUGGGGGCUCUCCUCUCCUUCCAUGGUCCUUGCCGUUCGGCAAGGGUCUAGCCCUUUUUUUUUUUUUUUUUUUUGGAGGCUCGGGAGCUAGACCUUCGGCAGGCUGAGGCUGUUGAAAAUUUUGGAGGCUCUCCUCUCCUUCCAUGGUCCUUGCCGUUCGGCAAGGGUCUAGCCCUUUUUUUUUUCUUUUUUUUUUUUUUUUUUUUUGAGGCCGGGCCUUUGCCUUUGUGGGUUUGUUGGUGUUUAUUUCAUGGCCCUUGCCGUUCGGCAAGGGACCAAAGUGGGUUUGGCUAACGAGGUUGAGAGGGUUGGACCCGAGAUGGGCCUUGGCCAAAUGAGAAAAGAAUAGGAGCUAGGGUUUUGCAUUGUGAGAAAGGGAUAGAUAAAAAUCCACAGCCCUUGCCGUUCGGCAAGACAUAGCUGAGACUUUAAUAUAGGUAAGUCUGGUGCUAUCCCUUCGGCACGGUCCUUGCUUUCGACAGUUGGAGCUCUCAUUUCCUUCGGCAAGGGUGUUGGGUGCCGAGGCAAAGCUGGGCUGUGUAGUGAGUUUUGGGGGCUCUAGUCGAUCGGCAGGGGCGGUUUCGAGGGUGUGCCGUGAGCUUUCGAGGUGGCAUCGUGGGCUGGGUUCUUGAUAUAGAGGCGAAAACUUUCGAGCUGUCAGGACGUGUCUUGCCGUUCGGCAAGGGAUUUGGAAGCCAAACUCGCAGGUCCGCACGGCAAGGGUGGAUUGGUGCCGUUUGCAAGAGCCGGGUCUCAUUCGGCAGGUGGUUUUUGAGCGAGGGUGGAGCUGAUCACGGUCUUGCCGUUCGGCAAGGUUUCCACGACUGGUUCAAAUUGUUGGCAGGACAGCAUCGGCAGGGCUACACAACUGGUUCAAGUCAUUGGCGAGAGCUUCGGCAAGGCCACACGACCUGGUUCAAGUCGUUGGCGAGAGCUUCGGCAAGGCCACACGACCUGGUUCAAUUCGUCCGCUUGUGGGUUUCCGUUAGGGUCUGCACAGCCCUUGCCGUUCGGUAGGGCUUUGGUCAAGAAAAUUUCUAACCCCUCGGGCUGUCAGCAAGAAGGAAAGGCCUGGAUUAAGGGAUGUGAGCUGGGUCUGCCUUCGGUGACUAGGGUGCGUGCCAUAUGUUGACUGGGCUUGGCACGAGGCAAGGGGCUGGGUGAAGAAUCGGUGCUGGUCCUUCAGCAGUCGGGCACGUCCCUGAGGUUGCGGUAGGAGGGUGAAGCCGGGCUGCGUGGAUAUUUUGGCCAGAGCUGGAGUUGCUACAACAGUCCUUGCGGGCGGGCGCUAGACGGCUCGACAUCAGUCCCUGCCGAACGGUAAGGUUGGCGUGACUUUUUGGUGAAGGGUUUGUGAGCUGAAAGGGGGGUGACCUGAGUAAUUAUUCAGUCUGUGGGUGCCGAACGGCAGCUUUGGUUUCCACUAGCAUUUAAGGGGAGCAUGACGUAGGACGGUAGCUAGGUGCCAUCAGAGAUUUCUGCAGAGAUACCUUCUGUUUCAUAUGUGCCAAAUGGCCUGAAGCAAUGUUUGUUGGUUAUCAACAACAUUAUCCCUCAAAUAAUAAUAAACAAUAAGCAAUUAGUCAUGUUGCUUAUCAUUUGCAGAUUAUUCACGUGGCCUAGCCUUGGAUUUCUUCAUCCCAGUGGUGGUCCACUCCUUCCAAUAUUAAAUAAGGUAGCCAAUGAUGAAAUAAAGUCCCCUGGUAUAAAAUAGUGGCUUCCUCUUUUGGCCAUGCAAGCCAUGCAAGACAGGGUGCCGAAGGCGUCGUUCACGUUGGAGAGGCCGAGUGCUGAAAGCAUCGCACAUGCCGAGUAAUGCUGAGGUGUUGAACAUAUCGCUUGCACCGAAUAACUAUGUGGACUUCCAUUUGCAUUGAAAUGGUGGCUUGCUCUCUGGCCAUGCAAACCAUGUAAAGUAAUAUCCUUGGUUGGCAUCUUCCCAAUUGAAAUUCUUCAAGGUGACCUAACGGUAGGCUGCUUUUGCAAAUAUGUCUUCUGUAUGCUGGUGCCUUCAAACCCCAGGGUGUCUUCGACACAAAUGGUGCUAAACGGUAAGCCAAAAUAUGAUGCUGGAAAGGGUGCCGAGGGCACUAAAGGAAAGGAAGAACAUAAGCUUUUUGUGUUGAUUCCCACAGAUGGCGCCAAACUGUUGAUGCUCAAAAUGGUUCAGCCAAGGUUGAGUCCAACUUAGUGAUGAGGUGUGAUGGAUGAUGGAUGAAGGUGAGGACCUUCACCAAGUGUGUGAGGAUUUGGGCAAAUUUAACGAUAAACAUAUAGAAGACAAGAUAUACGUGGUUCACCCGAAUGAUGGGCUACGUCCACGGAGAAGGGUGUUCUCAUUAUGAUAAUGUUUGUUUACAUUUGUACAAGGGGAUUAGACCCAAAUAUAANNNNNNNNNNNNNNNNNNNNNNNNNNNNNNNNNNNNNNNNNNNNNNNNNNNNNNNNNNNNNNNNNNNNNNNNNNNNNNNNNNNNNNNNNNNNNNNNNNNNNNNNNNNNNNNNNNNNNNNNNNNNNNNNNNNNNNNNNNNNNNNNNNNNNNNNNNNNNNNNNNNNNNNNNNNNNNNNNNNNNNNNNNNNNNNNNNNNNNNNNNNNNNNNNNNNNNNNNNNNNNNNNNNNNNNNNNNNNNNNNNNNNNNNNNNNNNNNNNNNNNNNNNNNNNNNNNNNNNNNNNNNNNNNNNNNNNNNNNNNNNNNNNNNNNNNNNNNNNNNNNNNNNNNNNNNNNNNNNNNNNNNNNNNNNNNNNNNNNNNNNNNNNNNNNNNNNNNNNNNNNNNNNNNNNNNNNNNNNNNNNNNNNNNNNNNNNNNNNNNNNNNNNNNNNNNNNNNNNNNNNNNNNNNNNNNNNNNNNNNNNNNNNNNNNNNNNNNNNNNNNNNNNNNNNNNNNNNNNNNNNNNNNNNNNNNNNNNNNNNNNNNNNNNNNNNNNNNNNNNNNNNNNNNNNNNNNNNNNNNNNNNNNNNNNNNNNNNNNNNNNNNNNNNNNNNNNNNNNNNNNNNNNNNNNNNNNNNNNNNNNNNNNNNNNNNNNNNNNNNNNNNNNNNNNNNNNNNNNNNNNNNNNNNNNNNNNNNNNNNNNNNNNNNNNNNNNNNNNNNNNNNNNNNNNNNNNNNNNNNNNNNNNNNNNNNNNNNNNNNNNNNNNNNNNNNNNNNNNNNNNNNNNNNNNNNNNNNNNNNNNNNNNNNNNNNNNNNNNNNNNNNNNNNNNNNNNNNNNNNNNNNNNNNNNNNNNNNNNNNNNNNNNNNNNNNNNNNNNNNNNNNNNNNNNNNNNNNNNNNNNNNNNNNNNNNNNNNNNNNNNNNNNNNNNNNNNNNNNNNNNNNNNNNNNNNNNNNNNNNNNNNNNNNNNNNNNNNNNNNNNNNNNNNNNNNNNNNNNNNNNNNNNNNNNNNNNNNNNNNNNNNNNNNNNNNNNNNNNNNNNNNNNNNNNNNNNNNNNNNNNNNNNNNNNNNNNNNNNNNNNNNNNNNNNNNNNNNNNNNNNNNNNNNNNNNNNNNNNNNNNNNNNNNNNNNNNNNNNNNNNNNNNNNNNNNNNNNNNNNNNNNNNNNNNNNNNNNNNNNNNNNNNNNNNNNNNNNNNNNNNNNNNNNNNNNNNNNNNNNNNNNNNNNNNNNNNNNNNNNNNNNNNNNNNNNNNNNNNNNNNNNNNNNNNNNNNNNNNNNNNNNNNNNNNNNNNNNNNNNNNNNNNNNNNNNNNNNNNNNNNNNNNNNNNNNNNNNNNNNNNNNNNNNNNNNNNNNNNNNNNNNNNNNNNNNNNNNNNNNNNNNNNNNNNNNNNNNNNNNNNNNNNNNNNNNNNNNNNNNNNNNNNNNNNNNNNNNNNNNNNNNNNNNNNNNNNNNNNNNNNNNNNNNNNNNNNNNNNNNNNNNNNNNNNNNNNNNNNNNNNNNNNNNNNNNNNNNNNNNNNNNNNNNNNNNNNNNNNNNNNNNNNNNNNNNNNNNNNNNNNNNNNNNNNNNNNNNNNNNNNNNNNNNNNNNNNNNNNNNNNNNNNNNNNNNNNNNNNNNNNNNNNNNNNNNNNNNNNNNNNNNNNNNNNNNNNNNNNNNNNNNNNNNNNNNNNNNNNNNNNNNNNNNNNNNNNNNNNNNNNNNNNNNNNNNNNNNNNNNNNNNNNNNNNNNNNNNNNNNNNNNNNNNNNNNNNNNNNNNNNNNNNNNNNNNNNNNNNNNNNNNNNNNNNNNNNNNNNNNNNNNNNNNNNNNNNNNNNNNNNNNNNNNNNNNNNNNNNNNNNNNNNNNNNNNNNNNNNNNNNNNNNNNNNNNNNNNNNNNNNNNNNNNNNNNNNNNNNNNNNNNNNNNNNNNNNNNNNNNNNNNNNNNNNNNNNNNNNNNNNNNNNNNNNNNNNNNNNNNNNNNNNNNNNNNNNNNNNNNNNNNNNNNNNNNNNNNNNNNNNNNNNNNNNNNNNNNNNNNNNNNNNNNNNNNNNNNNNNNNNNNNNNNNNNNNNNNNNNNNNNNNNNNNNNNNNNNNNNNNNNNNNNNNNNNNNNNNNNNNNNNNNNNNNNNNNNNNNNNNNNNNNNNNNNNNNNNNNNNNNNNNNNNNNNNNNNNNNNNNNNNNNNNNNNNNNNNNNNNNNNNNNNNNNNNNNNNNNNNNNNNNNNNNNNNNNNNNNNNNNNNNNNNNNNNNNNNNNNNNNNNNNNNNNNNNNNNNNNNNNNNNNNNNNNNNNNNNNNNNNNNNNNNNNNNNNNNNNNNNNNNNNNNNNNNNNNNNNNNNNNNNNNNNNNNNNNNNNNNNNNNNNNNNNNNNNNNNNNNNNNNNNNNNNNNNNNNNNNNNNNNNNNNNNNNNNNNNNNNNNNNNNNNNNNNNNNNNNNNNNNNNNNNNNNNNNNNNNNNNNNNNNNNNNNNNNNNNNNNNNNNNNNNNNNNNNNNNNNNNNNNNNNNNNNNNNNNNNNNNNNNNNNNNNNNNNNNNNNNNNNNNNNNNNNNNNNNNNNNNNNNNNNNNNNNNNNNNNNNNNNNNNNNNNNNNNNNNNNNNNNNNNNNNNNNNNNNNNNNNNNNNNNNNNNNNNNNNNNNNNNNNNNNNNNNNNNNNNNNNNNNNNNNNNNNNNNNNNNNNNNNNNNNNNNNNNNNNNNNNNNNNNNNNNNNNNNNNNNNNNNNNNNNNNNNNNNNNNNNNNNNNNNNNNNNNNNNNNNNNNNNNNNNNNNNNNNNNNNNNNNNNNNNNNNNNNNNNNNNNNNNNNNNNNNNNNNNNNNNNNNNNNNNNNNNNNNNNNNNNNNNNNNNNNNNNNNNNNNNNNNNNNNNNNNNNNNNNNNNNNNNNNNNNNNNNNNNNNNNNNNNNNNNNNNNNNNNNNNNNNNNNNNNNNNNNNNNNNNNNNNNNNNNNNNNNNNNNNNNNNNNNNNNNNNNNNNNNNNNNNNNNNNNNNNNNNNNNNNNNNNNNNNNNNNNNNNNNNNNNNNNNNNNNNNNNNNNNNNNNNNNNNNNNNNNNNNNNNNNNNNNNNNNNNNNNNNNNNNNNNNNNNNNNNNNNNNNNNNNNNNNNNNNNNNNNNNNNNNNNNNNNNNNNNNNNNNNNNNNNNNNNNNNNNNNNNNNNNNNNNNNNNNNNNNNNNNNNNNNNNNNNNNNNNNNNNNNNNNNNNNNNNNNNNNNNNNNNNNNNNNNNNNNNNNNNNNNNNNNNNNNNNNNNNNNNNNNNNNNNNNNNNNNNNNNNNNNNNNNNNNNNNNNNNNNNNNNNNNNNNNNNNNNNNNNNNNNNNNNNNNNNNNNNNNNNNNNNNNNNNNNNNNNNNNNNNNNNNNNNNNNNNNNNNNNNNNNNNNNNNNNNNNNNNNNNNNNNNNNNNNNNNNNNNNNNNNNNNNNNNNNNNNNNNNNNNNNNNNNNNNNNNNNNNNNNNNNNNNNNNNNNNNNNNNNNNNNNNNNNNNNNNNNNNNNNNNNNNNNNNNNNNNNNNNNNNNNNNNNNNNNNNNNNNNNNNNNNNNNNNNNNNNNNNNNNNNNNNNNNNNNNNNNNNNNNNNNNNNNNNNNNNNNNNNNNNNNNNNNNNNNNNNNNNNNNNNNNNNNNNNNNNNNNNNNNNNNNNNNNNNNNNNNNNNNNNNNNNNNNNNNNNNNNNNNNNNNNNNNNNNNNNNNNNNNNNNNNNNNNNNNNNNNNNNNNNNNNNNNNNNNNNNNNNNNNNNNNNNNNNNNNNNNNNNNNNNNNNNNNNNNNNNNNNNNNNNNNNNNNNNNNNNNNNNNNNNNNNNNNNNNNNNNNNNNNNNNNNNNNNNNNNNNNNNNNNNNNNNNNNNNNNNNNNNNNNNNNNNNNNNNNNNNNNNNNNNNNNNNNNNNNNNNNNNNNNNNNNNNNNNNNNNNNNNNNNNNNNNNNNNNNNNNNNNNNNNNNNNNNNNNNNNNNNNNNNNNNNNNNNNNNNNNNNNNUCGUCACCUUGGCCUACCAUUUUGAGCAUCAACAGUUUGGCGCCGUCUGUGGGAAAUGACACAAAAGGCUUCUGUCGUUCUCCCUUCUUCCGUGCCGUUCGGCACCCCUUUGAUCAACGUCCCCCAACUUGCCGUUCGGUAAUACUUGUGCUGAAGCAAUCAUGAGUCAUCAAAAUAUCAACCAGCUGAAGACAUAUAUUUGCCGAAGCCACCCACCAAUCAGACACUGUCUAAAGUUUGACUUUGGAGAUUGCCCAAUAUUCUCAUCCAUAAAGAACACCAUCUUCCGUUGCUUGCAUGGCCAAGGAGCAGAACACUGUUCCAAUUAAUCUAAAGAAUGCCCGUGCAUCCCCACUAUGAGAUAAGAUUCCUAUACUUAUAUUGAAUUAUUUCAACAUAGUUGCAAGCAUGCAAUAUUUAAUAAUUCACUACGAAGUCCCAUUCAACAAUAUGAAUAUUGCAUAUGUCUAACAGCUGUUCAGAUUCAUUCACUUUGAAAAGUUCCAAUUUGGUAGUGGCCCAAUACUCCAACUCACCAAAAAUAUCAUUUUUUGCAUGGCUUGCAUGGAAUGCCCGUCCCAAAGCCACCAUAAACCCAUCUAUCUGAAGACAAAAUACGAGGACUAGAUCGGCACCCAGUUUUCUAAGCUUAUCUCCAAUAAUUUAGCUUCAGCCAAUGCCUUUCAGAAGCCAUAUCAACCUCCGAAUUCUGCCAAGUACCGUUCGGCAGUCCCAGAUUGAAGCAAGAUACCACACCCAACUCCAGAUUAUCUCAUAUUUGAAGACUCUCCGUACCAAAGCAUCUGCACCCACAACAAAUGACAGAUACGAGCUCCAGGCCAGCUCGCUAAUUCCUUGUCCCACCAGGAACGGCACCACUGAUAAGAAUUCCAGUAGGCCAACGACACCAUUCUUACAGCUCUGUCAAACGACAUCUACUUGGAAAAUUUCUCAGGACACCCAAUGUGUGUCUUCAUACAAAGUGGGAAAAAAUAUAUUGACUGAAAAGUGCCGAGAGCUUGAGAACUUGCUGGACAUGGUCCUCCUUCAACCCACUCUGCCAACAUCUCACAAGACACCCAAGCCACCACGACGACCUUGCUGCUUGCCGAAGCAGCCUUCCUUCAGCACAGCCAAUGAUGAAGGUUCAAACACCUUGCCAAACGGUUGCUACGCAGACCAAGCCAAAACCUCACAAGCCCUCUUGCCGAAGACACCACAGGCUCUCAAAAAAUUUCAAUCCGCCCUUGCCGUUCGGCAAGGGUUGAGCAAAUACAAUUAAAGCCUCACAAAAUCGGUUCUGAACCAAGUUGACUUUGCCGAAUCUUCCUCUGCAGCUUGGGACUUGCCCCGUCGCACACGGCGAAUCUUCAGCCGAGCCCUGCCGAUCGGCAGCGUCGUUGAGAGGUAGCUAGCUCCUUCACACGAUGACCUCGCCAAGAUGAGCUCGCCAGCAGCUGCCCGUGCUCCCUCCAAAUCGAAUUGUUGAAGGCAUACGGCGCAACCCUAGCUCCUACUCUACUCUUAUCAUUUGGCCAAGGCCCGUCUCGGGUCCAACCCUUGCAAAUCCGUACCCACGCCAGCUUGGUCCCUUGCCGAACGGCAAGGGCCAUGAAAAUAAAAACAAACACGAGCCCACACAACACCCGACCAUCUUGCUACAAACCCAUCUAAGGCUCAACUCAUUCUUUGGCCAAAACCCAUGGGGCUUUCGAAUAACCCAAGUCCCAUUUUCAACCCCUUGCCGAACGGCAGGGGUCAUUCAGUUUUUUGAAGAGGCUUACACAAGCCUUAGCCUGCCAAAGGGUCUAGCUCACCACGGUCUUGUACAAAAAAAAAAAAAAAAAAAAAAAAAAAAAUUGGCUAGACCCUUGCCGAACGGCAAGGGCCAUGGAGGAAUUGUGGCGAAGUCUAAAAUUUUCAAGACCCGGCUCCCUCGGCUCCCUCGAAGGCCUAGCCCCCGAAGUCUAAAAUUUUCAGGACCCGGCUCCCUCGAAGGCCUAGCCCCCGAAGUCUAAAAUUUUCACGACCCGGCUCCCUCGAAGGCCUAGCCCCCGAAGUCCAACAUUUUCAAAGUACCCGGCUCCCUCGAAGGCCUAGCUCCCGAAGUCUAAAAUUUUCAAGACCCGGCUCCUUCGAAGGCCUAGCCCCCGAAGUCCAACAUUUUCAAAGGACCCGGCUCCCUCGAAGGUCCCUCGAAGGCCUAGCCCCCGAAGUCUAAAAUUUUCAAGACCCGGCUCCCUCGAAGGCCUAGCUCCCGAAGUCUAAAAUUUUCAAGACCCGGCUCCCUCGAAGGCCUAGCCCCCGAAGUCUAAAAUUUUCAAGACCUGGCUCCCUCGAAGGCCUAGCUCCUGAAGUCUAAAAUUUUCAAGACCCGGCUCCCUCGAAGGCCUAGCUCCCGAAGUCUAAAAUUUUCAAGACCCGGCUCCCUCGAAGGCCUAGCCCCCGAAGUCCAACAUUUUCAAAGUACCCGGCUCCCUCGAAGGCCUAGCCCCCGAAGUCUAAAAUUUUCACGACCCGGCUCCCUCGAAGGCCUAGCCCCCGAAGUCUAAAAUUUUCACGACCCGGCUCCCUCGAAGGCCUAGCCCCCGAAGUCCAACAUUUUCAAAGGACCCGGCUCCCUCGAAGGCCUAGCCCCCGAAGUCUAAAAUUUUCAAGACCCGGCUCCCUCGAAGGCCUAGCCCCCGAAGUCUUAAAUUUUCACGACCCGGCUCCCUCGAAGGCCUAGCCCCCGAAGUCCAACAUUUUCAAAGUACCCGGCUCCCUCGAAGGCCUAGCUCCCGAAGUCUAAAAUUUUCAAGACCCGGCUCCCUCAAAGGCCUAGCCCCCGAAGUCUAAAAUUUUCAAGACCCGGCUCCCUCGAAGGCCUAGCCCCCGAAGUCUAAAAUUUUCAAGACCCGGCUCCCUCGAAGGCCUAGCUCCCGAAGCUCAAAAGAAAAACAUAAACACAAAAGGCUAGACCCUUGCCGAACGGCAGGGCCAUGGAGGAACUAUGGAGAGUCCAAAUUUCCAAAUGGCCCGGCCAUUCNNNNNNNNNNNNNNNNNNNNNNNNNNNNNNNNNNNNNNNNNNNNNNNNNNNNNNNNNNNNNNNNNNNNNNNNNNNNNNNNNNNNNNNNNNNNNNNNNNNNNNNNNNNNNNNNNNNNNNNNNNNNNNNNNNNNNNNNNNNNNNNNNNNNNNNNNNNNNNNNNNNNNNNNNNNNNNNNNNNNNNNNNNNNNNNNNNNNNNNNNNNNNNNNNNNNNNNNNNNNNNNNNNNNNNNNNNNNNNNNNNNNNNNNNNNNNNNNNNNNNNNNNNNNNNNNNNNNNNNNNNNNNNNNNNNNNNNNNNNNNNNNNNNNNNNNNNNNNNNNNNNNNNNNNNNNNNNNNNNNNNNNNNNNNNNNNNNNNNNNNNNNNNNNNNNNNNNNNNNNNNNNNNNNNNNNNNNNNNNNNNNNNNNNNNNNNNNNNNNNNNNNNNNNNNNNNNNNNNNNNNNNNNNNNNNNNNNNNNNNNNNNNNNNNNNNNNNNNNNNNNNNNNNNNNNNNNNNNNNNNNNNNNNNNNNNNNNNNNNNNNNNNNNNNNNNNNNNNNNNNNNNNNNNNNNNNNNNNNNNNNNNNNNNNNNNNNNNNNNNNNNNNNNNNNNNNNNNNNNNNNNNNNNNNNNNNNNNNNNNNAUGCAGCUUUGUGCCUUCGGCAUCCCCUAUGCCUUCGGCACCCCCGUGCCUAGCUCUAUUAUCUUGCAACAUGCAAGUCUUAUGCCUUCGGCACCCUCGUGCCUAGGCCCAUCACCUUGCAACAUGCAAGUCUUAUGCCUUCGGCACCCUCGUGCCUAGGCACAUUGCCUUGCGACAUGCAAGCUUUGUGCCUUCGGCAUCCCCUAUGCCUUCGGCACCCCCGUGCCUAGCUUUAUUGUCUUGCAACAUGCAUGUCUUAUGCCUUCGGCACCCUCGUGCCUAGGCCCAUCACCUUGCGACAUGCAAGUCUUAUGCCUUCGGCACCCUCGUGCCUAGGCCCAUCACCUUGCGACAUGCAAUUCUUAUGCCUUCGGCACCCUCGUGCCUAGGCAUAUUGCCUUGCGACAUGCAAGCUUUGUGCCUUCGGCAUCCCCUAUGCCUUCGGCACCCCCGUGCCUAGCUUUAUUGUCUUGCAACAUGCAAGUCUUAUGCCUUCGGCACCCUCGUGCCUAGGCCCAUCGCCUUGCGACAUGCAAUUCUAAUGCCUUCGGCACCCUCGUGCCUAGGCACAUUGCCUUGCGACAUGCAAGCUUUGUGCCUUCGGCAACCCCUUCACCUUCGGCACCCUCGUGCCAAGUUCUCUCCCUUCCAAAUGUCCUUCUUACCCGGGGACUUGGGGGACUAUGGGUAGUGCACUAUACGGCUUGGAAGAUGAACUAUGGUGUUGCUCGGCCAGUGCACUUAAAAUUACAAGUCCCCAACCAAGAAGUACCUUCUUACUCGAGAACUUGGGGGACUACUGUUGGUACCGUAACUGACCGAGCAACUAGUUAGGCUAGAUCAUCCACGUGCCAUGCUUUGAGAGGUCAUCACCUUAGCCAAAGAAGCAUCACCACAAAUCACAACUCUAAGCAAAGCAAGAGGAGUCCCACAUCGGAAAACUACAAGAGAUGAAGACUCCCCCUCACCUAUAAAAGAAGACUGCUCUUUCCUUAGAAGAGGAUCCUGGUCUUGGACCUAGACCCUUAGGCCUUGGACUCUCUCUUCUGGAUCCAUCUCUGGGCUGGGCUUCUCACUUGUUAUCUUUAUAUUUGGGUCUAAUCCCCUUGUACAAAUGUAAACAAACAUUAUCAUAAUGAGAACACCCUUCUCCGUGGACGUAGCCCAUCAUUCGGGUGAACCACGUAUAUCUUGUCUUUUAUAUGUUUAUCGCUUGCCCAAAUCCUCACACACUUGGUGAAGGUCCUCACCUUCAUCCAUCAUCUAUCACACCUCAUCACUAAGUUGGACUCAACCUUGGCCUAACCAUUUUGAGCAUCAACAAUAUAUUUUAGAUUAUGAAGCUACAUACGAUAUCUCGGGUCUUCCUAAAGUAUCAUCCAUUCCAAUGCAUUCAAGCAUGCAAGGAUGUGCCUAUUUGGGCUUGUAUAAUUCAUCGAACAUCUCUAAUCCAAAUAGAAUCUAUAAUUAAUUUGACUUGCUUGAAAUCACUCAUUGGAGAAAUAUUCAAUUGAGAUUUUAAUAGAUUAUUUUGAAGUUUAAAAGUUUAGUGGUAUUCAAUUAGGAUUUUUAAGUAAUCAAUAAAAAUAUGGUGGUAUUCAAUUAAUUUUUUUAAAUAAUCAAUCCAAGUCUUGUGGUAUUCAAUUAGGACUUUUAAAAGAUAAGAAAAAGUAAGGUGGUAUUAAAAAACUUAACGAUUUUGAGGUAUUUCGUUAAAUGGUGUAUUGUGUGAGACUUUGAAGUGGGUGAUAUAAAUACCAAACCCCAUAAAAAAAUCCCACCCUCCUACGCUUGAUUCUCACGUUUUUUAUUUUUGGGGAAGAUGAACAAAUGAAGAUAAACAAGGUACUCAUGGCUUUACAAGGGCUUGGUUUAACAAGACUCGAUCCUUCUGUAUUUAGUGGAUAGACUCAGAUAGUUGUCUUUGUUUUCUUUGCUUUCUCUAGUCUAUCUUGUUUUCUUUUUCUCCUGGCUGUUUGGUUGCAGGAGGUGUUUCCCGGCUGCCUUUCUUUUGGCUUCAUGUCUAUACUGUUUGUUUGCUUUCACCUUAUGGAUAAUCUCUUUGCCCAAUAAAAAAAGAGACUUAGAUGGCCUACCUUCAGAUAUCUAAACAAUAAUUUCAGAUACGUUGCUUUUAAUAGUUGUUCAUAUUAUGCAAUAUGCGUGCAUUUUUCUCAAUUGAUUUUCAGCUCAUUUAUUUCCUUUGAUUUAUUUCUCUUUCUUUAGUCAAUUUGUGCAAUCAAUUUGAGUGACAAGUGUUCUGUAUUAGUAUCAUGUCAUAGCUGGACCAUUUUGACUUGUUUUCAGCUGUCCAGUUUCUUAUUUGAAUUGAUUUAAUUAACUUGUCUGUUGCAAUAUUUAUAAAUUCAAUUAAUUCAAGAUUUUUCCUUUUUCCUAUGUCAAUUCUCAGUUCCAGACCAAGUUCUCUAUCCAAAACUUAAUAGUUGUAUGGUUUUAGUUGAAUGACAGUUAUGUUUGAAUUUUGGGACCGCUAUGGUUUUAACUCUAGAACAGGAAAGCCACACAUGACAGAUAGUAAUGAUAACUUGAGCUAAGAUUGGUGUAACUUCAACUUCUGCUUCUUUAAAGGCUUGACAUCCUUUAACUAAUGGGAAAGAUGGCUAACCUGAAUCUAAUCCACACUUCGGUGAAAUCUACUUUGGAGAAUACAAGAAAGUCCUACAUGAAUUAAAAUCAUAAGUAAAAUCUUGUAAUUACAAUCUAUUAAAAUCAUAAGAAAAAUCAUGUAAUAACAAAUCAUGCUGAAAUCUAUUACAUUAAAAUAAUGUAAUUACAAUCUAUUAAAAUCUUAAUUGAAUACACCCUCCGUUAGAUUCUCCUCAUUUUUGGUACUUCCUUGAGCUUGUGGAUGUAUCUUUUAAAAAUAUCCAUUACAAUUGUGGUACACAUGGAUGUUGAACAGGGUCACAAGUGCUCACAUGACAACCUUUUGCGAUAUUCCAAAAUGCCUAUACUUUACAAACCACAGCUACAAGCCAUGUGUUUUAAUCCUUGAAGCAAAUGGAGACUACACCAAGUCAAGGAGGAGGAGCUUAAUUAAUGGUAUUUUAUUGUUGUUGAUGAGCACAUUUUAUAUCUUAAUUUAUAUUCCUAAAAUAUAUUUAUUAGUCCCUUUUAUCUGAUAAAUUUAGUUUAUUUUGAUGAAAUUUUGUAUUGUGUAGAGUUAGAGACAAAAGGUUAAAUUUGGUGCAUUACUUUGACUAACUGUCACUACUACAAAAAAGCAAAAAGACGACGGUAAAUCACCGUCGUGUAUUCGGUUUUUCAAUGGUCGUGGAAUCCACCGUCAUCUUUUCCCUCAUAAACCACGAUGCUAAAUCACCGUCGUUGUUAAAACAUACAACGUCAUCAACAAAUACAAAACGACGUCUUUGUACUGCAAAAAGAUCUAAAAAAGUAGUCGAGGAUGAGAAUAGACGACCAACUCUCUAAAAAAACCGUCGUUAAAAAGGAAAAAUAUGACACAUAUUAAGAGAACAAGGCCGCAAGAUAGACAUACAACGACGAAAAUAAAAAUACGACGCCGUUAAAUAUCAUUUUCACGACAAUAAAAAAUUUGACGUCUUUAAAUACAUUAGAAGACGACGUUAUUGAUACCUACUACGUCGCAUAUAUAAAAACAGUCGUCGUAAAAUUAAUUUUCCACUUCGAUUUUUCGAUAAAAGAUGACGUGGAAAUAGUUGUCAGUGUCAUUAUUUACGACGUAUGUAUUUAUAGAGUAGACGUUGAAAAACGAAACAACGUCGGUUACAAAUAUAUGAGAGUCGUAUUACAAAAUUUAUACGUCAUAUUUUCAGAAACAAACAACGACGAUAAAUAUUAGACGUUGUUAAAUAAAACAACGUCGGAAAACAAUAAAAACAGACGUGUUUAGUCUGCUAAAGUUCUAGAAAAUAGUCGAGGAUGAGAAUAGACGACCAACUCAAACAAAUCACCGUCGUUAAAAAGGAAAAAUAUGACACAUGUUAAAAGAACAAGGCCGCAAGAUAUACAUACAACGACGACAACUAAAAUACUACGCCGUUAAAUAUAAUUUACACGACAAGAAAAAAUAUGACGUCUUUAAAUACAUGAGAAGACGACGUUAUUGAAAUAUACUACGUCUCUUAUUUACAAACAACCGUCGUGAAAUAAAUUUUCCACUUCGAUUUUUCUAAAAAAGAUGACGUGGAAAUAGUUGUCAGUGUCAUUAUUUACGACGUAUGUAUUUAUACAGUUGACGUUGAAAUGCGAAACAACGUCGGUGGCAUUUAUAUAGUCGACGUUGUAUUUAUAUCUAUCAUCAUUACUCACGACGCACUUAAUAAUAUAGACGACGUUGAACUUCUAAACAACGUCGGUUCCAAAUAAAUGAGAGCCGUAUUACAGAACAUAUAGACGGCGUUGAUUAUGAUGAGAGCCGUAUUACAAAUAACGUCGUUUAAUUGUUAUUAGACGGCGGUUAUAAUGAAUUUCCGUCGGAAUUCAUUUCGUUCCUCUUCGUUUAUAAAAGAACUUGCGACGUGGAAAAUGUAUGAUGACGUCGUAUUUUUUAACGUUCAGAUUAUAUAUCUCGUUUUUUAGACGUCGGUAUUAUGGGAUUGGAGUCGUGUUAUUUUGAAUUACAUGGCGGUUCUUAAUCUUUCCCCGACGUGAUAUCCUGAAUAAUUGCUUCACAAUAGCGUCGUGGUUCUUCAUUGUUACGUUGCUUUAAGACGUCGGUAAAUAUGCUGAAUAACUGGUUCACAAUAACGUCGUGUUUUAUUUGGCAUAUAUAGACUACGGAUUUUCAACAGACGUCGUCUAUUAUAAGUAAUACAAACGACGGUUUAUGAAAAAACCGUCGUGUAUAAGUAAUACAACGACGGUAGUUUAAAAAAACCGUCGUGUAAUCGUCGUCGUAUGCCUUAAAAUUCGUCGUGUCUCAGUUUAUUUUCAAGAACACAAAACCCAUUAAGAACACAACAUAUAUAUGAAACCAAGCAAGAAACCAACAUAUACAUGAAACCAAGCAUGAAAACAAUAAAUCCAUUCCCAAUUCAACAUAACAUAGGGUGAUUAAAAGAUACGACAAAAUUAAAUCCAUUCCCAAUUCAACAUAACAGAUAAUGUAAUCCAUGAACCCAUUAAACAGAAAAUCCAUGAACCCAUACCUAUAAGCACAUUAUUAACAGAUCGCAAAGCAUACACAUAAAACCCUUUAACAAAACAACCUAAUAUCACUCGAAUCGAAUUUACAAGGGGAAGAUAGGGUUUGUACUUAUAGGUUGGACGAGCUCACAGAUUCGACGGAGCCUGGAGAGUGCAACUUUGCACCUUCUCCAGAGCGAAAAAUGACAAGAUCAAAUAAAGGUGUACUUUUGCUGGAAAUCAACACAAAAAGACACAGAUCACCAACUUCCAAAUGAUUGUCACGCACAACGUCCAUCCAACCACGCCUGAAUCUGGGCCUUCCUUUGCUCAAACCAACAGACCAAAGUUCUACAAGUACCGACGUAAAUUUAAUAUUCCACGACGGAAACUUCAUUUUUCGGAUUAAGAACGUAAGGCCGUUCAUUUUGAAGCUUCAUUUUUCGGAUUAAUUUUAAAUUAAUUUUGAAUUUUUUAUAUAACGACGACUGAAAAACCACGUCGGUGUUAAGAAAUUAAAGACGUUGUAAAUUAUAUAAACCGACUUACAUAUUAAAAUGACGUCGUUUAAAGCGUAAACCAUGUCGUAUGUUUUUCUGUACGACGUAAAAUAUGUAUUCCACGACGCAACCACCGUCGUUAAAAAUUAAUACCCUAAACCCAUAAAACUAAAUUAUACAAUUUAAAAAAUUAAGUUUAUAAAAGGUUUUAUGGUUUUAAAGCCUAACAUAUACCCUAGACUACCCAAAAAUUAUACUUUAAAAAUAAACCCCAAUAAAUAACAACCCUAAUCUCUAAACCCUAGACUCUAAACCCUAAACCAUAAAACUAGAAGUGAUUUUAUGACUCAUCAAAACAAUUUUGUUUUGGAUGGUCAUUUUAAAUUUUUGUUAUUCAAAAUGAAUUUUUUCAAGGUUUAUGUGGAAGAAAAUAUAUCAAUGACUUCAUAGGAGUUGACUUUUCAAUUUUCUGAUUUAUUUUAAAUUUAUUUUGAAUAUUUUGAUAUAAAAAUAAUAAAAUAUUCUUACCACAACAACAAACCACGUCGGUGUUAAUAAAUUGUAGACGUUGUAAAUUGUAAUAGACUACUAAGUCGUUAAAAUGACGUCGUUAAAAUGAGAAACCAUGGCGGCUAUUUAAAUAUACGACGUAAAAUAUAUAUUCCACGACUUAACCGCUGUCGUUACAUAAACGUCGUCGAUGAUACCCUGAACCCUUAAGAAAUUGAAGAUGUUGUAAACCAUAAACGACUCAAUUGUUCAAAGAACGUCGUCUAACUAUAUUUUUACGUCGUAUUUGUUUAAAACACGAAACAACAAAAUACGACGGUUUUUGACUUUAUUAGGUCGUUGGAAAAGUAUUACACGUCGGUUAAGCAAUUUGUAUGUUUUUUUUUUUUAAUUUAAGAAAACCUCAACAAAUUUUUACAUUACAUAUUAUAGAGAAAAUUUGUACAUUAUACAUAAAUAUCAAGUGUUCAAUAAUUGCCCUGUUUAAUAAUUUGGAAAACAAACUCUGCCCAUUCAUUCCGGACUUCAUCAAUGGCUUCUUGGGGGUAUGAAGCUUCCUGGUUUCCCUUGGCAUACUGCAUAAACAAUGACUAUUAGGGUUUAUAAAUAAAAAGAAAUUCAAUCACAGACGACGAUAUUUUUCAUAACCGACGUAGUAUAUCCAUUCAACGACGUUAAUUUUACAUGACCGUCGUUGAUAAUACAAAAAACGACUUGAAAUGUAUGAAGGUAAUUUCUUCUUACCUUAUUCUCAAACCCCAAGGAAGGAUCCAUGAUGAUGUCCCUCAUGAAGCGCAUCACAUAAUACCCGCAUUCGACAUUGCUGGGUUGCUUUGGUGUGCCUGAGAGAGUUUUCCAAAUUACAUUUUUACGUCCUGCUCGGGCUAUGUGGGUAUUAUAUAUUUUUAAAGCACUGUUCACGAUGUUUUUCGCCUCUUCGUCGACCACACGAUGACCUGGCAGAGGAUCCAGAAAAUAGACGGUCUCCUUCUUUGCUCUUACAAUCAGCAAGAUCCAAUGACGGCUGCACAAAAUUAAUAUAAAAACGACGGUUAUUUACAAAAACGACGUAUUAUAGUAUUUCACACGACGAAAUAAAGUAGAUAACGACGACAUUAUAUAUUUAUCACGACGAUAAAUAAAUACCGACGUGGUUAGUAGUUUCAAACGACUAAAUAAAAUAAAACACCGACGUGAUUAGUUUAUAAGCUGUCAUUUAUUGAAAAUCAUAAAAACAAAAUCCUAAGGAGACUAACCCUGGAUUGUAAGGCAUCAUGAAAAUCUGUUCACCGUCUGUCUUCUGAAGUCGAGCUGCUACCAGUCGUGAUCUUUCAGUUAUUGUGCCAGAGUUAGCACUAACUGUAGCAGGGUCGAUAAAGCCAACCAUGCUGCACAUAUUGGCUUGUUUCAAAAUAUCGUGUAAGUACCUAAAUACAUAAAAUAAUAUAAACAAGUCAGCACAAACAAACACGACGGUUAUGUAUAAAAAAACGACGUAUUAUAAUAUUUCACACGACGUACUGAAAUAGAUGAGGACGUUAUAAUAUAUUUAUCACGACGGUAGUUAGUUAAGACGACGUGGUUAGUUAGUUAAGACGACGCAAUAUAUAAACCAACGAGGUAUUAUUUUAGAAGUACAAACCUCAUAUAUACAGCCAAUACAGUAGCUCCAAUUUCUUCCAUGCCUGCAAAUUGUGUAAUAUCUUCAGGCAGGAGGAAGGUAUCGCGCUCACCACCAAACACCUCCUUAUCAAUUGUAAAUUGGAGUGUCUUAUCCUCAGGCAGGAGUGUCGUUUCCACAAAACGACAAAGGGUUUUUAAAGAAGAUGGCGCCUCCAUAUUUGAAUAAGCACCAACUUCAAUAACCUGUUUAAAGAAAUAAAAAAAAUGACGUGGUAAUUCAAUAAAGACGACGGUUUAAGGAAUAAAACGUCGUCUUAAAAGUAUUUAAACGACGGUGAAAAAACUGUCGUGGUAAUUCAAUAAAGACGACGGUUUUAUGAAUAAAGCGUCGUCUGAAACCAUUUAAACGACGGUGCAAAAACCGUCGUUUAAAUAUUUUAUUACGUCUUAAAAAAAGUCCGCCGUCUAAGUUUUAAACAAACGACGGAUUAAAUAAAAAUAUCGACGUCUGAAAUUUUGAAAAACAAAUAAAAAAGGCAAAGUUAUGUGAACAUACCUUGUCGUCAUGCUUUUCUUCAUCUUCUUUCUCCUUUUCUUCUUCCUUCUCUUCAUCUCUUUUUUCUUCUUCCUUCUCUUCAUCUGGCUGAUGUUUCCCCAUUUUGGCAGUAUCAUCCUCCAAAUGUAGGGAUCUCACAUCACCUCCAGAGCAGCUAGCUUUGUCAGACAUUGGAUUUUUGGGGCUUUGGCUAAUUCUUGGUUUAAGCAUGCUUGGAUCAAAAUUGGGAAUUAAUUGGGAAAGCUGACUCAGGAAAUGCUCCCUCUCAGCCUCUACCAAUUGUUUUGUCCUAGCCUCCAUCCUUAAGGCCUCUUCCCUUGCCUUAGCCUCCAUCUUUUUAGUCUCUUCUUGAAGGAGAACUCUUAAACUGUCCUUCAAACGGUCGUCAAAGCUCACCCUCUGUGGUUUGGGCAAAUUGAAAUAUUGCCUUGGGGAAACACCAGCACCAACUCCCCUCACUCUGCCUGGAUGCUCGGGGCCCAAAGCCAUGGUCAGCACAUCAUUGCUGCCAUCUACUCUGACUUUGCCUUCCGAGACUUGUUUCUGCAAUUCAUCCUAAAACAAAGAUAAACAAAAAAACACACGACGGUUAUUUAUGUAUAAACGACGUAUUAUAUAAUUUCACACGACGCAAUAACGUAUAAACCGACGUUAUUAUAACUUAUCACGACGGUAGUUAUACCGACGUGGUUAUUUAUUUAAAACGACGAAAUGAAUAAACAACCGACGUCUUAUGCUAUAAUUAAAGAAAACAGAGUAGUGAUUCCUAUUUAGACCGUUAACGACGUUUUUAAAAAAGUUUCGACGUGGUAAUAUCAUUCAAACGACGCGAAAAUGAACCACCGACGUCUUAUGCUAUAAUUACAGAAAAUUAGUAGUGAUUCCUAUUUAGACCUUUAACGACGUUUUUAAAAACUUUUCGACGUGGUAAUAUCAUUCACACGACGAAAAAUAUAACAUACGACGUAAUAAGAAUAAUUCACAUUUUAAUAAAAAUUUAAAACAGAGUGAUAGUAGGCUUACAAUUAAUUUUGCUUUCUCUGCCACCUUUGGAUCAGGGAUGUUACCAUGUUUGUCCUGUCUAGCUCUCUUCCAUAAGGUAGAUCGAUCAAUUUCUACCCCAGGCAUGGUUUCCUCCAAUUGAUCCUCCAAUCCAGCAUAUCCUUUUCGAGACAAUCGAUGAUUGUACUCGAGUUUCUCCCUAAUCUGUGCAUGUUGAGAAUGCACAGACUCAAAAUCUUUGGAUAGCCUUGAAGCUACAAAGGCAUCCCAUUGUGCUUUCUCUAUGAAUUUAUAUGUUUCAGGGGGUUGGCUUAAUUUCUCCCUGUCAUUGGUGUAUGGAAGGAUAUAAUGCCUCGUUAGUGUAGACUUGAAAUCCUUCCAUUUCUUGGAAGCAGAAGCUAAAACAGAGGUCUUGCCCCCUUGGCCUACGACAAAAGCCAUGUCAACUGCUUCCCAAAUCUGCUCCUUUAUAUCCUUGGGGAUUUGGGACCAUUUCUUGUCCACAAGUGGGAUCCUGGAGCGUGCCAACACACCAAUAUACGACUGCAUCUCAAUAUGUGCUUGGCCAACACCUUUCCCCCUUUUAUUGUACUCAACAAUUGGCCUCAGUUUCUGAAGCUUUCUCUUCACAACACGAGGCAUUGUGCUCAUACCUCGACCAGUCUUUGAAUCAUCAGAGAUUGUUGUCUGGCUGGUUGGUUCUGUCUCAGCAGAUGAUGAAGCAAACUUCAUCUUCUUCGAAGACUUCAUCUCCUUCGAAGACUUGUCUUGAGGAGCUACCAUUCCAAGCUUCUUGGAGCCAGAAUCCUUAGUUUGUUGUUGAGAAACCAUUUUAACAGACAAAACUGAAAGUGAAAAUAUUUCAGGAAAACAUUAAGAACACAAACGACGGUAUUAAAAAAAUACGACGUAUGAUAUGAUUUUAGACGACGCAAUGAAAUAAUCUCAGACGUAAUAAAUGUUUAAAACCAUUAUUUACAUAACGUCGUGGUAUAUAUGUUCACACGACGUCAAUAGUAAUACACCGUCGUGGUAAACUAUUAUUUAUAUAACGUCGUGGUAUUUAUGUUCAUACGACGUUAAUAGUAAUACACCGUCGUGGUAUUAACAUUCACACGACGUAAAACAAUAAGAUAUUUUGUCGUCUAUAUUAGAUACCAACCCUAGUUUCUUUUUCUUUAUAUUUUAUCAAAUAAGGGAAAAACAAAAACCAUUGUUCAGAGAAAUCAAACCUGCAAUUAAACAAGCAUAUAAAAAAAGACUAUUAUUUUAAAAACAACUUUGUCAAUUUUCAGACGACGCUAGAACAACUGACGAACCGUCGUGGUCUACCGUCGUCUUAUUUAGUUGAGGUAGUUGUCUUCAAAGUUGGAAACUUUCCCUCUUUGUCUGUAUAUUUUAUCAAACUUGGAAAGAAGUAAAAUGAUUUUGGCCAGAAAAAAGGUAAAAAGAUUUUUCAAACAAAAAACGUAUGAGCAUGCAAAACAGUAACCAAAAUAGUGAAAAUGAAAGCUUACCUUUUGCGUGCAAUGAAAGCAAGAGGAAGAUGAUCGAUGUUUAAGUUCAAGGACGACGAAGAAGACGAGAGGAAGACGAUGAGAAACUCUGACAAUGCUCUGACAAGGAAAAAAGACGAAAAGGUUUCUCUGGAGAUUGAAAUUUUUAAUCGGGUUUGGAAACAGUGCAUGUGUAAGUCGAAAAGUUGCUUACAUAUAAAACCAUUUCAAAAAAAUAAUACGGCGGUUACAUUUAACUACGUCGUUUUUAACUAACACGACGAAAUAUUUUUCGUUCGACGUGGAAUCAUUUCAUUUAACGUCGUUAGGUUUAAUAUAACCGACGUGGAUUUUAAUUUUUAAAUUAUGAAUAGAAUUUUUUUUCCCGUGACCUUUCAGUUUAUUUUUCAAUUACAGUGCGUUAUAAAUAGAGUUUUUUUUCCGGAGGAAAUUUAAAACGAAGGAAAUUAAUAUUCUGCAAUAUGUAAAGUUUCUUUUUUGGAUGACAGAUUUAAAUAAAAUAAGAAUAUAAAAACAACUAAUGUGUAAGUCAAGUAGACGAAAAGUUGCUUACAUAUAAAACCAUUUCAAAAAAAUAAUAUGGCGGUUACAUAUAACUACGACGUAUAAAGUACAAAAUACGACGGUAAAUUUAACUUCGGACGUGGUAAAUAAAUACGACAGUAGUGUUGUAGGUACCGUCGUAGUAAACUCAAAAAUUAAAGUACAUAAGUAAUAACUCGCGUCAUGGUAGAUUAUUUAAGACGUCGUGAUUAUUAAUGUACCGACGUGGAGUUCUGUAAUAUACGUCAGUAAUACCGACGUUGAUUUUACAAUUUAAACGGCGGUUUUUUGGUAAGGACCGCCGUUGGUUUUAAAAAUUUAUUCUAUAAAUUUGUCGCUUUCAUUCAUUUUCGCGGUUUACAUUUAGGGUUCCAAGUUCUUCCUCUCUCAGAGACACUGUCUCUCACAUCUCAAAGACAAUAAUUUGGAGGUCUUUCUCAAAGAGAAAUUGAGCUUACAUUUAGGCUAGUUGACAAGAAGAAGCUUGUCAACUAGCCUUCUCACUUCCUUGAUCAAGCCUGAUAGGACACUUAGUGCUUCUGAAUACUCCUUGCUUUCCAUCAAAAGAGAUGCAAGCCUGGCCUCCACUCGCUGUCGAAGGAAAGUUCGCUUCUCAAGGAAAUCUGCAGAUCAGAUGUGCCUGAUCCUCUGCUUGAUUUUUUUGACUAAGAAGAUCCGUCAGAUUUGUGAUAGCCUCUUCCUUUAUCCGUAGAGCUUCAGAAGAAGAAGAUGGGUUUCAAGAAUGCGAUAAAGAAUAGAAAUGGCUUCAGAUGGCCUCUAAAGCAUGAGCAAUCGAAUAGUAGUUGCUGGGAGAUAUGAUGAAGACAUUGUCAAUGCUUUGAACUAUACAAGUCCUGCAGAAAGAUAAAGGACCAAACUGUUAAAAAACUGAAACAACGGCGGUUUUCUGUUCUACCGUCGUCUUUUCUCGUCGUCUAUAUUAAGGUAAGAUGGCGGUAGAUUUAUAAUUACCGACGUAGAUUAUUUUGUUAAACGUCGUUAAGUGUACUACAACCGACGUGGAUUUUAUUUUUAAAUUAUAAAUAGAGUUUUUUUCCAGAAUUCUUUCAGUUUUAGUUUUCAAUUACAAAGCGUGAUAAAUAGAUUUUUCUUUCCCGAGGAAAUUUAAAAUGAGGGAAAUUAAUGUUCUAGAAUUUGUAAACUAACACGACGCAAUAUUACUAACCCGAGGAAAUUAUAAAUAGAUUUUGCUUUCCUGAAGAAAUUUUAAAUUAAUUCAGUUUGAAACAAAACGACGGUUUUUUGUUAUGCCGUCGUUUUUAACUAACACGACAGAUUUAAAUAAAAUAAGAAUAUAAAAACAACGACUGUUUUUUUACUACUGUCAUCGUUUUUCGUCGUCUUAAGUAAGACUAAGACGACGUAAUAUAUUUGUUGAGCGACGUUGAUUUGUUUUUAAACGUCGUUAGGUAUAAUAUAACCGUCGUUGAAAAUUGUCUCUCUGAUUGCAAAUUUGCAACGACGUUGAUCAACUUCCAAAAAAUUGUCUCUCUGAUUGCAAAUCUGUGUUAUCUGUUAAGAUUAUUUUGUAUUUUAAAGCCGUGGAUUUGUUUGUAAUUAUACGGCGUCUUAUACGAAAACCUCGUCGUGUUAUUUUAUGAGUAAAAACGGCGGCUUUUAUUGAAAUCGUCGCCUUUACUUUCUACGUCGGUCUAUUCAUAACUUCUGCCGUUCUUUGUUUGCUUUGAUUUUACACUGCGGAAAUCUGUUUCAAAUAGACGUCGGUUGUUUAAUUAGGUACGUCGUUGUUUUUGAACAGCCAUUUGAAUCUCCAUUUUUUAGUUGUCUAAGGUGGUAUUACACGACGGUGUUUUUAGAACCGUCGUCUUUUUAAAAACCACGACGGUUUUCACUUAGACCGUCGUUGUUUUCUGGUCGUCUUUUUCACUUUUUGUAGUAGUGUGUGCUUCUAUUUGUUAUUGUUGGUGUUUUUCUUUUCUUUUUCUUUUUAAGGUACAAUAGAAAUUUUGUAUGUUUCUCUAACAACAAAUGACUUGGAGAGAUAGUCUAGAGUCCUGAAUCUUUGCAUCAUGAGGAGGAAAUGGUUUAGUGGACAGAAAGUUAAGGCCAUGGGCUGAAGCUUUAUAGGCUGUUCCGUUAAAAAACCACAGCUAGGUUAGUACAUGUCUCUGUGUUUUCACAUGGGUUAAUCAAAAUGUUAUUGUUUCUUGAAUGCUUAUGUGAUCUUGAUUUAUAUCAUUGACUGAAAUAACUCCAAGAGAUUAUCUACAGUGAUUCUUUUUUGUUUCUUCAAUGCAAAAUUUAACUGUUAUAUUAUCACACUCAUUCAAAUCAGAAAGUUACGUGUUUUGUAACAAUGGGGAAAUAAUCCUUUUACUUUUUGGUGCAAGUCUGAUGGAUAAGUUUCUUCUAUUAAUCAACAUGGUGCAAAUCUUGUUUUUCAUUUGAAAUUAUCUUUUUGUAAAUAAUUAUUCUUUGUUUGGAUAAAUUUAUAGUACAUCAGAGAAUAGAGGACAGAAGACAACACUACUACAUUUUACACUUUGCGCGACGAAGAGAAUUUCGUCGCGCAAAAUACAUUGUAGUCGCACAAAUUUUAACGCGACAGAAACUUCGUCGCGCAAAGAUCGUGAAGAAAGACUUUGCGCGACCAAGUUCUUUCAUUGGUCGCGCAAAGUGACUUUGCGAGACGAAAAAAUAUUGGUCGCGCAAAGUAACUUUGCGCGACGAACAAAUAUUGGUCGCGCAAAACUUUGCGCGACGAAACACGUUGGUCGCGCACAGGUUUGCGUGACGAAAAAUAUUUGUCGCGCAAAGUUUUGCGCGACGAAACACAUUGGUCGCGCAAAGGUUUGCUCGACGAAACACAUUGGUCUCGUAAAGGUUUACGCGACGAAAAAUAUUUGUCGCGCAAAGUCUCAAAAAAAUUUAUAAAAAAUAAAAAAUUCCCGCGUCCCAUUUUUGGUACCCGCCUACAUUUUUAGAGUUUUGCGCGACAAAUAAUAACGUCGAGCAAAUAUUUGCGCGACGAAAUAUUUUUUGUGUUUUAAAUUUUUUUAAUUAAAAUAAACUAAUUUAAUAGUUUGUGCUACAAAAUAUUUUGUCGCGCAAGGUUUUUGACUUUUUGUUUUAUUAUUUCUUUAAUAUUAAUUUAUUUAUAUUAAUUUUUUCAAAUUUUUACUUUUUAAAUUUAAUUUAAUUGUAUGAUUUUUUUUAAAUCACUUUAAUUUAAAUUGAUAUUAAUUUAAUUAUAUUAAUUUUUUCGAAUUUUUACUUUUUAACUUUAAUUUAAUUGUAAGAUUUUUCUUAAUUACUUUAAUUUAAAUUGACAUAUUCAAAAUAAAAUUACAUAUGAAAAAUAGUGAUCAAAUUAUCCAAUAAAUAUAUAUAUAAUAUUCAAAAUGUACACAUAAAUUAACAAAGUACAAUAAUAAAAUCCUAAUACAAGCGUAUUGUGGUGGUAGUGGUGGAUGAUAUGUUUUGAUAGCUUCCUAAUCCUCAACUUUAGCCAUCAAAGUCUCGAUGAUUACCUACAAAAAAACAAAUAUGGUCAAAUAACAACAACAACAAAAAAAAGAAUAUAUAAUCUCCCCUAAAAUUGUUAUACCACAAAUCCAACCCAAACUCCAAUCUCUCCCCUUUACUCAACCUCAAACCCCACACAAAAUCAAAACUAACUCCAAAAACACAUAUUAAUGAAAAAAAUUUAAAAUUUGGAGAGAAUAUACCUUUUGGCAAGAUUGAGAGUGAGUGAGAAUGAGAGGGAGAAGUGACUGUGAGAGAAUUAGAUAAGAUAGUGAUAGAGAGUGAGAGAUAGUGAAAGAUAGACGAGAGAGUGAGUGAGAGUGAGAGAUAGUGAAGAGAGAGAUGAGAGAUUAAGUAAGAGGAGUGAGUGUGAGAGAAAUUGUGGGAUUUGGGGAGAGGGAAAGAGAGAGGAGAGGUAAGAGUAGAGAAAGACAUUGAGAAAAUGGUGGAGUUAUUUCGGUUUUAAAAAUCGUAUCACUUUGCGCGACGAAAAAUAUUGUUGGUCGCGCAAAGUUUUGCGCGACGAAUAUAGAAAUAUUGGUCGCGCAAAGUCUAAAAAAAAUUUAAAAAAAAAAUAAAUUUCCCGCAUCCCAUUUUUGGUACCCGCCAAAAUUUAACUUUGCGCGACGAAAAAUACGUAUUGGUCGCUCAAAGUCUAAAAAAAAAAAAAAAAAAAUUUAAAAUUCCCGCAUCCCAUUUUUGGUACCCGCCAAAAUUUAACUUUGCGCGACGAAUAUAGGAAUAUUGGUCGUGCAAAGUCUAAAAAAAAUUAUUUUAAAAAAAAAAUUUCCCGCAUCCCAUUUUUGGUACCCGCCAAAAUUUUUAAAUUUUUGCGCGACGAAAAGUACAUAUUGGUCGUGCAAAGUCUAAAACAAUUGUAUAAAAAAAGUCCCGCGUCCCAUUUUUGGUACCCGCCCAAAUUUUUGCGCGACGAAAAAUAUAUAUUGGUCGCGCAAAGUUUUGAGCAACAAAAAAUAUUGGUCGCGCAAAGUCUAAAGUUUUUUUUUUUUAAUUUUAAAAACCCGCGUCCAUUUUUGGUACUCGGCCAAAUUUUUUGAGUUUUGCAUAACGAACUGUUGGUCGCGCAAACUUUUGAAAGACGAAAAAUUGGUUCGUAGCAUAAUAUUUAUAAAAAUAAUUGUUUUGAAUAAUUAAAAAUAAAAAAAAUUUAUUUUAUGAUUUAAAAUAUAAUUAAGGUGAAAGCUACUUAAUAAAUGUAUAUAUUAUUCAAUUUCUUAAGUGUUAUACGUACAAAAUAAAUAAAUUUAAAGACUUAAUAAAUAUAUAUAUAUACACACACACCAUUCAACGAUCCAACCGUAAGACUUGUUUGUAUAUACUUCAAGAUCGUAUACCCCAAAAAUCGCAAAAAAUAAAUAUUCAGAGAUCUAGUAACGGGACAAAAUUUUUCGAUAGUUAUAAAUGAAAAAUCACGAUUUAACAGUUAUUUUAACUCCGAUUUUGAUGAUUUUUUUACAGCUACACUCCUUGACCCUAUAUCAAUACAAUGACUGAAUUUGAUCUUCAAUUUAAAACAUUUGCACUAGUGGAUACGACAAAAUCUUAUGUUAUAUUUAACGAAAGUAUAAAUAAACUCUUAAUUGUUAGUGAAUAUAUUGUUUUGAUGGCAUAUGCAUUCUACGAAACUAGUUUCAACGAUCCAACCGUCAAACUUGUUUUUUUAUACUUCGAGAUCAUAUACGCCAAAAAUCGGAAAAAAAAAUAUUCAUAGAUCAAGUAACGGGACAAAACUUUUCGACGGUUAUAAAUGAAAAAUCAUGAUUUAACGGUUAUUUUAACUCCGAUUUUGAUGAUUUUUUACAGCUACACUCCUUGACCCUAUAUGAAUAUAAUGACUGAAUUUGAUCUUCAAUUUAAAAUAUUUACACUAGUGGAUACCACAAAAUCUAAUGUUAUAUUUAACGAAAGUAUAAAUAAACUCUUAAUUGUUAGUGAAUAUAUUAUUUUGAUGGCAUACGCAUUCUACGAAACUAGUUACAACGAUCCAACCGUCAAACUUGUUUGUUUAUACUUCGAGAUCGUAUACACCAAAAAUCGGAAAAAAUAAACAUUCAGAGAUCAAGUAAAGGGACAAAACUUGUCAACGGUUAUAAAUGAAAAAUCAUGAUUUAACAGUUAUUUUAACUCCGAUUUUGAUGAUUUUUUACAGCUACACUCCUUGACCAUAUAUGAAUACAAUGACUGAAUUUGAUCUUCAAUUUAAAAUAUGUACACUACCACAAAAUGUUAUGUUAUAUUUAACGAAAAUAUAAAUAAACUCUUAAUUGUUAGUGAAUAUAUUGUUUUGAUGGCAUACACAUUAUACGAAACUAGUUUCAACGAUCCAACCGUCAAACUUGUUUGUUUAUACUUCGAGAUCAUAUACGCCAAAAAUCGAAAAAAAUAAACAUUUAUAGAUCAAGUAACGGGACAAAACUUUUCGACAGUUAUAAAUGAAAAAUCAUGAUUUAACGGUUAUUUUAACUCCGAUUUUGAUGAUUUUUUACAGCUACACUCCUUGACCCUAUAUGAAUACAAUGACUGAAUUUGAUCUUCAAUUUAAAAUAUUUACACUAGUGGAUACCACAAAGUCUUAUGUUAUAUUUAACGAAUGUAUAAAUAAACUCUUAAUUGUUAGUGAAUAUAUUGUUUUGAUGGCAUAUGCAUUCAAAAAAACUAGUUUCAACGAUCCAACAGUCAAACUUGUUUGUUUAUACUUCGAGAUCAUAUACGCCAAAAAUCGGAAAAAAUAAACAUUCAGAGAUCAAGUAAUGGGACAAAACUUUUCGACGGUUAUAAUGAAAAAUCACGAUUUAACGGUUAUUUUAACUCCGAUUUUGAUGAUUUUUUACAGCUACACUCCUUGACCCUAUAUGAAUACAAUGAACUAAUUCGAUUGUCAAUUUAAAAUAUAUAUUUUCUAACAAAAACCCAAUCUGAACAACAAUAAUAUAUUUUUCUAACAAAAAUCCGAUCCGAUCUAAAAUAAUAAAUUUAAAGCUACUUAAUAAAUAUAUAUACCGUUUAAUUUCUUAAGUGUUAUGCAUACAAAAUAAAAAACAAAAAUAAAUUGGUUUAGGUGACAAAAUAUUUGGAUUACUUCAUGCAAAGAUUUUAAAAAAUAUUUUAUUUAUUUUAUUUAUUUUUAUAAGGACUUUGCGCUAGGGGUGGGCACGGUUCGGUUUGGACCGGUUCCGGGGGAAAAAUGGAACCUGAUCCGAUAGUGCAGACCGGUUCGGUUUGGACCGGUUCUGCUCAACAUCCAUACAGAAAUCCGAACCAACCCGGACCUGUCCGGUUCCGGUUCGGUUCUUGCGGUUCCGGUUUUUUUUUUUUUUUUUUUUUUUUUUUUUUUUUUUAAAUUUUAACAAAUCUGCCCAAAAUGUAUUUUAUAUACUAACAUACCCCAAAUUUGAGGUUCCAUCAAGCUUUCAACACAUUAAAAUGAAUCCAACUUCAACAAAAAUACAAUCCAAAUUCAAAUGAAUCCAACUUCAACAAAAAUUCAAUCCAACUUCAACAUCAUCAAAAUGAAUCCAACUUCAACAAAAAUACAAUCCAAAUUAAAUCCAACUUCAACAUAUAAAUUACAACCCAAAUUAAAUCAAACUUCAACAAAAUAAGUUCCAAAAUAAAUUACUAGCCAAAUACAACCCAAAUUCAAUCCAAAUAUACAUUACAACCCAAAUUAAAUUCCUCCUAACAUUGAAAAGUAGUUGGAGCUAUGGUGCUAGGUGUGGAUGAACUCAUAAUAUCUACAUAAAAAAAACAUAAACCCAUUAAAACAUUAGUCCAACAUACAUAUUAUAUAAUACAUUAAUAAAGCACAUAUAAAAUUACAAAGACAUACCUAAUUCAAUCGAUUCAUAGAACUCCAUCUCUUGAAUUGUUGGCUCAUAUUGUAAAGAGGAUAUGUCAUCCGACCUUAACCAAUUUUGAGAGCAAAUUAAGGCCUCCACAAUCUUAGGAGUCAAAGAAGCACGAAAUGAAUUAAUUACCCGACCACCCGUGCUAAAGCAUGAUUCCGAAGCCACCGUUGAUACCGGGAUGGCAAGCACAUCCUUUGCAAUAAGUGCCAACCCCGGAUACUUAACCCCAUUCAAUUUCCACCACUUCAAAACAUCAAAUUCAUCAACCACAUCUUCAAUAGGGUCGGUGAUGUACCUAUCAAUCUCAUGCUCCAAUACCACAACAUCAUUUGCUUGAGUCUCUUUUCUCCAAUUUUCAGUCAUUUGCCUUCGUUUCUUUCCCCCUCGGUUUAGGCUACUACUUGUAUUCAUUGUAGUAGUAUCACUAGAAUAACUACUACUUUGAGUAGAUGGUGGUGGUGGUGGUGGUGGCAUGGCGUACUCUUCAUAAAGCUUCUUUAAAAUCUCUUUGAUCUCAUUCUUCUUCUUAACCGCAUCUUCCGGAUUCUCAAACCGACUUUUCAAGAUAAACUCCAAGUUCCCCAAUUUGUAUCGAGGGUCAAGAACAAGAGCAACCAUCAACAUUUGGUUCAAUUUAUCAAGGUCACCCCAAUACUUUUUAAACUUCAUCUUCAUGUUAAGUGCCAUGUCCUUCAAAACCUUGGAGGUUUGGGUUUCACUUAAUAUUUCCUCCUCUUCCAUCAACAAAUCCUCAAUUUCUUCUUCCAUUGCAAUCAAGUCAUGAAAUGUGGUGUGGGAAGCGGGAUGCAAAGUGACACUCAUCUUCAAUGUAGCAUCAUAAAAUACCUUUAAAAAAUUCACAAAGGUACGAGCAUUGUUCCAAUCCUCAUUAGUUGGUGGCCCUUCCCUCUUUCUAGGGUAAUGAGACAUAACCACCCCAUCUUCGACAUCCGGUUCAUCUUCACCAAACCAAGAAAUAUAUGGACCUUCAUCAUCUUCUCCCAUUCUCCAAAAGGCCUUUUCAAACUUUAAGGAGGCUUCCAACAUCAUAUAUGUGGAAUUCCACCUUGUUGGCACAUCCAACACCACAAGCCCUUUGCAUUCAAUUUGCUCUUUCUUAACGCAACUCUUAAAGUCUUCUAACCUUUUGGGAGAAGAUCUUACAUACUUCACCGCAUUUCUUAUACACAAUAUGCUUUUUUCCAACUUCUUCAACCCAUCACGAACUAUUAAAUUCACAAUAUGAGCACAACACCUAAUGUGCAUAUACUUUCCCUCUAGUAGAAGACUACCGUUUCCCCAAUGGCCCAUUUUCGACUUCAAAUAAUCUAUAGCCUUUGUGUUUGAAGAAGCAUUAUCGGCCGUGAUGGUUAAUAUCUUCUUCAUAUCCCAAUCAAGCAAACAUGACUCAAGGAGUUUACCAAUUGAGUUCCCCUUGUGAUUGGAAAUGACACAAAAGUUCAAGAUUCUUUUGUGCAAGUUCCAAUCACCAUCUAUGAAGUGUGCCGUGAUGACCAUGUAAUUGAUGUUUUGAACACUUGUCCAAGUGUCCGUUGUGAGGCAUACUCUAUGUGGUGCUAAUUCUUCUUUCAAUUUUUGUUUCAUGGCAUCAUACAUUGCCAUGAAACGCCUCACAAGUGUCCUACGAGAUGGCACUUGAAAAUUGGGGUUCAAAGAAUUACAAACGGCCUAAACCCUUCUCUUCAACACACUAAACGGGCAUCUCAUCCAUUACUNNNNNNNNNNNNNNNNNNNNNNNNNNNNNNNNNNNNNNNNNNNNNNNNNNNNNNNNNNNNNNNNNNNNNNNNNNNNNNNNNNNNNNNNNNNNNNNNNNNNUAAGAACCCCAUGGUCUUGGUCAAAAGACAAGAGCUUUGCCGUUUAUCUUUAGGAACCCUCCCCGGAUAUUUCUUACAUAGGUUUUCAAUAUGUUUCCUCAAAUUUGAGGUCCCAUUUCUAGUAGAGUCUGCUGCAUAACUCAUAGUGCAAUACUUGCACCUAGCUCUCUUCUUAGUGGUUGCAUAUUUGCUCCCAUCCUCCUUCACACUCUCAACCACUUCUUCAUAUCUCUCAAAGUGAUCCCAUACUUCCGAUUUUUCUCUUCUUGGGCCGGAAUGAGGUAAUGGUGGAAGACCACUAGGUUGAAGUUGUGUUUGGGCAUGAGGUGUAUUUUGAGUUGGUGUUUGAGGGAUGGGUAAAUUGGGUAAAGGUGUUGAUAUAGAUGCGGAUGCGGAUGCGGAUGUGGAUACGGAUGCGGAUGACGAACCAACUUCACUAUUAGUAGGGCCAUGCACCUCUCCAAAUGGGUUCAACUCAUUCAUGAUUUCUUUAAGAAACAAAAACAAAAAACAAAGAAAAAAACUUAACAUGAUAUAUAUUAACAAAAACACAACUUAACAACAUAAACAACCCUCAUAUAUACAAUCCAAUUACAAAUUAUCAUUUCCAACUAAAUGAUAAUAUCAACACUUAACUAGAAAGCAACUGAAAAACAGAAACCAAUUAACUGAAAAACUGAAACCAAUUAUACACUGUCAAACCUAUGACAGCAGUAAUAAAGCAAAACAAAAAUAUGCAAAACUGAAAAUCUGCAAAACUGAAAAACUGCAAAAUGAAAAACUGAAAAACUGAACAGCAACAGCAGUAAUAAAGCAAAACAAAAAUAUGCAAAACUGAAAAUCUGCAAAACUAAAAAACUGCAAAACUUGUUGGGUUUGUUAAACCAAUAUAUCCAUUUCUUAGGACAAUUCUAUCUCUUAGGAAAGCCUCUGAUCAUGAUUCUGCUCUGGACUAAUAAAAAAAAUCAAAGACUUCCAUUAAAAACAGAAACUUCAGUUUUGUUAAACAAUUUAGGCAGGAACACUUUGCCUUUGGGAAAUCAUUAAAAAUCCAUUUUGAUUCAAAAUGGUGUGAACAUUUCCAGAUCACACGUAGACAUAUAAAACUUCAACAUAUCAAAAGUUCAUUGAAUUCCGAGUUAAGGAAGCCAGUCAAAGACUAAAUCCAAAAUAGACUAGGCUGCAGAGUUUUCUAUUUUCUGCAGAAUAAUGCCAACUUCGAAAAUUUGCCAAAUUGAAUUGGAUUAGUACAAUUGUAAAAAAUAAACAAUUGCAUUAAUAAAUUUGCCAAAUAAAUCUACUAAAUUAUAAACUGUUUCCAAACCAAAGAGUACAUUAAGUCUUGCAGUAAAAAAAGUCUGGUAGAGUUGUAUAUAUCAAUGUCAUGUAUAUGUAGGAAAAGGAAUUACCUAAUUUCUCAGUGUGGCGAACAUCAUCAACCAUCAAAACUCUGUAACUAUCCCUACUCCCAAUACCUCUCUUGUCCUUGAGUCGUCCAAUAUCUCCUCCUGUAAUUUCAACAUUAAAUAAGGCAGAAGAAUAGUACAGUACAGUGCUACAUUGCAAUUGGGUUUUCUAAUAUGUUUUUCUCCCCCUUUUCAUAACAAAUCUCAACUAUUGAAUACAAAACAAAAAUCCCAGAUGAGAAAAAUCAAGACAGUUGAAGGAUAAAUGAUAAAGUAGGUACCUUGUUCAAGCUGGGUAGCAGGGUCAAAUUGGGAUUGGUCAAACUUUGGGCGCUCCAAGACCCCAGCACCACCCUUGGAAGACCUAAACCUGGCCUUCACAGCCAUGCCAGAGAGAGUCAGAAAAUUGAAUUGGGGAAAGAAAAAAAAAAGGAGAGAGAUAGAGAGAGAAUCUGACCUGCAAUGCAACGACUGAGAGGCUAAGAGAAGAGCGGCGGCAGAGAGGGGUGUGACUGUGACGUGCUGGUUGAGAGAGAGGUUUGGAAUCGGUGGCUGGUGGCUGGCUGGCGGCUGGCUGAGUGAGUAUGAAACUAAAUGGGAAGGAGAGGAAAGAACGAAGAAUGAAAAAACCCAAUCUGAAUUUGGUGUAAUCCUGUGUGUGCGCUACCUAUGGUAGCAGCAUACACACCCAAUCAAAAUUUGACAGGUAUGAAAAUAUAUAUAAUUUUAAAUAUAAAUAUAUAUAAUAUUUAAAAAAUAUAUAAAUUAAUUCUAUUGGACCGGUUCGGAUUGGACCGGUUCCUUAGGAUGGAAAACCGGAACCGGAACCGGUCUGAACCGGUUCGGUUUGGAUUUUUCUCGGUUUUUGACUUUUUUGGUCAACACGGUUUUUUUCGGUUUUUUCCGGAUUGGUUUGGUUCGGUUUUGCGGUUUUGCGGUUCAAAUGCCCACCCCUACUUUGCGCGACGAAGUUUACUUUUCGUCGCGCAAAGUCACUUUGAGCGACGAAUUAUUUUUCGUCGCGCAAAAUUGGUCGCGCAAGACUUUGAGCGACGGUGUAUUUUCGUCGCGCAAAAGUUUGUCGCGCGAAGUGACUUUGCGAGACGAAUUAUUUUUUGUCGCGCAAAAUUUGGUCGCGCAAGACUUUGAGCGACGAGUUUCAAGUUUUGUCGCGCAAAGUGACUUUGAGCGACGAAUAGUUUUUCGUCGCGCAAAAUUUGGUCGCGCAAGGGGUAUUUUUUUACUAGUGCAAUCUACUAGUGAUGAAUCUUAUGUUUUGUUUUUGGGAAUCAAUUGAUAUUUAGGUUGAACUUAAAUAUCUAGCAUUUUGUUUUUUUAGACAUCUUGUGAAUUUGUUGGAAUAAUGUUAGAGAUAUGGAUUGCUUUUGAAGGCAAUGAAUUAUUUGAGGUAAUAAAUUUUAUCUACAGCACUUUCAAAAAGAAAUUAAUUGUGAUUUCAUAUUGUAAUACAAUAAAUAAAGAACCUGUAAACCUAAUUAAUUACCAAUGUUUUGAAAUACAUUAGUGACCAAGCAAGUAGGUCACUAAUGUGGGCACACGACCCAGUUUUAGUGACCUUAAUGCAUGUUUUGGUGACCAAAUUGUUAGCCCUUAGUGAUCAAAGUUGCAGUCACUAAAAGCUUUUUUUUUAGUGACCAAACAUUGACAGUCACUAAUUCUUUGUGUUGUAGUGACCAAUACUUGAGAAUGGUCACUAACUAAAAUUUGUGACAAGCUUCUACCUAGUGACCACCAAUAUUUGGACACUAAUUACAUUCAGUGACCAACAACGAUAUUUUCUGUGGCCAAGUGGCUGGCCACUAAUACUUGUUUUUCUGGUAGUGUUCUUUGGAUGUAUUGGUUGUAGAGAUACAACUUCUUGUGGGGGCGGUAAGUUGUUUCCAUGUGUUCCAUAACAAACACCAAUCUGGGCACCUGCAUCAGAUUUCAAUGAUAUGUUAAUGGUUGAGAAUUUAAAAUUUUCAGACUUAAAAAAGGUCAUGCAGCCUUUGAUUUUAGGGAUCGUCUACAAUGUACAUAAUUAACUAAUUGGCAUUCACUUCUACUAUGUCGUAGUAACUUCAAAACUUGCACAAAAUGAGAGAAAAAAUUUCAUUUUCAACAGUUGUAUACAAUUACGUGUCUAUCUCUUUUAAUAUAUGAUCAAUCAUAUGACGAGAGACAUAAACGACAUAUAUAUACAGCCGGUUACACUCAAAUGUCAUUCUUUUUUCUGUUUUGCUUCUUUUUUGGCUGAAAAAGAGAAAGAUCACCAGUUGUGGUAAGGGUAGCAGUUUGCACACCAAAAAGCAGCAUUAAGGAAACCAUAGGACUUUUGCCAACUAGGUUGAACUUAGCCAUUGUGGAAAGCAGAAAAAGGGAAGAAAAUCAAAGGAAAUAAACUAAUUUAGAAGGGAAGCAAAUGCAAUUUCCUUGCCUCUAAAACUUUUGACGUCCCCUCUUUAAAGACCAAGUCACAGCCUCAUAAGUAGAUGAAGCCGUAACUGAGCCAGGGGUCAUUCAGAGAUUCCACAAGAAUUCAACUUGUUAAUUUACUUGGAUUCUUCUAACACCUUGCCCUAGUUGAGAUUAAUUCCGAGUCUUUGUAAUAAUGGUUUAACCAAUUUUUCUUACCCCCCCCAUAAUUCAGAGUUUCUGGCAAGAACUUUGGUCAGAUUUCUGCUUCACAUUACAAAGAACGUCUUUUAUACAGUAUUUAAUUUAUGGCUAAAUUGUUGCAAUGGUCCCUCAAAUAAAACUCAACUUUACUUUUCGUCCUUCAUGUCACAGAAUUGUUACAGCCAUCCUUCAACUCCACCUCGUGUUGCAUUAUUGGUCUUUUCAUCAACAGAGUUGAAUUUUCUGUUAAAAUUAAGGGCAAAUUAGGACAUCCCUUGUAAAAUAUUUAUUAGAUAAAUAAAAUCAUUAAAAAAUCAACCCAAUCUCUCCAUUUGAGCAUGUGGGCAAGGAGGGUUUGAUGAUUGGGGAAGUUGAUUUUAGCAACAAGUUGGUUUUUGGAGAGGAUAAGGAGCUCUUGAGCCACCCAAAGUUGAGCUACACCUCAUUGGUUGGAGGCAAAGGAAACCAUGCUGAUGCAUUUUACUAUGUCCAGAUAAAAUCCAUCGUAGUUUGGCGGGGAAGUGGUUGACAUACUAGAGGAGACUUGGAAUUUAUCACCAGAAGGUGCUGAAGGCUUUGAGCCGUCUGGGAUGGUUUGGGUUGUUGGGUUGGUGAGGUAGAUGGAUGGGCAGAUUUUGGGGGAAGAGUAUGGCGUGCGGUUAAGUUUAGGUAGAAAGAAGUGGUGGCUAGGUAAAAGUCUUAGUUACCCCUAAAAUAUCUAUCAUGUGUCUGACAUAUGAUCACUUUUGACUAAAAAACAAAUAGAAUUGAUGAAAAAGACUAGUGGUGUAACGCGAGAUCUAAUUGAAGGAUGACCAUAAUAAUUUUGGAACAUGAGGGACAAAAAGUAAAGUCGGGUCAUAAUCGAGAGACCAUUGCUACAAUUUAGCCUUAAUUUAUAUAUAACUUAAGUUCUUGAAUUCACAUUCCAAAACUAAACUUUACUGCUCUUGAGCAAUUUUUCCCUUUUUCCCUUUCAACUAAAAUAAUGAUUAUUGAAGUGAAACGAUGUAUGCUUCUAGCAAAUGAGUUAUUUGGAAUGAAGGUGAAUUCCAAUGCACAAAAGUAUCAGUUAGAAGGUUUAUUGACAAGGCAAAAUGAGAUAGAUGCACUAGUAAAAAGAUUGCUGGAGCAGUUAUCCUCGACUUCAUCAUCAAUGAGGUUAGCUUAUAACUCUCAUCUUACUACAAUACAAUUUUUGCAAACUGCACAAUAUACUAAUUUCCAAAUUUCCAAUUGUCCUCAACUUCAUCAUCAAUGAGUUCCUAAUUUCCAGUUACUUCAGACAAGUGACAGAUAAACUUUAAGCAACUAAUUAAUUAGAGAUGCGCUAGCUAGCUCUUGAGUUUAAUUAUUCUUGCAUUUAGUUAAUUCCCGGUUUAGUGCAUCCCAAGUAAGAACUGACAUUAUUCUUUGUUUUAUGCGGGUCUAAUGGAUAAAGGGUAGAAGACAAACUACUAGGAUGAAUCUUAUGUUAUUUGUUUUUGGGAAUCACUUGACAUUUAGGUUGAACUUAAAUAUGCAGCAUUUUGUUUUUAAGACAUCUUGUGAAUUUGUUGGAAGAAUGUUAGAUAUAUAGAUUGCUUUUGAAUGCAAUGAAUUAUUUGACGCUAUAAAUUUUAUCUACAGCACUGUUUGAAAGAAAUUAAUUGUGAUUUCAUAUUGUAAUACAAUAAAUAAAGAACACAUGGAGAGGUAAACUUGAUCAGUUACCAAUUUUUUGAAAUACAUUAGUGACCAAGCAAGUAGGUCACUAAUGUGGGCACGUGACCCCGUUUCAAUGACCAAAAUGCAUGUUUUGGUGACCAAAUUGUAAGCCCUUUAGUGACCAAAGUUGUAGUCCCUAAUAGCAUUUUUAUUAGUGACCAGACAGGGAUAGAUACUAAUUCUUUGUGUUGUAGUGACCAAUAGUUGACAUUGGCCACUAAAUAGAAUUUGUGACGAGCUUCUAGUGACCACCCAAUGACCACCAAUAUUUGGACAUUGAUUGCAUUCAGUGACCAAAAAGGGUAGUUUAUGUGACCAACUGGGUGGCCACUAAUACCUGCUUUUCUUGUAGUGUAUCCCGAUUUCUACUUCCCCCAAACUUGAUUAUUAUUUUUCUUUUUUGUUGAUUUUUUUAUAUUUUUUUUAUUGUUAUUUUAAAGAUAUAAAUUUUUAUUUAUUUUUUUGGUUUUAAUAUAAAAAUAUCAUUUUUGCCCUUGCAUUUAACAGAAAAAGUUAACAAAAUUGUCGGCAGGACUAUUUGUCCAAACGAAACUAGAGUUAAAGGACCAUGAAAACCAUUUUGGAAAUUGAGGUACUCAAAUGCAAAUCGGAUCAAAAUUCAAGGACCAAUAAAAUGAUUAACCCUUUGAUAUUUGAAUACUAAUAAAUCUAACAAAUCCAAGAAAAAAUUAUAAUUAUAGAAUGCCCAACAUGCAUAUGCUUUUGCCCUCUAGCCAAGAGAGAAAAAGAAACACCUAGCCUUUCGAUCAAUGCAUCUUUUCAUGCAUGACUUGCGGUUCUCAGCAAUUAAGUCAAGCCGCCCAAGUCCAAGUCAAGAAGUAUCACUUACUUCAUGACCACCAAUUUGGCUAUGAUUGCUGUCAUUUAGCAAAUGGUUAAAACACUCGUCGGCUUUCUAGAUGGAUUCAUUUGGGGUCGUAUGUUACUCAUGAAUACUUACAAAAUUAUUAAAGAAAAUCAUGAAUACUUCAAAAGUCAUAAAGAAAUAUAGUCACAAAACCACUCAUAUGCACAAUACAUUAUCAAGUUGUAUUUAUUAUUAUUGUAUGUCUUUAUCUCGUCAUAAUCGGGAUACUCGGGAAAUCUUUUCUUCUUCAUAUUAUUGUGUGUGUGAUCAUGCCAUAUUCGUUUUGAGUUAUGUUUGAGGUAUAUAUUGUCCUUCAACUCAAAUCUUUGAAGGAACUAGGUUUUUGCUUUUGUUUUUUUUUUUUUCAGUACAAGCAUUUGGGGAAGAUGGAUUUAUACAAAUAUAUUCAUUGGGUGCCUUCAAAUAUUCAUUGUUUGUUCGUAGUACAUGAUCAGCACCAUAGAGACACCCUCAAAGAGCAUGGCUUGGCUCUUUCAAAUUAAAGAGGAGAUUCUCCUUAAAACCAAUGGGGUUUUGACACUUGUUAAAUUACAGCAACAAUGAGAAAUUUUCAACAACCAAAAAAAGAAUAUUUAAAAAAUUGACACAUGUCAAAACCACAUUUAUAGUAAGGAGUUCCUCCUCAAUUUUAAGGAGCCAAGCUUUUUCCAUUAAGAUACAGAUGUCCAUUUUCAUGGGCAUGGCUUUUCAAUGCAUUAAUUGCAAUUUAUUUUCAAUAAUUUUACGGAGAUCAAAUUUUUGAAUCACAUUUGAAGAUUACAUAACAUGACAUGCAAUUUAGAAUGUAGAUUUAUUUGAAGUUGAUGUUUUUAUCCACUUUUUUCUCCAAAAAAAAAAAAAAAUGUUUUUAUCCACUUUGACAUGUUUUUGUACUUAUCAUUUGCUACUGAACCUCAUUGCAUCACGUGGACACCAUUCGUUCACAUAAAAUUAUUUGUAAUUUUCUGUUAUUGUAACAUAAAGAAAGUGUAACACCCCGACUCCAAAUUUAACCCUUAUUUAAAUUAUUUAAUUGUUUGAGAAAAAUUACAAAUUUACCCUUGAGAUAAGGGUAUUUUGGUCAUAUUCUUAACCGGAGAGAGUUUGGGGCAGUGACUAGUAUUUUUGAAUAGGUCGUACUGAGACGAGUUCAUAGACACGUAGUGGGCUCGAAUCGGAGUUGUAACGAGAGAGAUAUGGUCAAAAGAAAUCCAGUGGCACAAUCGUAAUUAUUUUGAAAUAGAAUUUUUAUAAAAAUCAGAUCUCUCUCUCUCUCUCUCUCUCUCUCUCUCUCUCUCUCUCUCUCUCUCUCUCUCUCUCUCCCUCCCGCAAGCUCUCUAUCUCUCUCUCUCUCUCUCUCCCGUCGGUCUCUCUCUCUCUCCUCGUAACUCCGGCCACCGGCCACGGCUGUGGACAGGGCCGGUACCAAAAUGACAUGGGCUUCGUUCUCUUCCAGCCCCAGCCAACUCCCGCCUCCAGCAGCCGUGGUUUCGCUGAAAAAUGGAGAAGAGGCGGCCGGUGUCGUCCGAUCUUCGCCGCCGUCGAUCUCCCUCCUCUGGCCACCGAUUCCGACGAGCAAGGUAUGGUUUCUCACCUAAUUUUCAUGCUCUAGCUGAUGGUUGGGUAGGAUUGGAUCGAUUCUUAGCGUAGCCAAUUCGAUUUUCGAAUUGAAAUUCGGUCGAUUUUGGGAUCGAGAUUCUGGCCACUUCCGGUCAGUUUUUGGGGUAGGUCCAAGAACAAAAGUGGAUUCAAAUAGAGUGUUAUACCUAGGGUAGGAGUUUGGAGCCGUGGUUUUGAGAUUUUCCGGCGACGCAUAAUCGCUUUGGACACCCAACGCUGCCAGCUCGUGUGGCGGAACGUGGGCGAGGGUAGGGGAGUAGCACUGUGUCCCGAUGAGAUCCUUAGGUUGUCAUGAGUGCGUAGGAUUUCGCGGAUCUCAAUUCGGACGUUGUUUGACUAUUGAACAAACGAUCGCAUAUUGUGCGUUAUUCGGGUUCGAUAGGUUGGGACCGUUGGAUGGUCCCAAAUUUAAUAUAUGUUAAUCUAGGUAUUUCUAAGAUCAUGUAGGAAUUCACGGAUUGUGAAUCGGAGCCCCGGAUGUUCCGAAUAAAUAAUUUUAAGUUUAUGUUUUAUAUUAUCCGUCAGAUCGUACGAUUGUGAGCGAUCCGACCGUUCGAUCUGGACCAAACUUGCCGGACGAGUGUCCUCUACCUUAUAGAACCCAUAGAAACUUUCAGAUCGGAAUUUGGAGGUCGUGGGCCCCGUAGGUCCGUUUGACCAGGGUUAGAGUAGUUUGACCCUUGGUUGACCAUGAGUCUCCCGGAGUAAUCUCACCUUUCCAGGGAGGAUUAUUGGGUGCUAGACUAUUGUGGAGGGUUACACAAUAUUAGUAUUAUGUAUAUAAUUUUAUAUGUUUGUACAAGGGUACAAAAGAGUUUAGAAUGUCAGUUUGAAGUGCUAAACGCACUACCUUAGGUACCUCCCCUGAUUUUGGUUACACUACAAGUACCAGCCUGUGAAAGUUAGGUCCCACGUGGCGUAGGUUAUCCGACGUGCAGACAGGCCCCAUAUGUGGCUUUGGUUGUACCGGCGUAUGGGGAGAUAUGUGAUAUUAUGUUGAGGUCUCACGUGGCGUAGGUAAUCCGGCGUUGAGACAGACACCAUACGUGGCGUUGGUUGUACCGUCGUAUGGGGAGAUUAUGUGAUAUUGUGUUGAGGUCGCACGUGGCGUAGGUUAUCCGGCGUGUCGACAGACCCCAUACGUGGCAUUGGUUGUAUCGGCGUAUGGGGAGAUAUGUGAUAUUAUGUUGAGGUCUCACGUGGCGUAGGUUAUCCGGCGUUGAGACAGACCCCAUACGUGGCGUUGGUUGUAUCGGCGUAUGGGGAGAUUAUGUGAUAUUGUGUUGAGGUCGCACGUGGCGUAGGUUAUUCGGCGUGUCGACAGACUCCAUAUGUGGCGUUGGUUGUACCGGCGUAUGGGGAGAUAUGUGAUAUGAUGUGCAGGUCUCGCGUGGCAUAGGUUAUCCGGCGUUGAGACAGGCCCCAUACGUGGCGUUGGUUGUACCGGCGUAUGGGGAGAUAUUGUGAAGUAUGGCAUGGUCGCACGUGGCGUAGGUUAUCCGGCGUGUUCACAAGCCUCAUACGUGGCGUUGGUUGUACCGGCGUAUGGGGAGAUUAUGUGAAAUACAGAGAAAUGAAAUAAGGUAUCGCCUAUGUGUGGAAUUGGGUUUUAUGGAAGAACUACGUGUGGCUUGAUCUCUCAGGGAGGGUACGUAGGCAGCCUAAGGUUAUUAGGUGCAGCCGCAGACUAAAUGUUAGUCAUAAUUUAUAUUUGAAUUUAUUGUUUGCCUUGUUUAAGGCAUGAAUUGUUUUGUUAGCGUGUUUGGUAGGUUGUUGAGAAUUAUUGGAAGGCCAAAGGCCGUUUAUGUGAAUUGCAUGAAAUUAUAUUGUGCAUACUGCCAGUUGUGGAUAUUAAAUGCGUUUUUAUGCAGGUUGUAAUUUUGAAAAAUGUCCAAUUUAUAGGGGAGACUCUGCCGAAAUUUCGGCAAGAAGUCUUGGUCUUUAGUAAGUGGGCCUGGUAUCGGGGUGAUGUCGGGAAUUCCAGAGGGUUCGCCUCGAGUUUUUGAGAAAUUCGAGGCGGGUCCUUUCAGAAAGAGUGGUAAUAUAUAUUUCACACAAAUUCUGUGUGCAAUAUAUUUUCCAAAAAUUCUUUGUGCAUGACAUUAAUUUUAUCUUUAAUUAAAUACCGAACUGUCGAUAUUCAUAUAGAUAUUUUAUUGAAGUUGGCAAAAAUAUAUCAUUAACAUAUCAAUAUAUAUUUAUUAUUGAAGAUAAUAACAGAGUGCUGCUAUUUUCACCCUACUGUCCUAUUUCCCCACCCACCUUAUUCUGAAAAUUUUAAAGGCCAAUUUAUCCUUAUGUAAAAUGACUUCUAAGGAUUGAAAUAAAUUCUUCUGUUUGUGAUGCUUCUUUUAUCAUUUCCUUGGGCUCUGUCUUUAAUUCAAAUUUAGUCAAUUUUAUCUAGGCAAGUAAAAUAAGGUUCACUCUCUGAAACACUUGUAUUUUUUUUUUUCCAGCUGCUUGUUACUUUGCACGAAUUUGCCAAACAUGUGGUACUGGAAUUUUUAUGAUGUUGCAGUAUCAUAAAAAAAGGAAGAGCUCUUUUGAAACUACAGAAGAAGUAAAAAUCGGAAUAUCAUAGAGUAGGGAUGUUGGGUGAGUUAUCCUUAUGCAAGCUUCAUUUACGGGGUUUUACAGAUGGGUUGGAGGGAUGGUGGUGAUGGCAGAGGAGAGGAAGAGGUUGGGGGUGACUUGGAGAAGAGAGUUUGAUUAACUUUUUUUCAUUUAAUUUUGUAAAGGGUAUUUUAGGAAUAAUGGGGGUGGAAAAAUAAGAUUGUAUUUAUUCAAAUUUACAUGGUGGGUGAAAAAAUAAGAUGAGUAAGAAAAUAGGACAGGGUGGUGGAAAUAGCAACACUCUAAUAAUAUCGAUACAUUAUCAAUUACAUGUGGACAAUUCUAUCUUUAUUUAAGAUCCAAUGCUUGAUUCAUAGCCAGACUAAUAAUUGACACGUUACCAAUUACAUGUCUGGGAGUCUUACCUUUAUUAAAUAUCAAAUGUUUAAUAUAGAGCCGGACUAAUUAUCGACACAUUAUCAAUUACAUGUCGAGAGCCCCUAUAUGUACGUAAAUUUCACCACAACAGGAACUUGAUGGGCAGAAAGUAAUGAGGUAGUUAGGUCCACCACUGCACGUAGAUAAACCCCUGUUGUCAUCAUAAACAUAGCUGUAAGCGUCGGGGCAUUGGUCAUGGAAUAUCUGAGAGUAAUUUGUCGGUGGGCAUGUCUCUGGAGUGUUUUGAGGCGGAGUGCAACAGUACUGUGGGGCAUCGAAUCUAGCACAUGCGCUCAAGCAGGCAACCACGCUCCCAUCGGACCCUAUCCUUUGCAGCGCACACUCGGACAAACUGCGUUCACGUUCGCCGCGCAACUACUCGUCUUGCAGGUGCCGGUACCGCCUUGUGGAGUCACAGACAUGGGCAAGUUGAAGCCAUCAACAAGACUAACAUCGUAGAAAUCUUGUCCUCCGCCUGCUGGAAUACUGAAUUCCGCUAAAGUUGCCGGCGGAAAGCCAUCGGUACCGUUGCACGUGACCUGACCAGAGGCACAGUCUGCGGUGGCGCAGACGAAAUUUCCCGAGGCGUUCGUGGAGCAUCCAGUUCGGGCCCAGAAGCGGCCGCUCCAUGGCACUGGAGUGUCUAGCUGGAAGCUAGCUUGGGAUGCUAACUCGAACCCUGUGGGUGAUAAUUGAGGUUUUCCAUCGGAGGUUAGGGUUACUGGCCAGACCGUGUAGGGGCAAUUGUUUUUGAAAGACAUUGUCGCUGCAUGUGCACCUGCCAUGCAAAGUAAACCACACUGAAUUUGAUGCAGUAAUCACAAACCACAAUUAUUGUGACCAAAUAUUAAAUUAAAAUUAAAGAAAAUAAGAAGCUUGUUUACCUCCAAAGGAAAGGAUGGUUAAGCUGAGGCUGAGGACUACUACUAGGGUCUUCAUCAUCGGAAUGUCUUAGUUUGCUUUGCUUCGAAUUUGAUGAGCUUGGGCUUUAGUUAUACAGGCUUUUCAUCGGAAACCAUGGAAGGACUUUUGCCAACUAGGUUGAACUUAGCCAUUGUGGAAAGCAGAAAAAGGGAAGAAAAUUAAAGGAAAUAAACUAAUUUAUAAGGGAAGCAAAUGCAAUUGCCUUGCCUCUAAAACUUUUGAGGUCCCCUCUUGAUAGACCACAGCCUCAUAAGUAGAUGAAGCCAUAACUGAUCAGGGUCUUCUUCCACCUUGUUAAUUUACUUGGAGUCUUCUUCCACCUUUCCCUAGUUGAGAUUAAUUCCAAGUCUUUUUUAUCACCCCCAUAAUUUUGAGCUUCUAGAACGCACAUUAAUUGAACAUGUUUUGGUCAAGAUCUUUGUAAGCUUCACGUUACAAAGAAGUUAACGUCUUUUAUACGGUAUUUGGAGCUUCUAGCACGCACAUUAAUAGAUUAAUUUUUCCCUUUUUCAUUUUUUCCCUUUCAACUAAAAUAAUGAUUAUUGAAGUGAAAUUUUCCUGUCCUUUUCAGUAUCAUGUGAACAAUAGUAUUAUUUGAAGUCUUUAUAUCAGUUCAAUUUACGUUUGAAUAGACAAUAAUUCGAAAUUGAAGUCUAAUUUCCUGUCCUUUUUCAAUAUCAUGUGAACAAUAGUAUUAUUUGAAGGUUGUCCUCUUGUUUAUAUUUAUUUAUUUAUUUUAAUUUAUCACAAGCCUAGAACUUCAUUAAGAAAAUCAGUAAGACAGUACAUCAGCUUCUAAGCAAGAAUCACUAACAGCGAAUGAGUUAUAAUGUGACCUCAUUAAAACCUUGACUUAAAAAACUCCCCAAAAAGCCUAACACAAACGGUUGCACUCUUGUUUUGAUAUUGGAAUACUAAUAAGCCUAACAAAUCCAAGAAAUUAUAAUUCUAGAAUGUUGUUAUUUGAAAGGUUUUUAAAAUUUUAACGUUUUGAUUUUGUUUUAAUAUUUUGGCUGUUUUCUUUUAUUUAUUAUGGGAGAUACAAUUGUUUAAAUUUUUCAGUUUUUAUUUUCUAUUCAUUGUCUUAAUUUUUCUGGUUUAAUGUGCCUAGAGGUUACAAGUGUUGGAUGCCUAUUAAAAGCCAGUCCUCCUUCACAUUUGAACCACCCCAAUCAGAUUUCUUUAUUCUCAUAUUUUCAUAUAUUCCCUACUUUCCAUAUUAUUAUUUUUGGGCAACGGUUCUGUGGCAUGGAGAUUUCUAUCCGAUUGUGAAUAUGCUCAUAGCGUACCUUAAGCCUGUGCAUUGAGGUCGUAUCUUGGAGUCUUAUAAACCGUCAUUACUAGCACGUAAGGAGACUACAAAGGCUUUAGGACAGCUUCUUAGACGUGCUUUCACUAUACCAGACUUGCUUUCUUACUCUUGACUUAUUUUACUUAUUUAUUUGUUUCUUUAUUUUACGUUACUCUUAAAACUUUGUUUUAUAUAUUAUUUAUAUCUAAAGGUGACAUGACCCGUCCCAGAUUCCUCGAACCAGGGAUAAAUCCCGUCGUAAUUCUAACAUCACCCCGAUGCCGAGCUCACUUACUAAAGACCAAGACUUUUUGCCGAAAUUUUGGCAAAGUCUCCCCUAUAAAUUAGACAUUUUCCAAAUUUUUAACAUGUUAAAAGCACAAUUAAUAUACCCCAACAAGCAGCAUACACAAGGUAGUAACAUGUAAUUUGCGUAAUAGGCCUCCGGCCUUCAAAUAAUUUGAAAUAGAACCACCAACAAUGUUCUUAUAUCAAAUAAUACAUUAAACAAUACAAAUAAUAAACUCAAACAUAUUUAUAAAUGCCCACUAUAAUUAACAUAAAUUAACUUUCCAAAUUUCCAUCAUGUGAUGUUUAACCUCCUAACACAAUCGCAAGUAGUUUAAAGCCUCAACCCAAAUCGUACAACAAUCCAAAAUGGGUUUCAUACCUGUUUUGACCAGAACACAUUUAAACAACCCUCUCUUAGUCAAACUGGAAUAUGCACAAACAUUUAAUCAUGCUUCGGUUUCAACCGAGUUUCAGGACCAACGACAAAGUCAGAACCCAACUCAUUAAAAAUAACAAUAGAAGUAAGACUAGAUCCAAACGACCAAAUUGAAGUUCUAGAAAUAAAAUUUAGUCCUCGGCUGCAGCUAUCAAGCCACACGUAGUUCUUAUGUCAACUAUCAUGGUUCAGAUAAUAUUCGCUUAUUUAAAGAUAAUGCCGACGAUUAAAUUGAGAUUCAAAUACAACAUGAAUCGAAAAGGCAUCCACUGAACACUUUAAUAGUUCCUUUCCUUUUAUCCAUUCAUCCUCGAAACCAUACUCUAUCCAAAGCAUAUGUUGCCGAUCAACACUUUUCAAACUAUGACAAACAUUAAUACCCGUGCAGAGUACUCACGAAGCACAAUCUCAAGAGUCUCAAUCUGGAAACAAAUCCACAUAUAUCUAUGUAAUAAUUCAGUCUAUAUAUGUAUAUAUAUAUGUAAUUACACCCACCUCUCACCAUCAUCAUGUACUAGGGGAAACCAUACUCAUCUAUUACAUAAUUUCAAUUAUUAAAAUAAUAUAAAAGAAUUUUCAUACGAUAAUAAAAACGAUCUCAAAAUCCCAACAUAGUCAACAUUACUCAAAUAACGGUCGAGACUCGUUAAUAAGGUCGUUCUAGUACUCCUCGAAGGAUGACACUACUUCGGAAGACUCAUGGUCAACCGAAGGGUCAAAUUACCCAAACUUGGUAAACAGGUUCGUGGGACCCAUGACCUCCGUUUUACAAUCCGGAAACUCCUAUGAGUUCCACAAGGUUUAGAAUACUUGUCUUGCAAGUUUGGUACGAAUCGGACGGUCGGAUCGUUUACAAUCACACAAUCGGACAGUUUUCGUAAAACGCAAACUUUAAGUUAUUGAAUUGGAGCAUCUGGGGCUUCGAUUCACGAUCCGCGAAUUCAUACACGAUCCUAGGAAUGCCUAGAUCAAUAUAUAUUAAAUUGGAGUUGAUCCAAAGCCUGAACAUAUCAAACCCGGAUAACGCCUAAUAUGCGAUAUCCGAUCGACGAUCAAACGAUAACCAAAUUCAUAACCAAGCAUACCAUCCUUCUCAAGACGACAUGAGGGUUAUUUUAGGACUCUAAGACCGGCCAAAAAGUGGCCCACGCACUGUCCAAAGUGAUUUCAAUGAUCGAAAAAUCUUCAAACCGCCGGUCAAGACUUAUACCUAUAUGUUCACUACAUAGAGUGGAGCAACUUUUGUUCUUAGACCUAUCCUAAAAAGUCGACGGAAGUGGUCGGAAUCGGAGGCCGAAAAUUGGCCAAACUCUUUUCGCUUAUUAACCCCCACAAAGCAGAAAUUUCUCCUAAAUACCACAACCAGCAGUUUUAACACCUCGAGAGGUUGAGAAAGCAUACCUGGAUCACAAAAUUUGGCCUUCAAAAAUACCUAAACGAGCGUUCGAAAAAUCUAUAAAAAAUUAUCAAAAACCACUCGAAUUUGUGCAAUUUCCUGCCAGCACUGGUGACUCUAGGAACUGAGGUUGGUCGGGAUGGAAAGAGGAGGUGGCCCAAUUCUUUUGGGACCCGUGCCACCCAAAACGGAAGCGUGUGGCGGCUGUGGCGGCUGAAAAAUCGUCGCUGCUAUUUCAAAAAAAAGGGGGAGAGGGGGCGAGAGGGGACUAUUCAUGCGACAUGAGGGGGAGAGAGAGAGAGAGAGAGAGAGAGAGAGAGAGAGAGAGAGAGAUUUCUGAUUUUUAUUUAACCCAUUUUGAAAAAUUUACGGUUAUGCCAUUAAGAGUAUUUUGAUCGUAACUUUCUCAUUGCAACGUCAAUUCGAGCCUACUAUGUGUCUGCGGACUCAUCUCGGUACGAUCUAUGUAAAGGUACUAGCCAUUUUCCCGUAAUCUUUCUGGAAUAAAAAGUGACCAAAUUACCCCUACCCCGAGGGCAAUUUACUAUUCAAACGUUUAACAAAACUCUUAUCAAAUAAGUAAUCGAAACUAAUAACCAUUGGUAUAUUUUUAAAAACAAUUAAAAACUAUAAUAAUAAGUUAGAUAUCUUGUCAUAAAUUUGGUAUUUUAUUAAGUUAUUGUUUGUUUGCUAAUUGUUUGAUUAUUAUUAAAUUUCAACAACUAUUACAUUUAAAUUUCAGAUUUUGUUGCUUCAUUAUUGUUUAUUGGAAUUGAGAUGGAUAGUGUAGAGACCAAUAGUGUUAAACCUGGAAAAUUUAAUGGGACAAAUUUUAAGAGGUGCAAAGGCAACUUAAAUAUUGGUUAACUGUUUUAAGGUUAGUGACAGGACUGGCCCCGAACUCCUCGGAAUCCGUAACAAAUCCCGUAAUAUUUCCAGCCUCAUACCGAUGCCAGGCCCACAUACUAAAAAAACGAGACUUUCUGCCGAAAUUUCGACAGAGUCUCCCUUGAAAAAUAGACAAUUCCCAAAUUUUUCAACAUGUUAAAAACACAAUAAUAAAACCAACUGGCAGCAUGCACACGUUAACAACAUACAUUUAACAACAAUGACCUUCGGCCUUACAAUUCACCCUAACAUGAACAAUAUCAGAGCAAUCUAGAGAAUUCAAUUUACAACCAGCAAUAAAGUUUAACAUAAAUGAAAACGAAUAAAAAGUGUCAUACGGAAGCUCGAGACUCAGAAGAAAGGUCUCAGCUAGGCUACUAUAUUCGAAUCUAGCAACUACUAGAAGGGCGCAAAACAGAAAAGUAUGAGUGGACAAAAACAAAGUUUCUAUUAGUUGAAAACAACAUAUUGUAAACCACACCGUUUAGAAAAUGAUGCCGAAAACCAUAUGCUUUCCAACCAUCAUAGAUAUACAUAUAUAUAUAUAUAGCCACAUCAAAACCAAGGUGAAAUCCAAUUCUUGUAAAGAUAUCCAAAUACUCAUCUCAUACAAAACCAUUUCCCCAAACCACUCUCUCGAAAAGGGCACGGCGAGCGAGGAAGUAUCCUUACCAAUAGAAAAGAAGGAAUGUAUAGGUAUAUAUAUACAUAUAUAAUAUAAUAAGUAUAUCUAUAUAUAUAAGUAUGACCACUACCAAGUUUUUACCUGGAAAAUAAUCUAAUCGGGGGAUUGUUUGACUAGUCCACAUGGAAGAAUCCUUAAUUGACCAUGUGGCUAGGGAACGAGCUGUCCAACCGGGGGACUGACUCUACCAGCACGCACAGUAGAAUCCUCAAUACUCGUGUGCCUGUGACAAGUCCUACGCACGCAGACUACCCUUCUAAAAGUCUACGAAACACCUCGUCAAGGGUGCCUAGGUUCCAACAUAUCCAAGUAUCUCACAUUCCAAUUCCAUUCCAUAAUUUCCAUAUCCGAGGAGGUACAUAGGGUAGUGCUUAUAGCACUUCAACUGACAUACUAUAAACCACUCUUUCCAUACUCUAUUUACCAACACCACAGGAUAUAUCAACUCAAAAUACUUGCAAUAUGUCAAAACCCAAAUAUAUUUCAAAUAUUUAUAGAAAUAUCAUGUUUCAACAAUUGAUUAUAUAAUAAAUUCAAUAAACCAUUAAAACAAUAUGCAUAGUUUUUCCAUCAUAAAAUAAUGCUUAUUAUUUGAAAACAAAGUCCACUCACAAGUAGUCCCAUGCUGCUUGAUCUUGAGAGGGUCUCGCCUAUGGAGUACGAGUAGCCGGAGUACCUAUUAAACAAUACAAGGGCAUGAUUAUCAUAAAGUACUUCAAACGAGAAUUUAAAAUAAAAUCAAAGUUUCCCUGAAUUUAGGUGUGUAUGAUUAACGAGACGUUCCUAAGGCCCAAAACGUGUUUUGGAUGGUGGAAUAGACUUGGAAGAUGCUCGGUCAACUGAGUAGUCAAACUUUCCAAAUAUGGUCAACCCUCCGCAUGGGGUCCACAACCUCCGAUUUCCAAUUCGAAAGUUCCUAUAGGUUCGACAAGGUUUAAAAUACAAGUCCUGCAAGUUUGGUCCGAAUCGAACGGUCGGAUGGCUCGCGAUCGUACGAUCGGACGGUUAUCGUUUAACGCAAACUUUAAGUUAUUGAACCGGAGCAUCCGGAUCUCCGAUUCAUGAUCCGCGAAAUUCUACACGAUACUAGAGAUGCCUAGAUCAACAUAUAUGACAUUGGAGCCAAUCCAACGGUCCUAACAUAUCGAACCCAGAUAACGCCUAAUAUGCGAUAUCCAAUCGACAGUCAAACGAUAACCAAAUUCAAAUGCGAGCAUACCGUCAUGCUCGGGAAGACAUGUGGAUAAUUUUAGGACCCAAAGACCAGCCACAAAGUGGCCCACACUCGGCCACAAGCACCGGCAGAGCGUUGGUGUCCAAAACGAUUUCGGUGAUCGAAAAAUCUCCAAAUUGCUGGUCAAGACCUAUACCUACAUGAUUAGGACAUUGAGUGGAGCAACUUUUGUUCUUGGACCAACCCCACAAAGUGGCUGGAGACAGUCGGAAUUGUGAGCCAAAAAUUGACCAGAUUUCAAGUGAUAAAUUGACAACCAAAACGCAGAAAUCGAUCCUAAACAAUCCAGCCAUCAGCUAGAAGACAUUGAGAUGAUGAAAAAGCAUACCUAGAUAGAAGAUAUUGGUGGCCGGAAUUGUCUGAACGAGCUCUGGAAAUUAUGGGUUAAUACCGGCCCUUUUUUGCUAUUUUUCGGCGAGAUGCGGCCUCAAUGGCGGCUGGGACUAGGUGGGAUGGAGAGAGGGGAGUGGCCAGGUUUGUUUGGUACCGGCCUUGUGGCUGGUGGUGGUCUGUGGUGGCGGCGGUGGCCAUAAAGGCCUUUGGCUGUUUCAAAGAGGGCUAUCGCGAGCACGGGAAUAGAGGGAGAGGCAGAGAGAGAGAGAGAGAGAGAGAGAGAGAGAGAAAUGAAAAAGAAAAAUCAGGUUUUUAAGAAACCCAUUUCGAAUUAUUUAUGGUUUUGUCAUUAUGCUUCUUUUGAUCGUAACUUCUUCGUUACCACUCCGAUUUGAGCCCACUACGUGUCUACGGACUCAUCUCGACGCAAUCUACAUCGUGGUGCCACUCAUUUUUCAAAAAUUCUUCCAAAUUAAAAAGUGACCAGAAUACCCCCUACCCUCGAGGGCAAAAUUGUAAUUUCAUAAAUUAUUAAACAAAUUAAAUUAUCGAAUAAUUUAAAUUUGGUUCGGGGUGUUACAGUUAGUUUCUGCCUUAGAAGAUCAAACCACACCUAAUAAAACUAUUGAAACCACUUCUAAAACUAAGGAGAGGAUGACAAAAGAAGAAUUAGAAUAUGAUUGACAUAACAGAAUCCUUAGUGCUCUCUCUAAUGAUCUGUAUGAUGUUUAUCAAGAUACAAAACAUGCAAAAACUUUGUGGGAUGAAUUAGAAGCUAAAUAUGGGAUAGAAGAUGCGGGAAUAGAUUAUUUUACAAUCACAAACUUUAAUAACUAUGUGAUGGUUGAGAAUAAAACUAUAUGCGAACAAAUUCAUGAGUACCAAAUUUUUUUUAAGGAAAAUAGAACUUAAGGGUACAAAGUUUAGUGAAGAGUUUAAAGUUCUUGUUUCAUUGAUAAAUUACCCACAAGUUGGUCAAACUUUGCGAAAACCCUUAAGCACAAACAAGGAGAUUUAACCUUAGCCCAAGUAUUAAACUCCCUUAGGAUUGAAGAGAAACAUAGAUCAGGCAACAAGCCUAAGGAAGAAAAGACAAACGUGAACCUAGUGGAAAGUUCAAACAAUAGGAAUCGUUUCCAAUCUAUAAGGAAAUUUUUCAAGAGGACAAACAAAAAUAGCCAACCCAACCAUAAUCAAUUCAACCGAAACAAAAAUCUCUAGCACAAUAGACCCCAUAACAAUUCCAACGGCAAUAUGGAUCAACCAUGCUUCGUUUGUGGGAGAACAAAUCAUUGGGCCAAAGACUAUCAUUCCAAGAAGAGCGAGCCCUACAAGCCAAAGCCUAAGUGGAACAAAGGACAAAGGGAUCCUAAAGUCCAAGUGAAUGUGUUGGUGGAUCAAGAUGAUCAACAUGACAAUCUAAGGUAUAGUUUUAAGCCUCUAGUUAAUGUCGCAUAUUUAAGUAAUAGUGAUUGGUGGCUAGAUUAUGGGGCAAACGUACAUGUGUGUUUUGACAAAUGAUUUUUCAAAAAUUUCCAGAACACAAGUGGAGUAAGUGUAACCCUAGGAAAUGACAUCGUCGUACAAGUAUGUGGAAUAUGAGAAGUGGAAUUAAAGAUGGCAUCUGCAAAUGCUCUAACUCUCAAGGAUGUGCGACAUGUUCCUGACGUGAGGAGAACCCUUAUCAAAGGAUCGUCCUUAGUAAAACAAGGAUACAAAAUUAUAAUGGAGUCGAAUAGGAUCGUUAUUACUAGAAACAAUGUCUUUAUUGGAAAAGGAUAUGUUUGUGAUGGAUUUUUCAAAAUAAAUGUAGUUUUUGAAGAUAAUAAAAUUUCCCCUCAAGUUUUCAACAUUGAAUCUUAUAAUGUAUGGCAUGGAAGGUUAGGACAUGUAAGUUUGAGCAAAAUCAAAAGGUUAAUGGAUCUUGAGCUAAUCCCUAAGUCUAACGUAGACUUUAAGCACAAAUGUGAAGUGUGUGUUCAAGCCAAACAAACAAGGAAUUCUUUCAAACCUGUAGAGAGAAACAUCCAAAUCUUAGAGCUCAUACAUAGUGUCGUGUGUGAUUCAAAUAGGUCUCCGACUAGAGAUGAAAACAAGUACUUUGUGACAUUUAUUGAUGACUUCUCUAGGUAUUGCCAUAUUUAUCUUAUUAAGACAAAAGAUGAGGUGUUUGAUAAACUCAAGAUUUAUAAAAGUGAGGAAGAAAAUCAAUUCGAGAAAAAGAUUAAAAGAUUUGGAUCUGACAGAGGUGGAGAGUAUACCUCAAAUGAGCUUGGAGUGUUUUGUGAAGAACAUGGAAUUAUACAUGAAGUUACUCCACCAUAUUCACCCCAAUCUAAUGAACUGGCUAAAAGGAAAAAUAGAACUCUGAUGAAUAUGGUAAAUUCUAUGCUUCUUAGUAGUGGAUUACCUGAGAAUCUGUGGGGGGAAGCAAUGCUAACUGCUUGUUUCAUACUUAAUAGGAUAAGAUUGAAGGAUAAUGAGAAAACUCCUUAUGAGUUAUGGAAAGGAAGAUCGCCUAACGUUAGAAUCCUAAAAUUGUGGGGGUGUUUAGCUAAGGUUCUCAUACCCGAUCCUAAGAUGAAGAAAAUAUGUCCUAAGACUAUAGAUGCAGUUUUCCUCGGUUAUGCGAAAAAUAGCAAUGCGAAUAGAUUCCUAGUGAUUAACUCUUAAGUAAAGGAGGUUGCAAACAACACAGUUAUGGAAGCUAGAUAUGCUACAUUCUUUGAAGAUAUUUUCCCGUACAAGACAAUAAUUUCUAAGGAAGUACAAACAAGUGAAAAGCCUUCUAGCUCAAGUACGAUUGGAAGUUUAGAACCUCAAGAACUUAGAAGAAGCAAAAAAGCGAGAGUUGAGAAGAAUUUUGGAGAUGGUUUCUAUAUUUUUCUAGUGGAAGGAGAUCCCACAACUUAUAAGGAAGCUGUUAUGUUUGUAGAUGCACCAUUCUGGAAAGAGGCUAUAAAUAAUGAGUUUCAAUCUAUAAUCCAAAAUAAUACAUGGAUGUUAAUGGAUUUGCCUGCUGGAAGUAUUGAUAAGUACAAAGCAAUAUUGGUAGUUAAGAGUUUCACACAAAAGAAAGGGAUAGACUAUUUUGAUACCUACUCACCUGUUUCUAGGAUUACCACCAUAAGGACUUUGAUAGUUUUAACAUCUGUGCAUAAUUUAGUGAUUCAUCAAAUGGAUGUGAAAAUGGCAUUUUUGAAUGGAGACUUAGAUGAAGAGAUCUAUAUGGAACAACCCGAAGGAUUCAUAGUUAAGGCGAAGAGCACAAAGUGUGUAAGUUGGUUAAAUAUUUAUAUGGCUUAAAGCAAGCUCCUAAGCAAUGGCAUGAGAAAUUUGACAAGGUGAUUCUAGAUUAUGAUUUUAAGUUUAAUGGUCAUCAAAAAUGCAUUCAUUACAAAGAGAAUAAUGGAGAACAUGUAAUCUUGUGCCUAUAUGUUGAUGACAUUUUGAUCUUUGGGACGAAUUUAGAGAUUGUGAAUCAUGUGAAGUCAUAUUUGUCUAGAAAUUUUGACAUGAAAGAUAUGAGAGAAGCACAUAUAAUCUUAGAAAUGAAAAUUGAGAAAACAACACAAGGAAUUUCUCUAAGUCAAUCUAGUACUAUUGAGAAGAUGUUGAAAAAGUUUAAUUACAUUGAAUGUAAGCCCACACCAACACCUUAUGAUCCCAAUGUUCAUUUAAAGAAAAAUCAAGGUGAACCAUUUUCUCAGCCGAAGUACUCCUAGAUGAUAGGUUCUUUGUUGUACAUUGCAAAUAAAACUAAGCCAGACAUUGCUUAUGAUGUUUGAAGAUUGAGUAGGUGUACACAUCCUUGAGAGUUAGAGCAGUCACAAAUGUCAUCUUCAAUUCCACUUCUCCUAUUUCAUGUACAUGUGAAACGGUGUCAUUUCCUAGGGUUACACUUCCUCUACUUGUGUUAUGGUAAUUUUUUAAAAAUCAUUUGUCAAAACACACAUGUACGUUUGCCCCAGAAUCUAGCCACCAAUCACUAUUACUUAAAUAUGUGACAUUAAGUAGGUAUACACAUAACCCAAGCAAGGAACAUUGGAAUGCUUUGGAAAGAGUUUUCAAGUACCUAAGAGGAAUAAUGGAUUAUUCACUAUGCUAUAAAGGAUUUCCAAAUGUGGUAGAGGGAUAUAAUGAUGCAAAUUGGAUAAUAGACAAUGAAGAAGUGAAAUUUACUAGUGGUUACAUUUUCUUAUUGGGUGAAGCUGCAAUUAUUUCUAGAAGUACUAUGGAGUCUGAACUCAUAACUUUGGAUAUUACUUACACUAAGGCUGAAUGGAUUAACAGUUUAUUGAUGGAUAUACCUCUGUGGAGAAACCAUUGCCUGCUUUAACUUUUCAUUGUGGCUGCAAGGGUGAAACAAUCCCAUACAAAUAAGAGAAUGAACAGUCACAUACGUGUGAGACAUAAAUCUGUGAAGAGCCUAUUAAGUAAGAACAUUGUGUCUUUGGAGUAUGUGAAGUCGGAGAAUAAUAUUGCUGACCAAUUGACUAAAGGUCUUUCUAGGAGCAGAGUCCUAGAAAUGUAUGGGGGGAUAGACUUAAGCCCAUAAGGUAGUCACUUAGGGAGGUAACCCAACUUCUGUGAUUGGCGAUCCUAUGAAGGAAGUUAAAUGGGUAGAAACAAUCCAUAUUGUUUGACUCAUUGAUCACUGUUUAUACAUGUGGAGGCAUCCUAGAUAUGUCCUCAUGCUCAUCCUUAUGACAUCAGUGCUAUAUAAUGUGACGUUAGGAAGGGAGUUAUUCCUGAAUGAGUUUCGGGGUGGGCAAUCUCCUGUAGGGUGCAAGUCACGUGUACUCUUGGAGAACUCACCUAAGUGAGAAACGUCGUGAGGCCGUGAUUGUGAGAAUUGGGCUAUUCUCUAGCAACUUUCAUGAGAAUCAAGAUUAGCGCAUGACCAUAAAUAGCGCUACCCCGCUUCCAAGUCUCAACCAAUACUAUGUGUGGGAUAUGUUGAAGUUUGGUCAAAGGUGCCGAGUUCAAUACUGUGUACACUCAAGUUCCUCAAAUGAAAACUAUCAUCACUAAGUGAAGGUUCAAGCCCAUAAGGGACCUACACCUAUUGCAUAGUAUAUGUUACCCAUAUAUAUAUAUAUAUAAUUUUAUUUUGCUAUUGUAAAGUUUUAAAACCCUUAUGGGGGAUUGUUGUUAUUUGAAAGGUUUAUAAAAUUUUAACGUUUUGAUUUUGUUUUAAUAUUUUGGAUGUUUUCUUUUAUUUAUUAUGGGAGUUACAAUUGUUUAAAUUUUCUAUUUUUAUUUUCUAUUUAUUGUCUUAAUUUUUCUGGUUUAGUGUGUCUGAAGGUUACGAGUGUUGAAUGCCUAUAAAAGGUCACUCCUCCUUCACAUUUGAACCACCACAAUCAGAUUUCUCUAUUCUCAUACUUUCAUAUAUACCUUACUUUCCCUAUUAUUAUUUUUGGGCAACAGUUUUGUGGCUUGGAGAUUUCUAUCCGACUGUGAACAUGCUCAUAGCGGAUCUUAACCCAGCGUAUUGGGGUCGUAUCUUGGAGUCUUGUAGACCGUCAUUAUCUGCACGUAGGGAGGCUACAAAGGUUUUACGACAACGUCUUUGACAUGCCUUCACUAUACUAGGCUUGCUUUCUUACUCUUGAUUUAUUUUACUUAUUUAUUUGUUUCUUUAUUUUACUUUACUGUUAAAGUUUUGUUUUAUAUAUUAUUUAUAUCUAAAGGUUUGAAUAAGAAUUUUAUAAAAAAAGAAAAACCACAAUUUUUAAUAAAAUAGAAUGCCCAGCAUGCAUAUGCUUUUGCCCUCUAGCCAGGACUACUACAAAAAAUGAAAUAGACGGCGGUGAUUCAUCGUCGUUGUGAUGCUUUGAAAACCGUCGUUAAAUUGACCGCCAUCUUUUGGAGUAUCAAACUACGACGGCUUUUCACCGUCGUUGUUUAUCUGUAAAGACGACGGUUUUUAGUAAAACCGUUGUUGUUCUUAUGUUAAGACGACAGUUUUUUGUUAAAAACCGUCGUUUAUAUGUAAAGAUGACGGUUUAUUAUAAACCGUCGUUAUUUAUGGUAAAGACGACGGUUUUGGUUUAAAAGACGACAGUAUUUUGUUAAAACCGUCAUCAUUUGUGGGUAAAGACGUCGAUAUUUUGUUAAAAAGUGUCGUUGAUUGUAUAUAAAGACAGCGGUCUUGUACUAAAAACAAUCAUUAAUUAUAUGUACAAACGACAGUUUUUUCAAUAAAACCAUAGUUUUAUUAUUUUUAAAUCUGUCGUCUAAUAAGUUCCCAAAACUAUUACAUUUUAGUUUUUGAUUUCUUAUGAUUCUAUACAACGAUUUUAACUAGAAAACCAAUUAUAUUGCUUUUAACGAACACAUACACUCAAAAAUUAUUUCUUUCAUAAAACUUGAAGAUUCAAUAGUUAUUACAUAGUCAACCAAUCUUUAUUCUAUUACAUACAUACUUCCUACCUAUAAUCAGAAAUAAUGGACCUCACAAAUUCUACUAAUUUGAUCUUAACUUCAUCAAUUUGUUAUUGGGUUGACUUAGCUCUGCCUUCUUGCAAACAUUUUUCAAGUUGGUGGUGUCGAAAGGACCUGCACGAAAGAGACCCCAAUACUCUUAAACAUAAACCUGUUUAGCAACAACCUUAACCUUAGCAAAAAGAUCUAUGCAACUUUAGAAUGACAGCAGCUUGAGGACUAAUCCAGUACUACCUGCUUUACUGAGAGAGAUUCGGAGAGAAAGUUAAUGACAUAUAUACUAUCAUGUAGGCUUUCAUAGUUGUUAGCUUCAGACUUGGUCCUGCCAACAAUUUGCCUUCCAUCAGCUGCUAAUCCAGCAACUACCUGUAAUUGGAUGUCACAAUAAAAUUAAUGCAAACUUAUCUGUCAGAACAAAAAGCCUAGGUGAUUAAGCCAAACUUGAUAACCAUGUGAGAAAAGAAAACGAAGUUUAGAAGAUAUGGUCUGGGUGAUUAAGCCUAGAACUGAAAUGAGCAAGCACAAAAUAAAAUGAAAGGAGAGACAAAGGUCAAGGAAUUGUACCUUGGUCAGAUAUUUUACUCCCCCAAAGGUCAAGGUAUUGUAGUUUAGAAAUUACCUGAGGAAAAUCAUUACAAAACAUGAAGUUAAGAAAUGAAAUGGCAAGGGUGGACAGUCACAGAAAUUCAAGUGUCAAAAAAUAUUGUUGAAUAUGAGGUCCACCAACAAUAAAAUAGAUGCCUCAGCCUUGACUUGAGAACAACUGCAGUAUCAUCCUUACAAGUGAAUUAAAUUUAAACCACUCAUGGAUUGUGGGAUUCCUCCAGUUAAAUUGUCAAAGCCCAAGUCCCUGUUAAAAAAACAUAUAGGCAUUAACAACUUGGGAACUUAGUUAACAAAAGUACUGUGCUUGAUAUUAGUCCCGUGAGAUGAAUUGUAUUAAAGGUGCAUAUAAAAGCAUGAAUUAAAACAUUGGAGGAAAAUCAUAAACCAUUACUCUAUGGAAUCUUGGUCCAGCCACUCCCCUGCUGUCUAUGUAUCUAAAAGGAAAAUAUAAAUCUAAUCAGAUUUCUCAACAGAGCAAAAGAUAUACAUACUGAAAGGGUGGUGAAAAAAUAAAAUUAUAUCCACAUAAUUAAUAAUGUGGUUCCAAGUUGCAAGCUAUAGCUAUUCUGAUAAGCAUAUAUUCAUAUCCAAACUUGCAAGCAAAUCCAAUCCACAAGUUAGACUAUUGCUACACAAACCAAUCAAUUAAUUUUAGUUGUCAAUGCACUUAGGAAUUCAUAUGAUUUAAAUAAAAAUCAAAACAUAAACAUACAUUAUAGAUGAGAGGCAUUUUCAAUUCCAGCAAGUCCACAAGAUCCUGCAGACUCCCAAACAAGAGAUAUGGAUUAAAUAGUCACCAGUGAAUUCAUUAAAAUACUAAGGGAAUCUUACAGAAACUAAACUAUCACUCAAAACUCAAAGAGCAAUAUAACUGAAAUCUCUAAAAUCUCUCUGUAAUAUUAGAAUCACAAAAAUCUUUAAAACAUGAGUGGUAGCACAGAGAGAAAGAGAGAGCCUUACCUUGAGGUCCGAGAUCGAAGAGAGGAUUUGGAUUUGGGGUUGGGGUCGGGGUCGGAGAGCCGAGGAAAAUGAAAUGAAACCUCUUUGUCGAUCUUCUUCUCUAAAAGGCUAGGACCGCGAUGACCGUGACCGCGACGAGCAGGCGAUGAGCGCGAUGACGACGUUCACUCUGUCGAUGACACCAAUGGCCAUCACCUUUUCGACUCUCUUUCUGAUUCGCUCUCUGGACCUCGAAGAGAAGUUACAUGCGAUGACGACUAUCAAGAAGAUGGCACCGACGACGAUCUAGAAGAAGGAGCCGACGUCGAUCCUCGUGACGAAGCCGACACCGAAGUCCACCUCCUCGUUGCCUCUGUCUCUCUGAGAUGUGAGAGUCGGCUUAGAAAAGAUUGAGCUGGGGAGAGAGGGUUUAGGUGUAGAGAUGUGAUAGAGAGGGAGAGAGAGAGAGGGUUUGAACUCAGAUAGGGAGAGAGGGCUUCAUCGAGAGGGAAGGGAAUUUUCACGGAGAGGGAAACUUAGAACAUUGAGCGGGGCGUGAAAAAUUAGGUUGAGAAAGACAACUUUAGUUUUUGGUGGUAAAGCUGAGAGUGACGACUUGACUGAAACAGUGUUUAGCGUGUUUUGGAUGCACGUCGGUUCUUCUUGUCAACCGACGUGUUUUUGAAAUAUGUUUUGGAUUACCACCGUAUUAGAUGCCUUAAGACGUCGCUUUUAUAACCACUGACGUGGUUUGUAGCCAAUUUUAAAACCACGACGCUUUCUUCAAGUUCCGACGUCUUUCAAGUGACGUGUUUUUGCAAUAUUGGCGUAGUAAAAAGAAACGCCUAGCCUUUCGAUCACUGCAUCUUUUCCUGCAUGACUUGCGGUUCUCAGCAAUUAAUAAGUCAAGCCGCCCAGGUCCAAGUCCAGAAGGAUCACUUACUUCAUGACCACCAAUUUGGCUAUGAUUGCUGUCAUUUAGGAAAUGGUUAAAACACUCGUCGGCUUUUUAGGUAUAGCAGUGAUCAAUAUGAUGCACGCCUGUUGCAUAGCAAAUGAUAUGGAUUGAAGUCCCAAAAGGAUAAUCCUUUGACAUGUCAAUAUUGAUAUUGUGCACGCCUAAUGCGUAGCAAAUUGUAUGGGUUAAAGUCCCAGAAAUUAAUUGACAUGUAUGUAUUAAUGUGUGGCAUGCCUGCAGCAUGACAGAUAUAUGGGUUCUAAAUGUUCCAACUCCCUAAAUAGAGAUUAUCCACGCCCUACUGUAAAAUAACGCUCCAUUGUAGGUUAUAAUCCACAUUCUCACAUAAUAAAAGCCCCCUGAAGUGGCUUGGGUUCCCAAAAGCAAAGAAAUGCUUAUAAUUGAUGCAUGCAAAUGAGAAUGAUGGGAUCAUGAAUUGAUGAAUGGCAAUUUUUGGUUUUGGAGUAGCUACUCAAAUCAUCAAUGGGCUGUGUUAAUUGGAACCACGUUCAAUUAUUAAAUGUCGACAAUAUCAUUUGCCAAAAUGGAAUGAGGUAACUCCAUUAUAGAUGAGAAUGAACGUGAAAGAACAAACCCACAGUACGAACCCCAAAAGAUGUUAAUACUGAAAUUUAUACUUGGGUGUUCGGAAUAAAAGGGAAUAUACCUACUUUGUAUGACACAAUGUUUCUGGCAGAAACAAGAAAUGUUAGGUUUUCUCCAUAUUUACAGAUUCAAUUGUGCCUCCUUAUUGCACAUUUACGGAGACCAACAUGUUAUCUUUAAGGGUUAUUAAAUGCACAGAGCAUAUCACCAGUAGUGAUUCCCUAAAGAUGUAUAAAUAGCUGGGUUAAAGCUAUAUAAUGUAUCAUAAAGUUUAAUCCCUUUAAACAAAAUCCUUGAAAGGAUUGAAAUUGCAUGAAGCAAGUCCCUAAAGGACAUAUGCCUAAAGCACAAAAUCAGUACUCAAUACUAAUAUGCAUAAAUUGCCUCAGUGAGUACAUGGACUAUAAUGUGCUUGCAACACAUUAAAGCUUCUGAAGAGUUCAAGAAAUAUUUGUCUCGACUUAAAGAUCGAGCAUUAUGCCAACGAGAUUCUCGCUUAUACUAAGAAAGUAUUGAAGCAUUUUUAUGAGGAUUAUCCGUUGGACACUUUAAGGAUUUUCCGGAAGUAUAUUGGACCGGACAUCGUAUUUUCCAGAUAGAGCUCAACUCCAUCACCAUCAUUUUGGGAUGAUGUGAGGCAUAUUUGAUGCUAUCUAAGCAUAACACCAUAUACGGGCAUAUUUUUGAGUGAACUUACAAAUAGCCCAAGUGUUAUUAGAUAUGCGGACUCUGGAAAUCUCUAUGGUCGCUUAUUGGAAAAGCUAGUCAUGAAGUUUUCAGGGGGAGAUAUUCAUCAGAGGGAGCGUGGUUUUGAUAAAGACCUUCAUACACUGUACUCUUUUUCCUUCAUCCAGGUUUUUAUCCCACUGGGUUUUUCCUGGUAAGGUUUUAAUGAGGCAGUGUCGCUCAAGAUUGACUCACAGAAGCAGUGUCAACUACGAUAUUCAGAAAGGUGAUCAACAGUAUGACUUAAAGAUAUUUUGCCAAGCAUCAGGGGGAGCGUGCUAUCAAUAAAGACCUUCAAACACUGUACUCUUUUUCCUUCGUCCAGGUUUUUAUCCCACUGGGUUUUUCCUGGCAAGGUUUUAACGAGGCAGUGUCGCACGCAUGUCAAUAUACACAGAAUUUUAUGUUACACAUGAUUAUGUACUCUUUUUCUUUUUGACCAGUUUUUGUCCCACUGGGUUUUUACUGGCAAGGUUUUUAACGAGGCAUAUUCCGUAUCAUUUGUGGUCUCCAAGGGGGAGUGUUGUAAAUAAUAAGGUGGAGCCCACCUCCAAUGAAAGGAGCUUUGCCUAUAAAAGGGUUCACCCUUCUCUUUGUAAUGAACACACAGAUGAGAAGAGAAAACAUUCAAUGAAAGUUCAGUUUCUAUACUUUCUCAUUAACCCAAUUCUCUCUCCAAUUUCUCACUAGAUUCAUAACAAUGAUGUUAAUAAUCUCAAUAUAGAUGGCGUAUGAUCCUUGACGGAGGCCUGUGUGUGGAAAUUUUUGACACAAUUAUAUGUAGGGCACACAAAGCAUUAUUGACUUGCUUCACUCUAUUCGACUCUUGUCCUCUCCUUCUAGCGAGCCAUCGAACUUUUAACAUUCAGUGUGAGUACAAUGUCAUGGAAAAGUGUAAGGAUAACCUGUGAAGAAAUUAACGUAAUUGUUAGUCCAUAAACCACAUUCAUGGUAAGGAGUUCCUCCUCAAUUUGAAGGAGCCAAGCUUUUUCCAUUAAGAUAUGGACGUCCAUUUUCAUGGGCAUGGCUUUUUCAAUGCAUUAAUUGCAAUUUAUUCUCAAUAAUUUUACGGAGAUCAAAUUUUUGAAUCACAUUUGAAGAUUACAUGACAUGACAUGCGAUUUAAAAUGUAGAUUUAUUUGAAGUUGAUGUUUUUAUCCAUUUUGACAUGUUAUUGUACUUAUCAUUUGCUACUGAACCUCGUUGCAUCAUGUGGACACCAUUCAUUCACAUAAAAUCAUUCGUAAUUUUCUGUUAUUGUAACAUAAAGAAAGAGGGGCAAUAUAUAUUUCACAAAAAUUCUAUGUGCAAUAUAUUUUUCAAAAAUUCUUUGUGCAUGACGUUAAUUCUAUCUUUAAUUAAAUACUGGACUAUCGAUAGUCACAUAGAUAUUUUAUUGAAGUUGGCAAAAGUAUAUCGUUAACAUAUCCAAUAUGUUUAUUAUUGAUGAUAAUAAUAUCGAUAUCGACACGUUAUCAAUUACAUGUGGACAAGUCUAUCUUUAUUGAAGAUCAAAUACUUGAUACAUAGCCAGACUAUAAUAAUGGACACGUUACCAAUUACAUGUCGAGAGUCUUACCUUUAUUAAAGAUCAAACGUUUAAUAUAGAGCCGGACUAAUUAUCGACACAUCACAUGUCUCGAGUCCUAUUUUUAUUCAAGAUCUUGUCCUUUCUAUAGUUAGAUCAUGGGCAGAAAGUAAUGGCGUAGUUAGGUCCACCAUUGCAUGUAAAUGUACCCUUUUUGUCAUCAUAAGCAUAGCUGUAAGCGUUGGGGCAUGCUUGACUGAAUAGCUGAGAGUAAUUUGUCGGUGGGCAUGUCUCCGGAGUGUUUUGAGGCGGAGUGCAACAAUACCGUGGCUCACCGAAUUUAACACAUGCGCUCAAGCAGGCAACCACGCUCCCAUCGGACCCUAUCUUUUGCAGCUCACUCGGACAAACUGCGUUCACGUUCGCAGGGCAAGUAGCCGUCUUGCAGUCUCCGGUACCGCCUUGUGGAGUCACAGACAUGGGCAAGUUGAAGCCAUCAACAAGACUAACGUCGUAGAAAUCUUGUCCUCCGCCUGCUGGAAUAUUGAAUUCCGCUAAAGUUGCUGGCGGAAUGGCACCGGCACCGUUGCACGUGACCUGACCAGAGGCACAGUCUGCGGUGGCACAGACGAACUUUCCAGAGGCGUCCGUGGAGCAUCCAGUUCGGGCCCAGAAGCGGCCGUUCCAUGGCACCGGAGUGUCUAGGCUGAAGCUAGCUUGGGAUGCUAACUCGAACCCUGUGGUUGAUAAUUGAGGUUUUUGAUCGGAGGUUAGGGUUCCUGGCCAGACCGUGUAGGGGCAGUUGUUUUUGAAAGACAUUGUCGCUGCAUGUGCACCUGCCAUGCAAAGUAAACCACACUUAAUUUGAUGCAGUAAUCACAAACUACACUUAUUGUGACCAAAUAUUAAAUUAAAAUUAAAGAAAAUAAGAAGCUUAGACUUUAAGAAAAGAUCAAUGAGUAUUUCUAUCGUUUGGCCAAAUGAAAAACUUAAAGAAAAUAAGAAAGCUUGUUUACCUCCGAAGGAAAGGAUGGUUAAGCUGAGGCUGAGGAAUACUACCAGGGUCUUCAUCAUCGGAAUAUCUUAGUUUGCUUUGCUUCGAAUUUGAUGAGCUUGGGCUUUAGUUAUAUAGGCUUGGUGCGGGCCUAACUUUUUGUCCUUUUGCGGGACUAUGGUUGCUGCGAUGACUAGUCUUAUGAUUUUUUUUUUUUUUUUUUUUUUGGGGAAUUUGAGUACGUAACUUAUCGCAUGUUACGUAUGUCAUGUCAUAUAUGUCAUGUAAUCUUCAAAUGUUAUAUAUGUCAUGUCAUAUAAUCUUAAAACUUCCAAAUUUCCAAUCAGUUAAAGCUUAAAAGAGUUGAUAGACACCAAGUUACUUUUAAAAAUAAUAUAUAAUAAAUAUAAUAUAUCUCUUUAUAAAAUUAAAAAUUAAAAAAAAUUUGGUCUCCCAGAUAGUGGAUCCAGAGCAGUCGCACUGACUGCCCUCGUCCAGGAUCGGCACUAAUUUCAACUUAAGAGGUUCCGAGUUUGCAUCCUUCUUUCUGUUAAUAAAAAAACAAACAAAAUCAAAUUACUUCAUUUGUUUUUGUAUGUAGAUAUAUUUUUUUUCAAUUCUAUGUAUUUGUUUAUUUCUUGCUUUCUGUCAAAUCGGUUUUUUUAUUUUAAAAGAUCAACAUUCACAUCCUUCGCCAAUGUAGAAAAUGCCACUCUAGGAGAAGAAGUUGCCACGAACAAACAGAGGUAGAUUUACACCACAGGAUAUGCCACUAAAGUCUAAAUGUGCAACUGUACUAAACUGUAGGGCCAUUGAAAUGUGUAUUAUUAAUCCCCCUUAAAUUGCCAAAACAAGCAGAGCUAGAAUUUUCAUUAUUACUAGUGGUAAGACUAGCAAAAUUACUACGUUGUUUGUUUCCUUUUUCUUUAAAUAAAUUGAUUAUCAUUAUUACUGGUAAAUUAUCAUUCGUUUUCCAUUCGCUGAGCAGAAAUAAUUGAUUUUGUUGUGUAAACGGGAAGUUGGUGUCUAUGUUUUAGUGCUUAGUGCGGCUCAGCCAAAAGAAUUCAUUGUUGGCGCAUGUUGUAAUUAAGAAAUUCAUUAUCUUCUUGUACUGUUGAUUUAUUCGAGUCUUAUCAAUGGUGUGUUAGUUGGAUUGACCCAAGACUUUGGUGUGCUCUCAAGUGUUGUGCGAAAACACUCUAAGAUCUUGACAAAUCAUUUUCUUUUUUGACUUCCAAAUUGUUGUUUUUUUCAAGAAUCAUUGCUACUUGAAAUCCGAAACAGUACAAGAAAAUCCAAUGAAAUUUUAAUACUUCAAAUAAUAAACAAAGAAUAACAUAAAUGGAUAGUAUUUGGACAUUCCUCCUUACAGACAAAUUACAGUUUUAUACAUAGACAAAAUAACUCAUUAAAAUUACAAAAAUCUUACAAACUAUGAUUUGUUUGUAAGGAGAAAUAACUCCUUAUGUGUUAUGUGUAAAGAGUCAAGUAUUUUUUACUUUUAAUUGAAUGCAAACUAAGAAGUGUUCUUUUUGGUCAGUUUAGCAUCUAUCGAUGUAUCUUUUCCGAGUAGCAUCCAUUGAGCAUGCAUGAUGAAUGACGUGCACUUGUCUUCUAGUCGGCAAUCAAGUCAAGCCGCCCAGGUCCAAGUCCAAUUCGACAAGUGGUUAUUUCAUGACCACGUCACUGCUCACAGGUCUUGGUGAUGCUUGUUCACACAGUAUCAACCCCUCCAAUGAAAUCAGAAAUAGUACAAGGAAAUUCAAUGAAAUUUUAAUACUUCAAAUAAUAAACAAAGAACAAAAUAAUUUAGAAUUUGAGAAAUUUUCCUCCACAACAACAAACUUAAAACUUCCAAAUUUGCAAUUAAUUAGAGCUUAAAAGAGUCAAAACACCCCAUGUUACUUUUUUUUUAUAAAAAAUAUUAAAAGAAUAUAUAAUAAAUAUAAUAUACCUCUUUAUAAAAUUAAAAUUAAAAUAUUUUGAGCCCCCCCGAACAGUGGACUUAGAGCAGUCGCAUUAACUGCCCCUGUCCAGAGCCAACACUAAUUUCAACUUAAGAAGUUCCAAGUUUGUAUCCUUCUUUUUAAAAAAAACAAACAAACAAAAUAAAAUUACUUCAUUUUUUUUUUGUAUGAAGAUUUUUUUUUUUUUUCAAUUCUAUGUAUUUGUUUAUGUCUUGUUUUCUGUCAAAUAGUUUUUUUAUGAAAGAUCAACAUUCACAUCCUUUGCCAAUGUAGAAAGUGCCACUCUAGGAGAAGAAGCUGCCACGAACAAACAGAGGUAGAAUUUACAGCACAGGAUAUGCCACUAAGGUCUAAAUGUGCAACUGUACUAUACUGUAGGGCCAUUGAAAUGUGUAUUAUUAAUCCCUCUAAAUUGCCAGAACAAGCAGACCUAGAAUUUUCAACACUCAGGACACAUUUUCUUUAGCAGUGAAGAAAAUUAAUGUGUCUGCCUUGAUCUGUGAAGAAGGAGAAAAACUUAGUUGCAACGGGGAUAGUAUUGUUUUGCUAUUCCUAAUUAAUAAUAUUAUGUCAUGUUGAAGUGGUAACACGUGUGUCAUAGCGUUAUUAAUUAGAGAUAGCAAAAUAGUGUUAUUCCUAUUUUAUAAAAGUCUUUCUUGUGAAGAAGGGUCAAGAGGUAAGACUAGUGGUAAGACUAGAAAAUUACUACAUAGUUUGUUUCUAAAAAUUUAACAUUUAAGACAAAUAAAUUAUAUGAAUUCAAACUUCAAUAUAUAAAAGUCUAAAAUAAGAAGCUACGCUUGAUACAUUCAAAUCUAAUGCAUAAACAAGAUAAAUACUUGUAACAAUUCAAUCAUUUCAUUUUCUUUUUUGACUUCCAAAUUGUUGUUUUUUCAAGAAUCAUUGCUACUUGAAAUCAGAAACAGUGCAAGAAAAUCCAAUAAAAUUUUAAUACUUCAAAUAAUAAACAAAGAAUAAUAUAAAUAGAUAGUGUUUGGACAUUCCUCCUUACAGACAAAUUACAGUUUUAUAUGUAGGCAAAAAUAUCUCAUUAAAAUUACAAAAAUCUUACAAACUAUGAUUUGUGUGUAAGGAGAAACAACUCAAACUAAGAACUGUUCUUUUUGGUCAGUUUAGCAUCUAUCAAUGUAUCUUUUCCGAGUAGCAUCCAUUAAGCAUGCAUGAUGAAUGACGUGCACUUGUCGCCUAGUUGGCAAUCAAGUCAAGCCGCCCAGGUCCAAGUCCAAUUCGACAAGUGGUUAUUUCAUGACCACGUCACUGCGAGGGGGUGUAGCUAGAUCCGCCAGUGGGUGCAGAUUUAAUUCUUUUUGGUCUUCUAUAUUUGUAGGCUCCAAGACAUUCAAGUAAUCUUUAAUAAGUCUCAAUUUAAAACAGACCAGCAAUCAUGAAAUUUGAAAGUCUUUUGCUAAAUUAAUUUGGCUGCAACUACCUUCAAUUACUUUGGCUCCAUGUAUAUUAAUUUAUCCACUAUUACAUUUUUUUUCUUAAAUUAUAAUAUGUAAGGAUACCAAUAUGCCCAUCUACUAAGUCUAUCACCAUUCCGACAAAAUUCUUUAUUGUGAUGGAUAUGUUCAAGGCUUAACAUGAUUUUUUAUAUAUUUCUUUUUUACAAACGACAACAUAUUUACACGAUACUUCAACUCCAUCGGCUAGCUAACUGGAUAUCCAACUAAUCAUGAAUAUAAUUAUCACCAUUUAUAUGAGUUGAACUUUUUUUUUUUUAAUCAAAGGAAAAAUCUUUAUUACUUUCAGUAAUAAAAUCAAUAUGACAUACAAAAGGACACACAGAAAAACUGGAGAAAGGAGGUGCACCUAGGGUGACCUCAUUAAAACAUUGCCAUGAAAACACUUAGAGGAGGAAAAUCCGGUCAAGGAAAAAGAGUACAUCGAACCUCCCGCAAAGAAAACUAAAUUUCUUCUCUAUUCGCUGCAAUCGUAGGCCAUAACCCAUGAGGAGCUAACCCAGCCCAAAACAAUCACCGUUGCCGUAAACCAAAUUGAGCCAAAAGGUGCGCCGCUGCAUUUUCUCUGCGAGGCUGGUAAAACACUUCUCGUACUUACUCCUUCCCAUGUAGAGUGUCAUUAUGAAGGAGCCAAGAGCAACAGACAGAACAUACAAAAAAAAUUAAUUCCUGCUUCGAUAAAACAUGAAUGGUUGUCUCAAAAAAAUUUGCAGAAGACCCAUGGUAGGCCUCCAGCCGACCAAAAAAGGGUGAGAGUCCAAAAUUUUUGACUCCUCAUGCAGCUCCAUAAUGCAUGAAGAAUAGUUUCUUAAUUUCCCACAACGAGAGCACAAAGGAGUUUGAAGUACCCUCUUAAAAUAUAGAUUGAGAGAAGUGGGUAGCACAUUCCAAUAGGCCCUCCACACUAAAAGCUUGAUCUUGUUAGGAACCUCCAGUGCCCACACGUUGCUCCAAAAAAGUUUGAGGGCUCAUGUCCGAGCUCCCUCCCUCCACAACAGCCGCCAUGCAUUGACGUAAGGCAACACGAUAACCAGAUUUUACAGAAUAUUUUCUAUCCUUAGCAAAGAACCAAUAUUUACUAUCAUGCAAACGCACCACCGAGCCUAGAGAAAUACCCAUAAUUGCCUCACAAUCCUCCUAAAUAAAAUACUGACUUAGCAAAGGCGUUUUCCAAGCACUAGAAUAUGUUAACAAGUCAGUCACUCUUGCUUGUGAUGACAAUCCCAAAUUAAGAAGGGAUUAAAGGUGAAGAAUCUUAGGAUCCAACGAUCCUGGAAAACCUGCACGGAAGCCCCAUUGCCAAUUCGCGAAAUCAACCGUGCAUCAAUCACUUCUUUUCCCCUAAGAAAGGAGUGCCAAUUAAGAGAAGGGUGUGUACCAACCUCGGCACUCAUAAAAUCCCCAUUGGGAUAAUAUCUUGCAUGUAGCAUCCUUGUCACCAAAGAAGAAAGGCUUUCAAGAAGCCUCCAUGCUUACUUGGCCACCAUCUCUUUAUUAAAGGCUUCAAAAAAUUUAAAACCAAGGCCACCGAAGCAUUUUGGCUGACAUAGCUUGUUCCAAUUCAUCCAAUGUAUACUUUUUUUUUCCCAGCUUUUCCCCACCAUUACUGAGAAAUCAUUGACGAUAAUUCACUACACAGAGUAGCCGGCAACUGAAAUACCCCCAUGGUAUAAGUAGGAAGUGCCUGUGCAACUGCUUUGAUGAGCACUUCUUUCCCUGCUGCAGAGAGUUAUUUUGAAUUCUAGCGAUGGAUUCCACAAAUUGAAACAUGUUAUGGUUGAUUUCUUUCACACUUCCCCCACAAUUAAGCACUUGUAGACAAAAUCCCACCACGUCAUUACCAACAACACCCCAAUAUUUCUGAUAAAAAAGAGCUAAUAAACCAUCCAUACUAGGGGAUUUUGUUGGAAACAUUUGGAACAAAGCUCCCUCAAUCUCGCCCCACGUAAAAGACAAACACAACCAACCAUUUUCCUCCUGAGUAACCAUUAGUCUCAAGGCAUCUAGAAUUCCAUCGAUCUUCCGGGCACCAUUUGAAGAGAAAAGCUGUUGAAAAUAGUCACAAAAAACUAAGCCCACUGCAUUCUUAGAAGAAACCUAAACAUUGUCAGCAUCAAACACUCCUUUUAAAAAAUUCAUGUGCCCCUGGAGCUUCGCAUAAGCAAAAACAACUUGGUAUUCUUGUCACUAGAUUUUAAUCAUGCUAUACCAGAUUGUUGCCACCACAAAGUUUCGUCUUGCUCAAGCAAAACAUCCAACUCAUUAGUCAACUGACGCUGAUGUUGGGUGGCCUGUGGGGUCAAGUCACGACCCUAUACAACAUCUAACUUAUCUUGCACACCCCGAAUUUGCCUGGGAAUAAGUCCAACCUUUUCCAUGUUCCAAGACUGCAGAGAAGUCUGACAUGACAUAAUCUUGUCAACCACUGCGCCACCCUUACCUCCCCAAGUCUGGGCUAUUGUUUCCUGACAACCAUCAAUAGUAAUCCACAUCUAUUCAAACAUAAAAAGCCAAUGUCUCUUUCUCGUAUUACUCACUCCAAAGCGAAGUAAAAUAGGUAAAUGGUCAUACACAAAGGAAUUCAUAUAAUGAGUACGCAUAUCCAGAAAGGCCAACAACAUCUCAUCAUAAACCACAAUCCUAUCUAACCAGAGCUUACAUUCCCCUCACCUUGCCAUCUAUUUGUCCACGUAAACUUGUACCUUGUAUAAUUGAUCACCUUUAAGCCAUCAUCACGAGCCUCACCAAAAACUAGUCGGAAGUGACCGGAAUUUCAAUCCGAAAUCCAGCCAAACUUUGGAUUGUGAUUUGACCUACCUAGGCUAGAAAUCAUUCUAAUCCUACCCAAUCAUCCGCUAGAGCUCAAAGAAUAGAUGGAAAUCCAUACCUUGAUCGUCAGAAUCGGUGGCCAGAGGAAGGAGAUCGAAGCUGGAGAAAUUCGAGCAAAACCUGCUCGAUUUCUAGCCGUUUCCGGUGGAUUGGCGGCGGCUGACGACAAAACUGGGCUGCUGUGAGAUGGCGAGGCCGGUCCAGUCUGUUUGGCACCAGUGUUGUGGUCUCUGGUAGCUGGAGUCGGUGGUUAUAGGGGUUGAGCUGGAGGAGGACGCACAGGGGGGCUGUGGGUCAAGAGCAAGAAGAGUGACGGAAAAGAGAGAGAAAAGAAGGUUUUAAAAAAAAUCUUAUCUUUACGAAUUACGAUUUUGCCCCUCGUCAAAAUUGGAUCGUAUUUUCUUCGUUAUGACCCCAAUUCGAGUCCACUACGUGUCCAAGAACUCGUUUCGUCGCGCUCUACGCAACGGUACAAUCGAAAUUUCCAAAUUCCUUCCCCGUCAAAAAGUCAACUUUUUCUUUUACUAAUUUAUUCUAGGGGCAAUAUUGUCUUUCCCUCUAAUAAAUUAAUAAUAAAUAUUAUUUAAGGACCGAGUUGUUACAAUACAUGUAUAUAUGUAAUACAUAUUAUAUAUUAUAUUAUAAUACAUACAUAUAUGUAUAUAUUAUAUCCAUGUAUGUAUUAUAAUAUACAUAUACACACGUAUAUACACAUAUACAUUAUAUAUUUAUACUAUAUGUAUAUAUAUAUUAUAAUAUACAUAUAUAUGUAUAUAUAUGUAUACAGUCCCCUUCUAUUGAGGGAUCCCUCAAAAAUUAUUUGAGGGACGCCCUUUAGGGUACCCUACAAUUUUUUUCUCAAUGAUCCAAACUAUCUAUUUUUUAGGUCUUCAUUCAUAGAUCAUCCUUACAAAAAAUUAGACAAAUCGGAAAUCGUUUCGACAUCCAAUUGUGUCUUACAAAAUCAAUGAACACGGUGAUUCAAGAAAAUGCUAAAAUUUCAAUAACUUAAUUGAGUGGUCAAAUGAUAUCUGAUUCAAGUGAUUUUUUGUAGAGAUGAUCUUUGAAUGAGUAUCUACAAAAUAGACGGUUUGGAUUAGUGAAAUACAAUCCGGAGUGGGGCCUACAAGGAGUGUCCCUCAAAUAUUUGAGGGAUCCCUCAAUAGAAGCUCUUUGUACAUGUAUAUUAUUAUUAUAACAUACCCAUAUAUAUUAUCUAUUAUAAUAUACAUAUAUAUGUAUUAUAUCCAUUUAUAUAUUAUAAUAUAUAGAUACACCUAUAUAUUAUACAUAUAUAAUGUACAUAUAUUAUAUUUAUUAUAUAUACAUAUGUAUUUUAUAAUAUAUAUAUAAUAUAUGUAUAUAUACAUACAUAUAUAAUAUACAAAUAUACACGUAUAUACAUGUAUAUUAUUAUUAUUAUUAUUCUAACAUACCCAUAUAUAUUAUAUAUCAUAAUAUAAAUACAUAUAUAUGUUUAUAUUACUUUUAAUAUAUAUAAUAUUAUUAUAAUAUACAUAUAUACAUGUAUAUACACAUAUAUGUAUGUAGACAUAUAUAUUAUAUAUAUAUUAUAAAAUACAUAUAUACAUGUAUAUAGAUAUUUUUGAAAAAAUAAAAAAAAUCUAGUCCUAGUCCAAGUAUACACCAAAUGCAGGAUAAGUGUUAUCCAAAUUAGACCAAGCCAAGCCAAGCAAAGACAGUUCCUAAGUAUAGUCCAUACCAAGACAGUCUUAUGUGUAACAAACGAGUGGACGCUGGAAGUAAUGUGGAGCAUGAAUUUGGAAGGGAAAGUAGUAAUUUUUUAUUGCUUAUUAAAAUACUUCUAUAACUAUUAGUAAUUAGUUAGUGGUGAACAUAUCCAAGUUCACAAUAAAUAAUGAAAUUCUUUGCCCGAAUAUUGGUAGUCGAUGAUUAGUUUAGGAUUAGAGUAGUAGCAUAUUGUACGAUCAUUUAAUAAUUUAAGGAUAAUAUAUUUAGAUUAUGAAGCUAAUUAAUUUAUAAAGAAUGGAAGCUGCAUACGAUAUCUUGGGUCUUCCUAAAGUCUCAUCCAAUCCAAUGCAUUCAAGCAUGCAUGGAUGUGCCUAUUUGGGCUUGUAUUCAUCGAAUAUCUCUAAUACAAAUGAAACAUAUGAUUAAUUUGACUUGCUUGAAACCACCCACAAAAGAAAAUUUUAGUUGCAAUGAGGAUAAUAAUGUUUUGCUAUCUUUCGAUCAUUAGUGUUAUGCUACGUGGAAGUGUUCUCACGCAUGUCAUAGAGUGUUAUUGGUCAGAGAUAGCAAAAUAGUGUUAUCUCUAUUUCCGGGGACAAACCCAGGAUUUCAAAAUGGGGUGGACUAAAUUUACCUUACAUACAAAGGUACUUAGUAGAUAGAAAACUCAACAAUACCUUGUUAUUUCAUUGAUAACGAAAAAAAAAACACCUAUUUAAUAAGCAAGAACAAUAAAAUCAUUUACAAAUCCUAUUUGAUAAUUCAUAAUAAAUAAACUGAAACUGAUAAGCCCCAAUUGCAAUCCCUAAUUCAUAAUUCUUAAGUUUCAAUUGCAAAUCCUAAUUGAUACUUCAUAAACUCCAAACAAAAUCCUUAAAUUAAAACAUCAACAAAUUGAGAGAAGCUUGCCUGACGAAUAUAUGAACUUGGUUCACUUGAAUUGGAUCUUGAAGGUGAGUGUAGCAGCAAUCAUACUGUUUUUUUUUUCUCUCUCUACAUGCGAGCGUAGGGUGCAUCUUCUUCUCUUUAAUUUUUUUUUGUCUACGUGCUCCGUGUGAUUUCUUUUUUCUCUUUUUUUUCCUACGCGUUGUCUAUGUGUGAGUAUUUUUUUUUUUCUUAUCUUUUUAUUGGCUAGAUUAUUUAAAUUGUGUGAGCUAGGAAUUUUUUUUUUUUUUUUUGGCAAGAAAAAAAUAAGCCACCUGGUAGCCUAAGUUAGCCAAACUCUCUGCCCGUUUCAUGGAAGUCUUUCUCCACCCACAAAUCUUUAGCAUCUUAUUUUGUCAUUUCAUUUUUCAAUUGAUUUAUUAUUGAGAAUGACGGGUAAAUGAGUAAACAUGUUGAGACGGGUCAAAAUCAUAAGAAAUGUCCUUGCCUUAAGAAGUAGAUAAAUAAUAACAAUGUAAAGAAGUAGACUCAUAUACUUCAGUUUAUAGGCCAAAUAUGGCAUCUACAUUUAUGAAUUAAUGAAUCACAAAAAUGUAUCCUCUUUGUCUGCACGAGGGUUUACAAGUAACCCUAUAUUUGUUACGGUUAAAUUGCUUUAAAAAGGUGUCUCUGAUCUCAGAGUAUACUAGAAUUUCAACUCUUAGUUGAAAUCAAUGGGGACACACAGGCUCUUUGUUUGUGAAAAAAAGCCCGAAAUGCUUCUCUGUUGGUUCCCCAUUCUUCUCAUUCUCAUUAAACAUGGCAAACACAUAGGUUUCUAUGGGCCUUCUGAAAUUGGUAUCUAGGUGAAGGGGGUAAAUUAAAAGCUACUUUAAAGACUUACCAAUUACACAAAUCUCAGCUUAACCUGAGAUCAAUAUGACUAGUCAACUAAGAGUCAUAGACUAGCAACAAUCACACACACAGAGUAAACAAUCAAUACUUGCAAACCUAGAAAAUCACUAGUGACAAUCUAGGCACUCAGAAGGAUCUAUCAAUCUAGGCAUCCUUUGUGCUAGCAACAACUAAGGUGAGAUGUGUGUGUGAAUACAUCAAGAACAAGUAUAUAGCAGCAUUCAGAUGAUGACUAGUCAACAGCAAGAACACAAACCCACAUAAACAUGAACAAUGAUAUGAUUUUUAGUACUUGUGCAAACAGAGUUAAAAUCACAUAAAAUACUUGCAAGAAUACAAGGCUAUUGUAGUAUAGAUGCUCAUGCAAGGUCGUUUUCCUCAAGGACUAAUUAGCAAUUUAUGUAAAAACAAAUUCCAAUUACUACUUAAAAUAAAAAGUCAAGAAAGAUGAUUAUAAAUUUGGUUGAUUCUAAAAAACAAAUAUUAAACAAAAACAAAUACGAUUGAAAGAAAGAGUUUUGAAUAUCAAUUUAUAAAAACACUAGGGUUUCACCAUCACCUAGCAAUCCUAUGAACUUUUACCAAUUACUUAUGAUUUGCACAUGCCACUUUGAAGGUUAGGUUUUCCUAAUGUAUAUUCUACUUGGAACCUCCAACACAGAACAUAUAUCCAACAUGCAACCCGUCCGGACGUUCGGAUCAAAUCUAAACAUGAAAGACUCAUUAAGUUUUGUGAAAACCCUUUGAAAAAUCAUGCAACCCUUAAGACGUGGUGUUCAUCUUAAGUGAAAUUACAAUUAUUAAUCACAAGAAGCUAGCAUCAAUUUCAGGGAACCUUCCGACCAAAAUUGCAUCCAAUUACUUUUCUAAAGAUCCUAAUGGUGAUCAGGCAUUAAGACAAUUAGAUAGUUUAAAACAGUGAUUAACAAUUCAAAAUACGCAUGCACUCAUCAUAAGCAAUUAAAUAAAAAUCACAUAUUCAUGCUAAGGUUCAAGGCUUCACCCUAGCAAAAGAAAUUUAGUUACGCAUACUCAUAAUUGAAAUCUAAGAAAAUAUCAUUAAGAAGAAAAGAACGAAAACACCUGAAAGUUGUGAAAACCCAAAACCCUAGCAAUUGCUCUCUACAAUGCAAAGUUCAAAAGUAAUUCAGAAGUCCCCAAUUCCCUCUGAGAAAGAGCUUAAAUAUCCCUUAAAACCUAGCUGCCAAUGUACAGCUUUUCUAUCCCCACAAGGAAACUAAUUAAAAUAAAAUAAUACUAGGAAAUAAAGUCCAAAUUGGAAUAGGAGAAUCUGCCCAAAAUCUGCCCAGCCACGUUUUGGCCCCAAACCUCCUCCAAAUCUGGCCCAAGAUAGCUUGUUUUAAAGAUAAAAAUGUUCUGAACACUUCUCUAGAAGGCCACGAACCCAUCCGAGGUCAUCUUGGACUCCAAAAACGCAAUAAAAGCCCAACACGUCACUAUUCCAGCACCGCUCACUGCUCCUUUAUUUUGUUGCCAGAAAAUAACCGCUUGGAAGAAAAAUCUGAAAUUUUGAUACGAUCAAGCUAAGUGACUCAAGAACGUCCUCCAACUGGAAUUACUCCAAAAUUCCUCAAUUUGAUUAUGUUUUGCUCCAGAGAGAGUCGAAAGUCCUAUAUUGGAAAUAUAAUUCAAAGUAUCAAAAUUCUUCCAAAAUAAUAACCAAAAUAUACUAAGAAUGAGGUUAAAUAUAUAAUAUAAAAUAUGUCCAUCAAACAACAACCCAGAAAAUUGUUCACCCAGAAACUCAUCAGUGGAAAAACUGGGAGUCAUCAUCUGACCAGGCAGUCUACUAAGCAAAGAAGAUUCUUACAGAGAAAUCACAAGCAAGCUCAAGGAAACCUAAAUCUAUUUAGGGAAUGAGCUAUACCUCCUCCAUGCGAUCUUUUUUUUUCCAAAUUUAGCAAAGCUUGUAGCUAGUUCUUCAUGGCAAUGGCAGCUUCCUCCUUAGCUUGUUCAUCCCAUGGCACUGGCGGCUCAGCUCCAAUCGGAAAAGGAACACGAAUAUUCAAAAUGAAAUGACCAAUUUUUUCAAGAAACCAUACUCCUGAAGAAAUCAAUCUAGAAUUUGACCUAGAUCUAUAUGAGUAUGUGUUUGAUUCAACUAGAUGCAUAUUUCAUUUUCAAAGCAGUUUUCAAAAUCAAUUUGGGAAACUCAUUUAUGAAAAGAUGGAGAAAUCACUUCCAACUAAAAGGAGAGCAAACACUACUACAAAAAAGCAAAAAGACGACGGUAAAUCACCGUCGUGUAUUUGGUUUUUCAAUGGUCGUGGAAUCCACCGUCAUCUUUUCCCUCAUAAACCACGACGCUAAAUAACCGUCGUUGUUAAACAAUACAACGUCAUCAAAAAAUACAAAACGACGUCUUUGUACUGCAAAAAGAUCUAAAAAAAGCAAUCGAUGAUGAUAAUAGACGACCAAUUCUCUAAAAAGACCGUCGUUAAAAAGGGAAAAUAUGACACAUAUUAAGAGAACAAGGCCGCAAGAUAAACAUACAACGACGACAAUAAAAAUACGCCGACGUUAAAUAUAAUUUUCACGACAAUAAAAAAUAUGACGUCUUUAAAUACAUUAGAAGACGACGUUAUUGAUACUACUACGUCGCACAUAUAAACACAACCGUCGUACAAUUAAUUUUCCACUUCGAUUUUUUGAUAAAAGAUGACGUGGAAAUAGUUGUCAGUGUCAUUAUUUACGACGUAUGUGUUUCUAUAGUAGACGUUGAAAAACUAAACAACGUCAGUUACAAAUAUAUGAGAGUCGUAUUAAAAAAUUUAUACGUCCUAUUUUCAGAAACAAACAACGACCAUAAAUAUUAGACGUUGUUAAAUACAACAACGUCGGAAAACAAUAAAAACAGACGUGUUUAUUCUGCUAAAGUUCUACAACGUCUCUUAUUUACAAAAAACCGUCGUGAAAUAAAUUUUCCACUUCGAUUUUAUCUAAAAAAGAUGACGUGGAAAUAGUUGUCAGUGUCAUUAUUUACGACGUAUACAUUUAUAUAGUCGACGUUGUAUUUAUAUGUAUUCAUUACUCACGACGCACUUAAUAAUAUAGACGACGUUGAACGUCUAAACAACGUCGGUUCCAAAUAAAUGAGAGCCGUAUUACAGAACAUAUAGACGGCGUAGAUUAUGAUGGGAGCCGUAUUACAAAUAACGUCGUUUAAUUGUUAUUAGACGGCGGUUAUAAUGAAUUUCCGUCGGAAUUAAUUUCGUUCCUCUUCGUUUAUAAAAGAACUUGCGAUGUGGAAAAUGUAUGAUGACGUCGUAUUUUUUAACGUUCAGAUUACAUAUCUCGUUUUUUAGACGUCGGUAUUAUGGGAUUGGAGUCGUGUUAUUUUGAAUUACAUGGCGGUUCUUUAUCCUUCACCGACGUGAUAUCCUGAAUAAUUGCUUCACAAUAGCGUCGUGGUUCUUCAUUGUUACGUUGCUUUAAGACGUCGGUAAAUAUGCUGAAUAACUGAUUCACAAUAACGUCGUGUUUUAUUUGAACGUAGAAAGUGAAGAAAUCACAUUACAAUAUAUUACAAAAUUAAUGUCAUACACUGCCAAUUACAUAAGCAUCAUUCAAUCCAUAUAUCUUCACACCCAUCUCGAAUAUUUUGACCGCCUAACUCACCUACCAGUUCAUCAAAUGUGUCAACAUUUGGCAUCCCUCUAGUAAAUGGCUCACACUCAAUUAUCACAUCACCUAAUACUUCAUCACCAAUAACAUCAUUAUAUUCUCUACUAGGCAUUGAUAACACUACCGACCAACCACGAUGCAUCGGGUCGUCAACAAAAAAUAUUUGUUUGACUUGAGAAGCCAAAACAAAUUGGUCAUUCCUAUGUCCAAUUUUACUCAAAUCUACAAGGGUAAAUCCAAGUUCGUCGACUACAAGACCAGAACUAUCUAUCCAAUCACACCUAAAGACUGGGAUUGUAAACUUUUGGUAGUCAAGGUCCCAAAUUUCUUGAAUGACACCAUAGAAACCCAUAUUUGAGAGAAUUGGGUUUUUAUCCUUGGCACUAGCAACUUGCAUGGUAUGUGCAAGUAAAUAAACUCCACUAUUUUGAGUUGUCCGCACAUCAUCUUGUGCCUUGAUAUUGAAUUUAAUACCUUUAAUAAGAUAGCUCCUAUAUAAUGGCACUGACAUGUUUGGACCAGCUGCUAGCCACCUUAAAUUUUCUGAUACGCCAUGAUUGUCUUCCUCAACUUCACUUUGAACCUGCAAAUUAAUCAUAUCUUAAUUCAUCCUAACAUAUAAAUAAGAAGAAAAUUAAAAGAGAAAUACGUUAUUCAACAACAUAUACCUUGAAGCGUAGCCAUUGAAUGAAAGUGCUAUUGUGCUUAUCCUGCAGCCACUUUGUUCUCUUUCUAAAUUUUGGAUAAGCAGUCUUGAUGUGGAUCAUAUGUUGCCUACAUGACACGAAAAAUUCAAGCAUUACGGUCCCAAAUAUAUAAGAUAAACAUAAGAAAUAAUUUUAAAUGGAAACUUAAAGAAUAAAACUCAUACGUACUCGAUAUAAGGUAGGACUUCCUCCGUAUUCUCCAAGACAUAUAGAUGUGCUUGAUUCAACAGGUCCUGAUCAACUACGCUCACUGUGCAACCUGAUAAUGGCUUUGAAACUCCCAUCUUUUGGCUUGAAGGCACUCCAACUGUACUAACAUCAGAUAAAUGCUGAGUACAAAACUCUACCGCUUCUUCAGCUAUAUACCGCUCAGCAAUGCAACCUUCGGGACGAGUACGAUUCUGAACAUACCCCUUCAGCACUUUCAUAUAUCUUUCAAACGGAUACAUCCACCUAAAAUAUACUGGCCCACAUAGACGAACUUCUCUGACAAGAUGUACUACUAGAUGAACCAUGAUAUCAAAGAAUGAAGGGGGAAAGUACUUCUCAAGCAAACACAGAGUAACUACUACAUCUUCUUCCAACUUAUCUAGCUUGGAAACAUCAACAGUCUUUGCACAUAUAGCAUUGAAGAAGAAGCACAAACGAGUUAUUGCAUACCUUGCAGGCUUCUCCAAAACAGAACGAAUUGCCACAGGGAGCAAUUGUUGCAUUAAGGUAUGACAAUCAUGUGAUUUAAGGCCAAGAAGUCUUGAAUCUUGUACAGAUACAAGAUUUUUAAUAUUUGAAGAAUAACCUUCAGGGACCUUCAUACCAUAGAAAGAAUUGCAAACCUCUCUCUUCUCUGCUCUUGACAAAUUCCAAGGCCCAGGAGGCAAACGAGUACGUCUUUCUCCAUACUCGGGUUGCAAAUCAGUUUUGACCCCCAUGUUCAAUAAAUCUAAUCGAGCAGCAAUCCCAUCUUUAUUUUUUCCAGGGAUCUCCAGCAAUGUACCAAUGAUACUAUCGCAAACAUUCUUCUCAAUGUGCAUAACAUCUAGGGCAUGCCUCACAGGAAGGUAUUUCCAAUACUCGAGAUCAAAGAAUAUUGAUUUCUUCUUCCAACAAACUCUGUCACCAUUUUCAACCAUAUGCAGCACUUCUUCUCCGGUUAAUGGCUCUGGAGGUAUGCCAUAUUCAGGUUUCCCAUUAAAAGCUGCACGUUGCCUCCUAUAUGGAUGAUUGAUUGGUAACCAUUUUCUAUGCCCAAUGUAACAAAUUUUGUGGCCAUUUUUCAACCUGUGACUAGGUGUAUCAUCGCCGCAUAUUGGACAAGCUUUAUAUCCUUUAACAACACAACCAGAUAAGUUUCCAUAGGCGGGGAAAUCAUUAAUUGUCCACAUUAAUGCAGCUCUGAGUGUAAAGUAUUCUCCAUUAUGUGCAUCAUACACUCCUCUAAUCCCAACCCACAAGGAUUUUAAAUCAUCAAUCAAAGGCUCCAAGUAGACGUCUAUAUCAUUUCCGGGUUGUUUAGGACCGGAAAUCAAUAAGGUUAACAUCAUGAACUUUCGUUUCAUGCACAGCCAUGGAGGGAGAUUAUAUGUAACUAAGAUAACCGGCCAACAACUAUAUCUGCUACUUAGAGAACUGUGGGGAUUGAAUCCAUCAGAUGAAAGAGCCAAUCUCAAGUUUCUCGGCUCAUUACCAAACUCAGGCCAUUUAUCAUCAAGAAGUUUCCAAGACGGGGAAUCCGCCGGAUGAGACAUCUGACCGUCAAUUGAUUUUCUAGCAACAUGCCACCAAGUCAAACUCUUAGCUGUCUCAUGUGAUUGAAACAUCCUUUUAAACCUUGGAAUUGGGGGAAAAUACCACACCACCUUCGCUGGCACACCCUCUUUCAAGAUUGCAUCUUUGCCUUCCUUCCACCUUGAGAUACCACAAGUAGGACAAUUAGUUGAAUCCUCAUACUCCUUCCUAUACAAGAUGCAAUCAUUGGGGCAUGCGUGCAUUUUCUCAUAACUCAGCCCCAAUGCACACAAAGUCUUUUUAGCCUCAUACAUGGAGGUUGGUAUUGUAUUUCCUUCUGGAAGCAAAUCGCCUUGAAGUAUCAAUAAUUCUGUAAAACAGACAUCACUCAUCCCAUGUUUUGCCUUCAAAUUAUACAACUUCACUAAUGCCGAUAACUUCGUGUACUUUCUACAACCAGGGUACACUGGUUGAUCUCCAUCCCCAAUCACAUUGGCAAACUCAUACGGAUCCGAACCAAAAUCACCAAAAUCAUUAUCAUCCAUAUCAAUUUCUUCAGACACAAAACUGUACCUACUAUGGCCAUCAUCUUCUUCAACAUUUCUGCUAGCAUUAGUAGUUGCUUCCCAAGGUUCUCCGUGAAAUGUCCAAUUCUUAUAGCUUUGGUCAAUUCCAUUAAAGUAUAAGUGAUCCCUUAUAAUUCCAACCCCAAACAACUUCAAAUUAACACAUUUAACACAUGGACAACGGAUAUGUGUUGUAGUUAGAAGAUUUUCUACAGCAAAGUUCAAAAAUGCUUCCACCCCAAACUCAUAUGCCUUCGAUCUUCUAUCCGAGUGCAUCCAUGACUUAUCCAUCUCCGACACUAUAACCUAUUAUCUAUAAUAAAGUGAAAAUACAGGCAAUGACCAUCACUAUAGCAGAUUAUACAAUGAUCUAAUCGCAAGUAAUAAACAACAGAGACGACGGGUUUUAAUCAAAAACAGACGUAUUUGGCAUAUAUAGACGACGGAUUUUCAACAGACGUCGUCUAUUAUACGUAAUACAAACGACGGUUUAUGAAAAAACCGUCGUGUAUAAGUAAUACAACGACGGUAGUUUAAAAACACCGUCGUGUAAUCGUCGUCGUACGCCUUAAAAUUCGUCGUGUCUCAGUUUAUUUUCAAGAACACAAAACCCAUUAAGAACACAACAUAUAUAUGAAACCAAGCAAGAAACCAACAUAUACAUGAAACCAAGCAUGAAAACAAUAAAUCCAUUCCCAAUUCAACAUAACAUAGGGUGAUUAAAAGAUACGACAAAAUUAAAUCCAUUCCCAAUUCAACAUAACAGAUAAUGUAAUCCAUGAACCCAUUAAACAGAAAAUCCAUGAACCCAUACCUAUAAGCAUUGGUGCACUUUGCACCUUCUCCAGAGCGGAAAAUGACAAGAUCAAAUAAAGGUGUCCUUUUGCUGGAAAUCAUUUGGAAGUUGGUGAUGUGUCUUUUUGUGUUGAUUUCCAGCAAAAGUACACCUUUAUUUGAUCUUGUCAUGAACCCAUUAAACAGAAAAUCCAUGAACCCAUACCUAUAAGCACAUUAUUAACAGAUCGCAAAGCAUAUACCUAAAACCCUUUAACAAAACAACCUAAUAUCAUUCAAUGAAUUUACAAGGGGAAGAUAGGGUUUGUACUUACAGGUUGGACGAGCUCACAGAUUCGACGAGCCUGGAGAGUGCAACUUUUAAUUAGAGCAGAAGUGAGAGAGCGAAAUGUUAUGUCGCGUGAAAUCUGAAAUUUUAGGUUUCAGGGAUCAAAGUAUAAGACUAAGAGCCAAAUCUAAAAAAAUUUAGGUCGCGCGAAAAUUUUUAGAGCGCGCGCGUUAUAAAACGUCGAAAGAAAAACCAAGGCGAAAGUUCUACAAGUACCGACGUAAAUUUAAUAUUCCACGACGGAAACUUCAUUUUUCGGAUUAAGAACGUAAGGCCGUUCAUUUUUCGGAUUAAUUUUAAAUUUAUUUUGAAUUUUUUAUAUAACGACGACUGAAAAACCACGUCGGUGUUAAGAAAUUAAAGACGUUGUAAAUUAUAUAAACCGACUUACAUAUUAAAAUAACGUCGUUUAAAGCGUAAACCAUGUCGUAUGUUUUACUGUACGACGUAAAAUAUGUAUUCCACGACCCAACCACCGUCGUUAAAAAUUAAUACACUAAACCCAUAAAAUUAAAUUAUACAAUUUAAAAAAUUAAGUUUAUAAAAGGUUUUAUGGUUUUAAAGCCUAACAUAUAACAUAGACUACCCAAAAAUUAUACUUUAAAAAUAAACCCCAAUAAAUAACAACACUAAUCUCUAAACCCUAGACUCUAAACCCUAAACCAUUAAACUAGAAGUGAUUUUAUGACUCAUCAAAACAAUUUUGUUUUGGAUGGUCAUUUUAAAUUUUUGUUAUUCAAAAUGAAUUUUUUCAAGGUUUAUGUGGAAGAAAAUAUAUCAAUGACUUCAUAGGAGUUGACUUUUCAAUUUUCUGAUUUAUUUUNNNNNNNNNNNNNNNNNNNNNNNNNNNNNNNNNNNNNNNNNNNNNNNNNNNNNNNNNNNNNNNNNNNNNNNNNNNNNNNNNNNNNNNNNNNNNNNNNNNNNNNNNNNNNNNNNNNNNNNNNNNNNNNNNNNNNNNNNNNNNNNNNNNNNNNNNNNNNNNNNNNNNNNNNNNNNNNNNNNNNNNNNNNNNNNNNNNNNNNNNNNNNNNNNNNNNNNNNNNNNNNNNNNNNNNNNNNNNNNNNNNNNNNNNNNNNNNNNNNNNNNNNNNNNNNNNNNNNNNNNNNNNNNNNNNNNNNNNNNNNNNNNNNNNNNNNNNNNNNNNNNNNNNNNNNNNNNNNNNNNNNNNNNNNNNNNNNNNNNNNNNNNNNNNNNNNNNNNNNNNNNNNNNNNNNNNNNNNNNNNNNNNNNNNNNNNNNNNNNNNNNNNNNNNNNNNNNNNNNNNNNNNNNNNNNNNNNNNNNNNNNNNNNNNNNNNNNNNNNNNNNNNNNNNNNNNNNNNNNNNNNNNNNNNNNNNNNNNNNNNNNNNNNNNNNNNNNNNNNNNNNNNNNNNNNNNNNNNNNNNNNNNNNNNNNNNNNNNNNNNNNNNNNNNNNNNNNNNNNNNNNNNNNNNNNNNNNNNNNNNNNNNNNNNNNNNNNNNNNNNNNNNNNNNNNNNNNNNNNNNNNNNNNNNNNNNNNNNNNNNNNNNNNNNNNNNNNNNNNNNNNNNNNNNNNNNNNNNNNNNNNNNNNNNNNNNNNNNNNNNNNNNNNNNNNNNNNNNNNNNNNNNNNNNNNNNNNNNNNNNNNNNNNNNNNNNNNNNNNNNNNNNNNNNNNNNNNNNNNNNNNNNNNNNNNNNNNNNNNNNNNNNNNNNNNNNNNNNNNNNNNNNNNNNNNNNNNNNNNNNNNNNNNNNNNNNNNNNNNNNNNNNNNNNNNNNNNNNNNNNNNNNNNNNNNNNNNNNNNNNNNNNNNNNNNNNNNNNNNNNNNNNNNNNNNNNNNNNNNNNNNNNNNNNNNNNNNNNNNNNNNNNNNNNNNNNNNNNNNNNNNNNNNNNNNNNNNNNNNNNNNNNNNNNNNNNNNNNNNNNNNNNNNNNNNNNNNNNNNNNNNNNNNNNNNNNNNNNNNNNNNNNNNNNNNNNNNNNNNNNNNNNNNNNNNNNNNNNNNNNNNNNNNNNNNNNNNNNNNNNNNNNNNNNNNNNNNNNNNNNNNNNNNNNNNNNNNNNNNNNNNNNNNNNNNNNNNNNNNNNNNNNNNNNNNNNNNNNNNNNNNNNNNNNNNNNNNNNNNNNNNNNNNNNNNNNNNNNNNNNNNNNNNNNNNNNNNNNNNNNNNNNNNNNNNNNNNNNNNNNNNNNNNNNNNNNNNNNNNNNNNNNNNNNNNNNNNNNNNNNNNNNNNNNNNNNNNNNNNNNNNNNNNNNNNNNNNNNNNNNNNNNNNNNNNNNNNNNNNNNNNNNNNNNNNNNNNNNNNNNNNNNNNNNNNNNNNNNNNNNNNNNNNNNNNNNNNNNNNNNNNNNNNNNNNNNNNNNNNNNNNNNNNNNNNNNNNNNNNNNNNNNNNNNNNNNNNNNNNNNNNNNNNNNNNNNNNNNNNNNNNNNNNNNNNNNNNNNNNNNNNNNNNNNNNNNNNNNNNNNNNNNNNNNNNNNNNNNNNNNNNNNNNNNNNNNNNNNNNNNNNNNNNNNNNNNNNNNNNNNNNNNNNNNNNNNNNNNNNNNNNNNNNNNNNNNNNNNNNNNNNNNNNNNNNNNNNNNNNNNNNNNNNNNNNNNNNNNNNNNNNNNNNNNNNNNNNNNNNNNNNNNNNNNNNNNNNNNNNNNNNNNNNNNNNNNNNNNNNNNNNNNNNNNNNNNNNNNNNNNNNNNNNNNNNNNNNNNNNNNNNNNNNNNNNNNNNNNNNNNNNNNNNNNNNNNNNNNNNNNNNNNNNNNNNNNNNNNNNNNNNNNNNNNNNNNNNNNNNNNNNNNNNNNNNNNNNNNNNNNNNNNNNNNNNNNNNNNNNNNNNNNNNNNNNNNNNNNNNNNNNNNNNNNNNNNNNNNNNNNNNNNNNNNNNNNNNNNNNNNNNNNNNNNNNNNNNNNNNNNNNNNNNNNNNNNNNNNNNNNNNNNNNNNNNNNNNNNNNNNNNNNNNNNNNNNNNNNNNNNNNNNNNNNNNNNNNNNNNNNNNNNNNNNNNNNNNNNNNNNNNNNNNNNNNNNNNNNNNNNNNNNNNNNNNNNNNNNNNNNNNNNNNNNNNNNNNNNNNNNNNNNNNNNNNNNNNNNNNNNNNNNNNNNNNNNNNNNNNNNNNNNNNNNNNNNNNNNNNNNNNNNNNNNNNNNNNNNNNNNNNNNNNNNNNNNNNNNNNNNNNNNNNNNNNNNNNNNNNNNNNNNNNNNNNNNNNNNNNNNNNNNNNNNNNNNNNNNNNNNNNNNNNNNNNNNNNNNNNNNNNNNNNNNNNNNNNNNNNNNNNNNNNNNNNNNNNNNNNNNNNNNNNNNNNNNNNNNNNNNNNNNNNNNNNNNNNNNNNNNNNNNNNNNNNNNNNNNNNNNNNNNNNNNNNNNNNNNNNNNNNNNNNNNNNNNNNNNNNNNNNNNNNNNNNNNNNNNNNNNNNNNNNNNNNNNNNNNNNNNNNNNNNNNNNNNNNNNNNNNNNNNNNNNNNNNNNNNNNNNNNNNNNNNNNNNNNNNNNNNNNNNNNNNNNNNNNNNNNNNNNNNNNNNNNNNNNNNNNNNNNNNNNNNNNNNNNNNNNNNNNNNNNNNNNNNNNNNNNNNNNNNNNNNNNNNNNNNNNNNNNNNNNNNNNNNNNNNNNNNNNNNNNNNNNNNNNNNNNNNNNNNNNNNNNNNNNNNNNNNNNNNNNNNNNNNNNNNNNNNNNNNNNNNNNNNNNNNNNNNNNNNNNNNNNNNNNNNNNNNNNNNNNNNNNNNNNNNNNNNNNNNNNNNNNNNNNNNNNNNNNNNNNNNNNNNNNNNNNNNNNNNNNNNNNNNNNNNNNNNNNNNNNNNNNNNNNNNNNNNNNNNNNNNNNNNNNNNNNNNNNNNNNNNNNNNNNNNNNNNNNNNNNNNNNNNNNNNNNNNNNNNNNNNNNNNNNNNNNNNNNNNNNNNNNNNNNNNNNNNNNNNNNNNNNNNNNNNNNNNNNNNNNNNNNNNNNNNNNNNNNNNNNNNNNNNNNNNNNNNNNNNNNNNNNNNNNNNNNNNNNNNNNNNNNNNNNNNNNNNNNNNNNNGCUCGCUACAACUUCGAGACAAUCGAUGAUUGUACUCGAGUUUCUCCCCAAUCUGUGCAUGUUGAGAAUGCACAGACUCAAAAUCUUUGGAUAGCCUUGAAGCUACAAAGGCAUCCCAUUGUGCUUUCUCUAUGAAUUUAUAUGUUUCAGGGGGUUGGCUUAAUUUCUCCCUGUCAUUGGUGUAUGGAAGGAUAUAAUGCCUCGUUAGUGUAGACUUGAAAUCCUUCCAUUUCUUGGAAGCAGAAGCUAAAACAGAGGUCUUGCCCCCUUGGCCUACGACAAAAGCCAUGUCAACUGCUUCCCAAAUCUGCUCCUUUAUAUCCUUAGGGAUUUGGGACCAUUUCUUGUCCACAAGUGGGAUCCUGGAGCGUGCCAACACACCAAUAUACGACUGCAUCUCAAUAUGUGCUUGGCCAACACCUUUCCCCCUUUUAUUGUACUCAACAAUUGGCCUCAGUUUCUGAAGCUUUCUCUUCACAACACGAGGCAUUGUGCUCAUACCUCGACCAGUCUUUGAAUCAUCUGAGAUUGUUGUCUGGCUGGUUUGUUCUGUCUCAGCAGAUGAUGAAGCAAACUUCAUCUUCUUCGAAGACUUCAUCUCCUUCGAAGACUUAUCUUGAGGAGCUACCAUUCCAAGCUUCUUGGAGCCAGAAUCCUUAGUUUGUUGUUGAGAAACCAUUUUAACAGACAAAACUGCAAGUGAAAAUAUUUCAGGAAAACAUUAAGAACACAAACGACGGUAUUAAAAAAAUACGACGUAUGAUAUGAUUUUAGACGACGCAAUGAAAUAAUCUCAGACGUAAUAAAUGUUUAAAACCAUUAUUUAUAUAACGUCGUGGUAUAUAUGUUCACACGACGUCAAUAGUAAUACACCGUCGUGGUAAACUAUUAUUUAUAUUUUAUCGUCUAUAUUAGAUACCAACCCUAGUUUCUUUUUCUUUAUAUUUUAUCAAAUAAGGGAAAAACAAAAACCAUUGUUCAGCGAAAUCAAACCUGCAAUUAAACAAGCAUAUAAAAAAAGACUAUUAUUUUAAAAACAACUUUGUCAAUUUUCAGACGACGCUAGAACAACUGACGAACCGUCGUGGUCUACCGUCGUCUUAUUUAGUUGAUGUAGUUGUCUUCAAAGUUGGAAACUUUCUCUCUUUGUCUGUAUAUUUUAUCAAACUUGGAAAGAAGUAAAAUGAUUUUGGCCAGAAAAAAGGUAAAAAGAUUUUUCAAACAAAAAACGUAUGAGCAUGCAAAACAGUAACCAAAAUAGUGAAAAUGAAAGCUUACCUUUUGCGUGCAAUGAAAGCAAGAGGAAGAUGAUCGAUGUUUAAGUUCAGAGACGACGAAGAAGACGAGAGGAAGACGAUGAGAAACUCUGACAAUGCUCUGACAAGGAAAAAAGACGAAAAGGUUUCUCUGGGAGAUUGAAAUUUUUAAUCGGGUUUGGAAACAGUGCAUGUGUAAGUCGAAAAGUUGCUUACAUAUAAAACCAUUUCAAAAAAAUAAUACGGCGGUUACAUUUAACUACGUCGUUUUUAACUAAAACGACGCAAUAUUUUUCAUUCGACGUGGAAUCAUUUCAUUUAACGUCGUUAGGUUUAAUAUAACCGACGUGGAUUUUAAUUUUUAAAUUAUGAAUAGAAUUUUUUUUCCCGUGACCUUUCAGUUUAUUUUUCAAUUACAGUGCGUUAUAAAUAGAGUUUUUUUUCCGGAGGAAAUUUAAAACGAAGGAAAUUAAUAUUCUGCAAUAUGUAAAGUUUCUUUUUUGGAUGACAGAUUUAAAUAAAAUAAGAAUAUAAAAACAACAAAUGUGUAAGUCAAGUAGACGAAAAGUUGCUUACAUAUAAAACCAUUUCAAAAAAAUAAUAUGGCGGUUACAUAUAACUACGACGUAUAAAUUACAAAAUACGACGGUACAUUUAACUUCGGACGUGGUAAAUAAAUACGACAGUAGUUUGUAGGUACCGUCGUAGUAAACUCAAAAAUUAAAGUACAUAAGUAAUAACUCGCGUCAUGGUAUAUUAUUUAACACGUCGUUUUUAUUAAUUUACCGACGUGGAUUUCUGUAAUAUACGUCGAUCAUACCGACGUUGAUUUUACAAUUUAAACGGCGGUUUGUUUGUAAGGACCGCCGUUGGUUUUAAAAAUUUAUUCUAUAAAUUUGUCGCUUUCAUUCAUUUUCGGUUUACAUUUAAGGUUCCAAGUUCUUCCUCUCUCAGUCUCUCAUGUCUCAAAGAUAAUAAUUUGGAUGUUUUCUCAAAGAGAAAUUGAGCUUACUCGCUUCAAAUAUAUGUCCACAAGAAGAAGCUUGUCAACUAGCCUUCUCACUUCCUUGAUCAAGCCUGAUAGGACACUUAGUGCUUCUGAAUACUCCUUGCUUUCCAUCAAAAGAGAUGCAAGCCUGGCCUCCACUCGCUGUCGAAGGAAAGUUCGCUUCUCAGGGAAAUCUGAAGAUCAGAUGUGCCUGAUCCUCUGCUUGAUUUUCUUGCCUAAGAAGAUCCGUCGGAUUUAUUGUGAUAGCCUCUUCCUUUAUCCGUAGAGCUUCAGAAGAAGAAGAUGGGUUUCAAGAAUGCGAUAAAGAAUAGAAAUGGCUUCAGAUGGCCUCUAAAGCAUGAGCAAUUGAAUCAGUAGUUUCUGGGAGAUAUGAUGAAGACAUUGUCAAUGCUUUGAACUACACAAGUCCUGCAGAAAGAUAUAUUAAAGAAAAUGAAACAACGGCGGUUUUCUGUUCUACCGUCGUCUUUUCUCGUCGUCUAUAUUAAGUUACGAUGGCGGUAGAUUUAUAAUUACCGACGUAGAUUAUUUUGUUAAACGUCGUUAAGUGUACUACAACCGACGUGGAUUUUAAUUUUAAAUUAUAAAUGGAGUUUUUUUUCCCGUAUUCUUUCAGUUUUAGUUUUCAAUUCCAAAGCGUGAUAAAUAGAUUUUUCUUUCCCGAGGAAAUUUAAAAUGAGGGAAAUUAAUGUUCUAGAAUUUGUAAACUAACACGACGCAAUAUUUGCAAAUCUGUGUCAUCUGUUAAGAUUAUGAUGUGGAACAGAGUUCCAUCUGGUAAGAUUUCGUAACCCUUGGGAUCUCAGACAAAACUGAUUAUGUCGGCGGUGUUCUAUAUAAACCGUCGUGGUUAUUUCAAUUCUUGUCAUUAAGUAGAUCUACCGACGUAGGAUAAGAAAAUCAAAGAAAAAAAUUGUUAACAAAAAUUCUUAUUAAGACGACCGUUAAAAUUAAAGGUACGACGUAUAAAAUGAAUAAAUACGACGAUAAAUUUUAUUGUACGAUUUAAAGAUAACGUAGUAGAACUAUACGAGAAUGACGUCGAUAUAUUUAUAUUUUCCGUCGUUGUAAAUUAAUUUAAUACGGCGAUAUUUUGUAUUUUAAAGCCGUGGAUUUGUUUGUAAUUAUACGGCGUCUUAUACGAAAACCUCGUCGUGUUAUUUUAUGAGUAAAAACGGCAGUUUUUAUUGAAAUCGUCGUCUUUACUUUCUACGUCGGUCGAUUCAUAACUUCUGCCGUUCUUUGUUGGCAUUGAUUUUACACUGAGGAAAUCUGUUUCAAAUAGACGUCGGUUGUUUAAUUAUGUACGUCGUUGUUUUUGAACAGCCAUUUGAAACUCCAUUUUUUAGUUGUCUAAGGUUGUAUUACACGACGGUGUUUUUAGAACCGUCGUCUUUUUAUAAACCACGACGGUUUUCACUUAGACCGUCGUUGUUUUCUGGUCGUCUUUUUCACUUUUUGUAGUAGUGAAAGGAGGAGUACCUCACAACCUCUCAAAAUCACCUUUUCUGAAGUGACGACUCAAAAGGAAUGAAGGGACCAUUUACCAAAAAUUCCUAGGUCUGAGAUAAAUAAAUGGCAGCAGAAGAAUAUCAGAGAAUAAGAUAAAAUUCAUUAGGACCAAUUGGAAAAACGAAAUGAGCUGACAAACUUCAUAAUGCACAAAAAAAUGACUAGUCAAACACAUACAAGCUGACUAGUAUUUUUUAGUCUCCUUCCAUCUUAUGAAAUUUGGUUCUUUGUAAGCUUCACAUUACAAAGAAUGUCUUUUAUACGGUAUUUAAUUUAUAUAUAACUUAAGUUCUUGAAUUCACAUUCCAAAACUAAACUUUACUGCUCUUGAGCAAUUUUUCCCUUUUUCCCCUUCAACUAAAAUAAUGAUUAUUGAAGUGAAAUUUUCCUGUCCUUUUCAAUAUCAUGUGAACAAUGUAUUAUUUGAAUUCUUUAUAUCAGUUCAAUUUACGUUUGAAUAGACAAUUCGAAAUUGAAGUCUAAUUUCCGUGUACAACACGGUUGUUCUCUAUUUUUUUUUUCUUUUUAAUUUAUCAUAAGGGUAGGAAUUGAUUAAGAAAACGAGCAAAGCAGUACAUCAACUUCUAAUAAGCAAGAAUCACAAACGGCAGAGCCAUAAUGUGACAUCGUUAAAAUCUUGCCUUAAAAAAAUUCUAAAGAAGCCUAACACAAACGAUUGCCCUCUUGUUUUGAUAUUUGAAUACUAAUAAGCCUAACAAAUCCAAGAAAUUAUAAUUAUAGAAUGCCCAACAUGCAUAUGCUUUAGCCUCUAGCCAGACGAGAAAAAGAAAUGCCUAGCCUUUCGAUCAAUGCAUCUUUUCAUGCAUGACUUGCGGUUCUCAGCAAUUAAGUCAAGCCGCCCAUGUCCAAGUCCAGAAGUAUCACCAACUUCAUGACCACCAAUUUGGCUAUGAUUGCUGUCAUUUAGAAAAUGGUUAAAACACAAGUCGGCUUUCUAGAUGGAUUCAUUUGGGGUCGUAUGUUACUCAUGAAUACUUACAAAAUUAUUAAAGAAAAUCACGAAUACAUCAAAACUCAUAAAGAAGGAUAGUCACAAAACCACACUCAUAUACACAAUACAUUAUCAAAUGUGGAGAAAUGAAUCUUUUCCUCUUCAUAUUAUUAUUGUAUGUCUUUAUCUCGUCAUAAUCGGGAUACUCGGGAAAUCUUUUCUUCAUAUUAUUAUUGUAUGCCAUAUUCGUGUUUUCACAUAGAGGAAGGUGGUGGAAGAGAGGAUGGAGAAAUAAAGCAGAACUUAGGAAAUGCAAACACCUCUCUCCCAAUCUCUCGUACUACUUGUACUAAACACCCACCUAGCUAGGGUUGGCUGAAAACUUCACUGAUGCACCUGUUCUCCACACCACUUGCCACCGGACCAGGAGACUCACUUUUCCCCGUCUUGCCCCUCCCCCAGCCUUUGCUCUCUCAACGAUGUAUUUUUGUUUAUUGGUCUGAGAGUUUUCCUUUCUAGUUUCUAUGUGUAUCCUUAUGGGUACAUAAAGUAGUAUUAAUAUUAAGAGUUAAGCUCGAGGUAUAUAUCGUCCCUCAACUCGAAGAUUUGAAGGAAAUAGGUUUUAUUUUUAGUACAAGCAUUUGGGGAGCAUUUGGGGAAGUGGGGUUUAUACAAAUAUUCAUUGGGUGUCUAAGAAUUUCAAACCUCAGCCCACACGAGUGGAGGUGAAAGAGCUCAAUCAAUUGAGCCAUACCUUACUGGCAAUGGAAGUAGGUUAACAUGUCGGUAGACAAAAUAAUUGAGCGUAGCUGCGCAAGGCCAGCCCUAUAGAAGCUGCCAACCAAACCUAGCUACUAUAUAUAUGCAUGACUUGAGAAUUAAAUGAUGUUAAUAAUGUCAAUAUAGAUGGCGUAAGAUCCUUCUAACAUUCAAUGUGAGUACAAUGUCGCGGAAAAGUGUAGGGAUAACCUUUGAAGAAAUGAACGUAAUUAUUAUUAGUCCAUAAAAUCCAAGUAUAUCUCUCGUAUAAGUGCAAGCUCAAUAGUUUGUUUGUUCGUAGUACAUGAUGAGCAUCAUAGAGAUACAGAUACCUUCAAAGAGCAUGGCUUGGCUACUUAAAAUUAAGGAGGGGAUCCUACUUAAAACGAAUGGGGUUUUGACUACACUUAUCAAAUUCUAGCAAUAUUGACAAAUUUUCAACCAAAAAAAAAAAAAGAAUAUUUAAAAAAAAUUGACAUGUGUCAAAACCACAUUUAUGGUAAGGAGUUCCUCCUCAAUUUUAAAGAGCCAAGCUUUUUCCAUUAAGAUAUGGACGUCCAUUUUCAUGGGCAUGACUUUUUCAAUGUGUUAAUUGUUAUGAAUUAGAACUAACUCACUCCCUUUUAGACCUUGUUGUUGAUGGAGUUUGGACAAACUCAAUGAUGGAUGAGUCUUACACACUCACAAGAAAAAUAACCAAGCACAAAUGACACAAGUGUUUAUAGAGGUUCAGCAAUUUGCCUACAUCCUCUUUGGUGAUCCCCUUGAGAAAUUUCACUAAUGAAGAUAGGUUACAACUUUGGUUUACAGAAGGAAACCCCCUUAGAACACUACCCUCACAAUUCCUAUUUCUCUCACACCCUUGCUCAACACCUUGAUAAACUAGAGAACUCCCUCUUUCCCUUGGUUUUUCCUGCACUCACUAUUUUCCAGCUACUUCACCAACCUCUGCUGUCCUGCUUCUACUUUCCCUUUAUGCACAAUCCUUUGAUCCAAACUUGCUUCACUUUUGAGACUUUAUGAGACAAAGAGAUCACCUUAGGAAUUUUGACAACUUUAUAAAGAAGAUCAUUCACUUGAGUUUGAAGUGAGUCAUUAUUUACUUUCUUGAAAUGAACAAAAGGCUUUUGCUCAAAAUUCCUAAGCUCAAAACACUUUGGUCUAAUGUGUCCUAAUGUGCCACAAUGAUGGCAUAUAGGUAUGAAACUUUUUGGUUGUUGAAAAUCAAAUUUUGCAAGUGAAGAAUGUUUAUCUCUUGUACAAACCACAGACUUUACAACCGCAUGCCCCUUAAAGAUGACACUUGAGUCUUAAACUCACUUUCCUUAGAAACUUGAGACUCAAUCCUAAGGAUAUGACACCUAGGUCGAAUGUGUCUUUUCACACCACAAUGGUGGAAGGUAGGUACAAAUUUGGAUUGGGGAAGAGACAGCUUUCCCUUAGAAACAAUAUUCAUGGAAUCGAAACCCAAGUUGAGACCAUGAACAAAUUUUGGAGCUUCUUGAGUUGACACAUCUUUGGCAAAGAUUGUCUCAAAUGAUGAAGGUGUAGAAGACUCAUUUAUAUAUCUUAAACCUCUUUUAUCACCAAACAAUUUUCCAAAAUUGAGCAUUUUAUCAAUCUUUCCAGCACUAAUGGUUAAACCUUGAAUCUUUUCUUUUUCCAACUUAAGUUCAUGUUUCAAUCUUAUAUUUUCAAAUUGUAAAGCAUCAAAAGAUUCAGAUUGUUCAACCAUGUUGUUUUCAAGUGAUUUUAUCAUCUCAAACAAGUUUUGAACCUCAAUGUCUUUCUCAAAUAACAUGCAUUACAAAACAAAAUUUUCAACCACAAACUUAUCAUGCAUGACUACCUUUUCAUGCUCAACUAAUGACUUUUCAAACUCAAAUAAAAUCAGUCUAUGAAGAAACAAGGAUUUGUCAUUUUCAAAUACAUUCAACUUCUUAAUCAAAUCAGAAUUUUCUUUUUCAAGAGUGCUAACUUUAUGAUACAAUUCAUACAUGUCAACUUCAUUCUCAUACAAGCUAUCACUCAACUUUUUUUUGGCCAUUUUGAGAGUUUCAUUCAGUUCAUCAAGUUCCUUGACCUUUUCUUCCAUCAUGUGAUUCUGUUCUUUGAAAUUAUAGGUUUCAUUGAAAAGCAUAUCAUACUUUUCACAUAGUUCCCUAUAUGACUGGUCAUCCUGUUCCUUGCAUGACUGGCCAUCUUGCCUAUCAUCUCCAGAUACAGAUUCAUUUCCUGAAUCAGAUUUUCCUUCCUUAACUACAUGAACUCUAGUAAGGCUAGAGUUAUGAACAUAUCCAACAAGGGCAAAAUUAUUUGUCUCUUCAUAAGAUGAAGUGAUAUAGUUGUUGGAAUCAUCAUUAUCAUUAUCACUCCAUUGUGCACUAAUUGACUCUUCUCUCCCAUUAGACUCUGUCAUGUGGUUAUUAGCACCACCACAUAGAUAGAACUUUACAAGACCCUUCAAACUUUUGUUCUCCCUAAAGCCACAAGAGUUCAAAAAAUUCAUCUCCAUAAAAACAUUGUCUUGAGACACACAUGUAGACGAACUAGGAAGAUUCUGACAAUUCCAGUGACUUUGGUUUUAUCUUUGACAACCCUUCUAUAUUUCUUAACAAACAAGGCAAGCUCAUCAUGAAUGCAAGGAGCAAUUUGAUCCAUUUUUAUGUUUGCACACCUAAUACCAAUUAGCACCCAAAGGAUCUCUCUAUUUAUGUUAAGAGCUGGUGCUCUGAUACCAAUUGAAAUUGAUACUUAGGUGAUGAGGGGUAAAUUUUACGACGCUUAAACAAAACGCAACAAUCUUCACACACACAUUGACCAAAAACACUUAUGAGUAGUCAACUGCUAGUCAUGAACAACCACAAUCAAGAAUACACACAGAGGAUGCCAAUGUACCUGCAACCCUAGAAGAUUACUAGUGACAACCUAGGCACUCAGAAGGACCCGUCAAUCUAGGGAACAACUAUGGUGAAAGUGUGUGAAAUCAUCAUAAUCAAGUAAACACCAAACAGUAGUUAAUGAUGACUAGUCAACUAUAAGGACACAAACCCAGAAUUCAUACGAUGACUAGUCAACCACCUAGAACACAAACCCAUAAAAAUUACAGAGAUGGAAUCACAAAUUGUUCACCCAGAAACCUACCGUUGGGACAAACUGGGGGUCAUCAACCAACCAGGCAAUCCACUAAGUAGAAAAAGAUUUUUACAAAGGAACACAAGCAAGCUCAAGAAAAACCUAGAUCUAUUGAGGAAGAUGAGCUAUACCUCCUUUGUGCAAUCUUCUUCUCAAACUUAGCAAAGCUUGAAGCUCAGUUCUUCAUGGCAAUGGCAGCUCCUUCUCCAGCUCAUUUAUCUCAUGGCACCAGCUUGCAAGCUCUAACUCAGACAGAAACCAAAAUUUGGAUUCAAAGGAGAAUGACCAAUUUCUUCAAAAAACCGUACUCUUGAAGAAAUCAAUCUUGAAUCUGACCUAGAUAUAUAUAUAUAUAUAUAUAUAUAUGAGAGUGUUUGAUCUAGCAAGAUGAGGUUUUCAUAUUUCAAAUGCAGUUUUCAAAAAGAAACAUUUUGGAAAACUCAAAGAUGAAAAAUAUGAAAGUUACACUUGAGGAAAAAGAGAAAGUUUACAAAGAAACUUUCCAAAACUUGCCUACAAAAGUGAUGGCUGCCAAAUCAGGAAUCCUUUGGCCUUUACACCCAAAAAUUCCCUACGUCAUAAUCAACACAUGGUAGCAGAGAGAGAAAGGAGAAUAGGACAAAAUAGUUGGUUAUCCAACUAGAAAUCCUACAGAGAAAGGAUGACUAGUCAUCAUUUUAUCAAAUCAAUUUAAUGCAAUGUGAUGCAAUGCACAAUUUACCUUUGUUAAUUUGCUUGAACCUCCAUAGGAUAGUUGUUAGUUAAGAACACCUGCAGAAGUUAUUCUUAACCUAAACUUGAGCUUGAUAAAAACAAUACAAAUCCUAUUACAAAAUUGUCAAGAAAAGCCAAAAGAAAAACCCAAAAUGCAUACAUUAACAAACAUAUCAAUAAGUUUAUUAUUGAUGAUAAUAAUAUCAACACCUUAUCAAUUGGGGACAAUUCUUUCUUUAUUUAAGAUCAAAUGCUUGAUACAUAGCCAGACUAUAAUAAUCGACACGUUACCGAUUACAUGUCGAGAGUCUUACCUUUAUUAAAGAUCAAACGUUUAAUAGCCAGACUAAUUAUCGACACAUUAUCAAUUACAUGUCGAGAGUCCUAUCUUUAUUAAAGAUCUUGUCCUUUCUAUAGUUCAUGUAUAUAUGUAUGCUCAUCAUGGGCAGAAAGUAAUGAGGUAGUUAGGUCCACCACUGCACGUAAAUAAACCUUUGUUGUCAUCAAAAGCAUAGCUGUAAGCGUCGGGGCAUUGUUCAUGGAAUAUCUGAGAGUAAUUUGUCGGUGGGCAUUUCUCUUUAGUUUCUUGAGGCGGAGUGCAACAGUACUGUGGCUCACCGAAUUUAACACAUGCGCUCAAGCAGGCAACCACGCUCCCAUCGGACCCUAUCUUUUGCAGCUCACUCGGACAAACUAGGUUCACGUUCGCCGCGCAACUACCCAUCUUGCAGGUGCCAGUACCGCCUUGUGGAGUCACAGACAUGGGCAAGUUGAAGCCAUCAACAAGACUAACAUCGUAGAAAUCUUGUCCUCCGCCUGCUGCAAUAGUGAAUUCCGCUAAAGUUGCCGGCGGAAUGCCAGUCUUACCGUUGCACAUGAGCUGACCAGAGUCACAGUCUGCGGUUUCGCAGACGAACUUUCCUGAGGCGUCCGUGGAGCAUCUAGUUCGGGCCCAGAAGCGGCCGCUCCAUGGCACCGGAGUGUCUAGCUGGAAGCUAGCUUGGGAUGCUAACUCGAACCCUGUGGUUGAUAAUUGAGGAUUUCCAAAGGAGGCUGGCCAGACCGUGUAGGGGCAAUUGUUUUUGAAAGACAUUGUCGCUGCAUGUGCACCUGCCAUGCAAAGUAAAACACACUUAAUUUGAUGCAGUAAUCACAAACCACACUUAUUGUGAACAAAUAUUAAAUUAAAAUUAAAGAAAAUAAGAAGCUUCGACUUUAAGAAAAGAUCAAUGAGUAUUUCUAUCGUUUGCCCAAAAUGAAAAACUUAAAGAAAAUAAGAAGCUUGUUUACCUCCGAAUGAAAGGAGGGUUAAGCUGAGGCUGAGGACUGCUACUAGGGUCUUCAUCAUCGGAAUGUCUUAGUUUUCUGUGCUUCGAAUUUGAUGAGCUUGGGCUUUAUAGUUAUAUAGGCUUAGUGCGGGCCUAACUUUUUGUUCUUUUGCAGGACUAUGGCUGCUGCGAUGACAAGUGACAAGACAACUAGUCUUAUGAACUUAUCAAGUUGAUUUUUCGCUGAGUUUGUUUUUGGCAUAGAUUUGUAGUUAACAAACGUAAAUUUUUUAUCUAGUUACAUAAUUUUUACUGUAUAUAUAACAUGUUUAUCACGCAAUAUUUACAUUUAAUAGGAUUCAGUUGAUGGAUUCUUUAAAUAUAUAGUUGAGGGAUUCAUUGUGUGGCCCACUCAUCAUUAAUUCAAUGAUAUAAAACUUCAAAAGUGAUCUCUAAAAAACUAAGUCAUAUAAAUAACCAUUUGAACAUUUAUCCUAAUCAUUUUUUAGACGAAAGCCUGUCCAAACUCCGCUCACGUCUGACUAUGAGGGUAGAGUCUAUAAAGGUCUUGGUUCCCAAUUAAGUUCAGCCAAAUACUAUUUAAACCAAAAAAAAACUACUUAAUCUUAAUUAAGUGCCCUAACUCAGAUCAAAAGAACUAAAUAAAUCACUUAAAUGUCUUACGACGUACUGAAAUAGACAACGACGUUAUAAUAAAUUUAUCACGACGGUACAUAUUAACGACGUGGUUAGUUAGUUAAGACGACGCAAUAAAUAAACCAACGACGUAUUAUUUUAGAAUGACAAACCUCAUAUAUACAGCAAUGACUGUAGCUCCUAUUUCCUCCAUGCCUGCAAAUUGUGUAAUAUCUUCAGGCAAGAGGAAGGUAUCGCGCUCUAGACCAAAGACCUCCUUAUCAAUUGUAAAGUGCAGGGUCUUAUCCUGAGGCACGAGUGUCGUUUCCACAUAACGACAAAGGGUUUGUAAAGAAGAUGGCGCCUCCAUAUUUGAAUAAUCAACAACUUUAUUAACCUGUUUAAAGAAAUAAAAAAAAUGACGUGGUAAUUCAAUAAAAACGACGGUUUAAGGAAUAAAACGUCGUCUGAAAACAAUUUAAACGACGGUGAAAAAACCGUCGUGGUGAAUUAUUUAUUACGUCUUAGAAAACAAUUCCGCCGUCUAAGUUGUAAACAAACGACGGUUUAAAGAAAAAUAUCGACGUCUGGAAUUUUGAAAAACAAAUAAAAAAGGCAAAGUUAUGUGAACAUACUUGGUCGUCAUCUUCUUUCUGCUUUUCAUCUUGUUUUUCUUCUUUAUUCUCUUCAUCUAUGACGUCGGGAAUGAUUAACUCCGUCGUCUAAAAACCACAAAGUUUUAAAAAUAACGACGUUUAAUGGCGUGUAAAACAAGUAAACUAAAUACGACGUGGUAUUGAAAUACAAACGACGGUUUAUUUUUAAAAUCGUCGUGGUAUGUAUUUCAAACGACGGUUUUAUUAAUAAUAACGACAUCUAAUGGUUUUUAAAAAAACAGAGAAUUCAAAGUUCAGAUAUGUUACCUUUUCUUCCUGAUGUUUCCCAUUUUUGGCAGUAUCAUCCUCAAAAUGCUGGGAUCUCACAUCACCUCCAGAGCAGCUUGCUUUGUCAGACAUUGGAUUUUUGGGACUUUGGCUAAUUCUGGGUUUAAGCAUGCUUGGAUCAAAAUUGGGAAUCAAUUGGGAAAGCUGACUCAGGAAAUGCUCCCUUUCAGCCUCUACCAAUUGUUUCGUUCUAGCCUCCAUCCUUAAAGCCUCUUCCCUUGCCUUAGCCUCCAUCUUUCUAGUCUCUUCUUGAAGGAGAACUCUUAAACUGUCCUUCAAACGGUCGUCAAAGCUCACUCUCUGUGGUUUGGGUAAAUUGAAAUAUUGCUUUGGUGAGAUCCCAGCACCUACUCCUCUGACUCUGCCUGGAUGCUCGGGGCCCAAAGCCAUGGUCAGCACAUCAUUGCUGCCAGAGACGGUGACUUUGCCUUCCGAGACUUGUUUUUGCAAAUCAUCCUGAAACAAAGAUAUAUAAAAAAGUAAGAACAAAAACACACGACGGUUAUUUAUUUACAAACGACGUAUUAUAUAAUUUCACACGACGCAAUAACAUAUAAAUCGACGUUAUUAUAAUUUAUCACGACGGUAGCUAUACCGACGUGGUUAGUUUUUUAAAACGACGAACUUAAUAAACCACCGACGUCUUAUGUAACAGAGGGAUGAUUCAAUAUUCAAACCUUUAACGACGUUGUUUAAAACAUUUCGACGUAGUAAUUUACUACAGACGACGCGAAAUUGAACCACCGACAUCUUAUGCUAUAAUUACAGAAAACAGAGUUGUGAUUCCUAUUUAGACCUUUAACGACGUGUUUUAAAAAAUGUCGACGUGGUAAUAUCAUUCACACGACGCAAAAUAUAACAUAAGACGUAAUAAGAAUUAUUCACAGUUUAAUAAAAAUUUAAAACAGAGUGAGUAGGCUUACAAUUAAUUUUGCUUUCUCUGCCACCUUUGGAUCAGGGAUGUUACCAUGUUUGUCCUGUCUAGCUCUCUUCCAUAAGGUAGAUCGAUCAAUUUCUACCCCAGGCAUGGUUUCCUCUAAUUGAUCCUCCAAACCAGCAUAUCCUUUUCGAGACAAUCGAUGAUUGUACUCGAGUUUCUCCCUAAUCUGUGCAUGUUGAGAAUGCACAGACUCAAAAUCUUUAGAUAACCUUGAAGCUACAAAGGCAUCCCAUUGUGCUUUCUCUAUGAAUUUAUAUGUUUCAGGGGGUUGGCUUAAUCUCUCCCUGUCAUUGGUGUAUGGAAGGAUAUAAUGCCUCGUUAGUGUAGACUUGAAAUCCUUCCAUUGCUUGGCAGCAGAAGCUAAGACAGAGUUCUUGCCCCCUUGACCUACUACAAAAGCAAUGUCAACUGCUUCCCAAAUUUGCUCCUUUAUAUCCUUGGGGAUUUGAGCCCAUUUCAAGUCCACAAGUGGGACUCUGGAGCGUGCCAACACACCAAUAUAGGACUGCAUCUCACUGUGUGCUUGGCCAAUUCCUUUCCCCCUUUUAUUGUACUCAACAAUUGGCCUCAGUUUCUGAAGUUUUCUCUUCACAACACGAGGCAUUGUGCUCAUACCUCGACCAGCCUUUGAAUCAUCAGAGAUUGUUGUCGCGCUGGUUGGUUCUGUAUCAGCAGAUGAUGAAGCAAACUUCAUCUUCUUCGAAGACUUCAUUAUCUUCGAAGACUUCUCUUGAGGAGGUACUUGCUCCUUACCUCCAUUUUUGUUGGAGCCAGAAUCCUUACUUUGGUCUUGGUGAGAAACCAUUUUUACAGACAAAACUGCAAGUGAAAAUAUUUCAAGAAAAGAUUAAGAACACAAACGACGGUUAUUAAUAAAAGACGACGUAUGAUAUGAUUUUAAACGACGCAAUGAAAUAAUAUCAGACGUAAUAAAUGUUUAAAACCAAGGUAAUUAAACAACGACGAAAUAAUUAACUACAAACGACGUAAUAAUAAACUAUAAACGACGGAAUAUUUAUAUAACGUCGUGGUAUUGAUGUUCACACGACGUCAGUAGUAAUAUACCGUCGUCUAUAUAAGGAUUCAAAACCCUUCUUUCUUUCUCUGUGAAUGUUUGAUUGCAGAUUUGAUUUUUCUGAACCAUGGUUUUUGUUUUCUAAUUUGAUAAAAAAAAGACUAUAAUUUUAAAAACAACUUUGUCAAUUUUUAGACGACGCUAGAACGACUGACGAACCAUCGUGGUCUACAUAUUUAACCACGUAAAUAAGAAGCUACCGUCGUCUUAUUUAGUUGAGGUAGUUGUCUUCAAAGUUGGAAACUUUCCCUCUUUGUCUGUAUAUUUUUUCGAACUUGGAAAGAAGUAAAAUGAUUUUGGCCAGAAAAAAGGUAAAAAGAUUUUUCAAACAAAAAACGUAUGAGCAUGCAAAACAGCAACCAAAAUAGUGAAAAUGAAAGCUUACCUUUUGCGUGCAAUGAAAGCAAGAGGAAGACGAUCGAUGUUUAAGUUCAGAGACGACGAAGAAGACGAGAGGAAGACGAUGAGAUACUCUGAAAGUGCUCUGACAAGGAAAAAAGUCUAAAAGUUUUCUCUGGGAGAUUGAAAUUUUUAAUCGGGUUUGGAAACAGUGCAUGUGUAAGUCAGGUACACGAAAAGUUGCUUACAUAUAAAACCAUUUCAAAAAAUAAUACGGCGGUUACAUAUAACUACGACGUAUAAAUUACAAAAUACGACAGUACGUUUAACUUCGGACGUGGUAAAUAAGUACGACAGUAGUGUUGUAGGUACCGUCGUAGUAAACUCAAAAAUUAAAGUACAUAAGUAAUAACUCGCGUCAUGGUAGAUCAUUUAACACGUCGGUUUUAUUAAUGUACCGACGUGGAUUUAUGUAAUAUACGUCGGUAAUAACGACGUUGAUUUUGCAAUUUAAACGGCGGUUUUUUUGUAAGGACCGCCGUUGGUUUUAAAAAUUUAUUCUAUAAAUUUGUCGCUUUCAUUCAUUUUCGGUUUACAUUUAGGGUUCCAAGUUCUUCCUCUCUCAGAGACACUGUCUCUCACAUCUCAAAGACAGUAAUUUGGAUGUCUUUCUCAAAGAGAAAUUGAGCUUACUCGCAUCAAAUCUAUGUCCACAAGAAGAAGCUUGUCAACUAGCCUUCUCACUUCCUUGAUCAAGCCUGAUAGGACAUUUAGUGCUUCUGAAUACUCCUUGCUUUCCAUCAAAAGAGAUGCAAGCCUGGCCUCCACUUGCUGUCGAAGGAAAGUUCGCUUCUCAGGGAAAUCUGAAGAUCAGAUGUGCCUGAUCCUCUGCUUGAUUUUCUUGGCUAAGAAGAUCCGUCAGAUUUGUGAUAGCCUCUUCCUUUAUCCGUAGAGCUUCAGAAGAAGAAGAUGGGUUUCAAGAAUGCGAUAAAGAAUAGAAAUGGCUUCAUGAAUGCGAUAAAGCAUAAGCAAUCGAAUCAGUGCUUUGAACUAUACUCUGAACUAUACAAGUCAAUGCUUUGAACUAUACAAGUCCUGCAGAAAGAUAAAGGACCAAACUGUUAAAGAAACUGAAACUAUUAAAGAAACCAUAAACUAACACGACGCAAUAUUUGUUUUGCGACGUGGAAUCUUUUCAUUUAACGUCGUUAGGUUUAAUAUAACCGACGUGGAUUUGAAUUGUUAAAAUUAUGAAUAGAAAUUUUUUUCCCGUGACCUUUCAGUUUAUUUUUCAAUUACAGUGCGUUAUAAAUAGAGUUUUUUUUCCGAAGGAAAUUUAAAAUGAAGGAAAUUAAUGUUCUGGAUUAUGUAAAGUUUCUUUUUUGGAUGACAGAUUUCAAUUCUUGUCAUUAAGUAGAUCUACCGACGUAGGAUAAGAAAAUAAAGGAAAAAAUUGUUAACAAAAAUUCUUAUUAAGACGACGGUUUAAAUUAAAGGUACGACGUAUAAAAUUAAUAAAUACGACGUUAAAUUUUAUAGUACGAUUUAAAGAUAAUGUCGUAGAACUAUACGAGAAUGACGUCGAUAUAUUUAUAUUUUCCGUCGUUGUACAUUAAUUUAAUACGGCGACAUUUUGUAUUUUAAAGCCGUGGAUUUGUUUGUAAUUAUACGGCGUCUUAUACGAAAAUUUCGUCGUGUUAUUUUAUGAGUAAAAACGGCGGCUUUUAUUGAAAUCGUCAUCUUUACUUUCUACGUCGGUCGAUUCAUAACUUCUGCCGUUCUUUGUUGGCUUUGAUUUUACACUGCGGAAAAUCUGUUUCAAAUAGACGUCGGUUUUUUAAUUAGGUACGUCGUUGUUUUUGAACAGCCAUUUGAAUCUCCAUUUUUAGUUGUCUAAGGUGGUACUACACGACGGUGUUUUUAGAACCGUCGUCUUUUUAAAAACCACGACGGUUUUCACUUAGACCGUCGUUGUUUUCUGGUCGUCUUUUUCACUUUUUGUAGUAGUGUCUUUCUCUUUACGAAGAUGACCAUAUUAGUUCAACAAAUGUAGAUGACAAUGAAUUUUGUGGUGCGGGGUCAGACGAUCGACAAUAUAAUUGAAGGUAUUGCAGCCAAAUUAAUUUAGCAAACGAGGACUUCCAAAUUUCAUCACGCUUGUUUGUGGAAAAUUGACACUUAUUAAAGAUUACUUCAAUGUCUUGGAGCCUACAAAGAUAGAAGAUCAAAAAGACUUGAAUCUGCACCACUUACUUCAAUGUCUUGGAGCCUACAAAGAUAGAAGACCAAAAAGACUUGAAUCUGCACCACUUGUGUUUGAGGAAGAAAAGUUCAAUAAGAUGGUUACAUAUUAGUAGAUUGAGAUUAUUAGUAGAUUGAGAAUUUGAACACAGGAUCUCGAGAACAAAAAUAACUGCACUUAACCACAGAUUGAGAAUUUGAAUACAAAAGUACAAAGGUAACUGCACUUAACGACUCAAAUUAUAAAGUGCUUGCAAAAUUUAUAAAGAAAAGUCAUAAAUAAUUAAGACCCUUUCUAGGAAGCUGUAAAUCUUUUGAUAAAUCAUUUAGUAGAAAAGGUAGCGAGCAUCUCCAAAAUAGAAAAGUUGAUAGAGGUCUAAAAAUCCAAUCAAUAAUUGGGUCUAGUCAUCGAAUUAUUGUUUAUUGAUACAAGUCCCUUGACUAGUUUGCCACUUAGAUUACAUUCCAUCUUUGACAUGUUGAUUCAAACUUUUGUAUUUAACUGAUUUGUAUUUAAAUUUUUUUUGUUCCUAUUAUAUCCCUAUUGUCUAAAAUGAGUAAGAUGAGAAUUUAUAUGCCAUUAUUUUUAUUUUUGUUCACGCUAUGGUAGAGGUAUAGUAUAUACUCUUGUAGAUAAAUUAUCCUAUGGUGUAGGUAUAUUGUCAUAUUGCCUAUUGCAUAGGUAUAUAUUUAUUUUUUCAUACUUUAGAUAAUGAAUAAUAGUAUUUUAUGUACAUUUUUUAUAGAUAACAUACAAUUUUAUUUGUCUACUUUUGUAUCUGACUUAUAGGUAGUCUUCUAAUUUAUGUUCCUAACUUAUAGGUAGCAUUCUAAUUUAUGUUCUUGACUUAUAGGUAACAUGAUUUAUCACUAAGUUUUUUUCGUUGCUAAUAAGAACACUAUUUACCUGUAUGUUAGAUACAUAAUUUAAUGUGGGUGCUUGCCUAAUUGAUUAGUAUAAUAUGUGGGCCUUUACUUCAAUUGAUUAAUUUGUAUUUUACCCAUAUAUUAGGUAAAUAUUAUCAAUGAAAGAAUUCCAAAUUUAAAUUCUGAAAUUUAAUUACAAGUAAAUAAUUCAUUAAAAUUAUAUUUUCAAUGUUUUCCUUAUGUACCUCAAAGGGUAAAAUCAACACAAUAAAAAGAGUAAUAAAAGUCAAAAGACCUACAUCUAAAACCAAAAACGCAUGGACUAAACCCAAUGACAACUAAUCGUUUUGGACUUAGAUCUAAGAAUCCCUCUCCAAAAAAAGGGUAUCGUGGUCAUAGAGAUUGAGAAUCCAUGUCAAACUCUCCAUCUCUAUAAAUCCCCACCCAUAGAGAUCAUAAAACACAAACCAAUAAUCGCAAACCAAAAUAUUGCUACAAAUGGCAAUCCCAACGCUUUCAAGUCUCAUGCUGCUUUCAACUCUUUUUGUAAUAUCCAUUUCUUGGCAAGCUUCAGCUUAUUCAGCUCCUGAGAAGUUUGUUCAAUGUCUUCUAAACCAUUCCCAGCCCUCUUACCCCAUCGGUCCAGCAAUUUACACUCCCAACAAUGCUUCCUACUCCUCCGUUUUGAAAUCUUACCUCCGAAACCUCCGAUUCAACACAUCUUCAACCCGAAAACCGUUCCUCAUCGUCACUGCUUUGCAUGAAUCUCAUGUGAAACUAUCUGUCAUUUGUGCUCAAGUCCAUAACUUGCAGAUGAAAAUUAGAAGCGGAGGCCACGAUUACGAGGGUGUAUCGUACGUGGCUGAAGUUCCAUUCUUCAUCCUCGACAUGUUCAAUCUUCGAUCCAUCAACGUAGACAUAAAAUCUGAGACUGCAUGGGUGCAGGCUGGGGCUACUCUUGGUGAAGUUUACUACAGAAUCUCUGAGAAAAGCAAAAUUCAUGGCUUUUCAGCUAGUGUUGAGCCUACAGUUGGCGUUGGAGGCCACUUUAGUGGCGGUGGAUAUGGUAAUAUGAUGAGAAAGUACGGCUUGACAGUUGACAACGUAGUUGAUGCACAAAUUGUGGAUGUGCAUGGAAGACUUCUCGAUCGAAAAGCCAUGGGAGAAGAUCUUUUUUGGGCCAUUACAGGAGGUGGCGGAGCUAGCUUUGGAGUUGUGAUUGCGUACAAGAUUAAUCUUGUACGUGUUCCAGAAAUAGUUACUGUUUUCAACGUAACGAGAACCUUGGAACAAAAUGCAACAGAGAUCGUGUACCGUUGGCAAUAUGUUGCGGACAAGCUUGAUGAUGACUUGUUCAUCAGGCUAACCAUGGUUAUAGUAAAUGGUAGUGGUGGAGAUAACAAUAAGACUCUGAGUGCUUCAUUUAUGAGCAUGUUUCUUGGAGACUCUGAGAGGCUUCUCUCUGUGAUGAAUAAGAGCUUCCCUGAAUUGGGACUUAAGCAAUCUGAUUGCAGGGAAAUGAGCUGGGUUGAAUCUACCGUUUUCUGGGCACCAUUCCCAUAUGGGACAUCUCCUGAACGUUUGCUUUCUAGAACACCUCAAUUCCAUAAACACUUCAAGAGGAAAUCAGACUACGUCAAGAAACCGAUUCCGAAAGCUGGCUUGAAGUGGAUUUUUCAGAAGAUGAUAGAACUUGUUUCUCCAGCGUUGGCCUUUAACCCAUAUGGUGGAAGAAUGGGUGAGAUUUCGGCAUCUGCAACUCCGUUUCCUCACAGAGCUGGGAAUCUUUGGAUGGUUCAGUAUGCAACAGACUGGGACGAAGAAGGGAGUGAGGCAUCUGAACACCAUAUUGAUUUGACAAGGAAGCUCCACAUGUUCAUGACUCCUUUUGUUUCCAAGAAUCCAAGGGAAGCCUAUUUCAACUAUAAAGAUCUUGACAUUGGGAUCAACCAUAAUGCUAAUGGCAAGGCAAGCUAUUUGGAAGGAAGAGUUUAUGGUAUCAAGUACUUCAAGGAUAAUUUCGAUCGGUUGGUGCAUGUUAAGACCAAGGUCGAUCCAAGUAAUUUCUUUAGGAAUGAACAAAGUAUCCCAACUCUUCCGUACUAGGGAGGAAGUAUAGCUAUAGCUAGCUAGCAUUGUGACCAAGGAUUUGAUUGAUAGCUUGGGAUUAAGUAUGUACAUCUUUGAUUAUAUUUACCAAAGGAACUUAUGUGUCUAUAUACUUAAUAAAGAAAUAAAAAGGAAGAAAAUUAAUUCCAAAACUAUGUUACAUGGUUCAAAGAAAUUGCGUAGAAGAUUGCAACUUGUAACAAGAGUUUGAUUAUAACUCUUUCCUAAAUUGGUUUAUAGGAUUUGACCUUUUUUAAUUAACUUUACAAAAUUUGAAUUAUAUGUUGCAAUUAAACACAUUCGGGAAUUAGAACCAAGGGCGGAACUACACUAUGGCUUAGGUUGGGCUCUAGCCUAGUGCAAAGUUUGGGGAAAAAAAAAAAAAAUUAGUACUAAUUUUCAAGCAUUACACCACAUUUUACAAAAAUUAACCCAGCCCAUCUAAGCAAAAAUUAGCAUAUCAUAUCCAAGCAAAUCUCCAUUUAGCUAUACCUCAGAGAUUUCAAGUUUCAAGUUUGAGAAAAUGAAUAAAAUUUUAUUUAAAUCUUUACCGGUAUAAGAAAUAAUAGCCCAUUCCUAUAAAAGUUUUCUGUUAUGCCAUUGAUUAGAACAACCAAUUAGUUUGACUCUUGUGAUCUUUCUCUUCUCAAUAUUGAAAGAAACAUCUGGAGAAAAAUUUAGUUUGGAACUAAUUGGCUUCUCUAUAACAACAUCUGAAAUCUUAAAACUUUUACAUUAUUUUACAAGUUAGAACUACUCGAGAGUUCACUAAAAGAGUAGCUCAUUAUUCAUCCACAAGCUAUGUAACUAUACACUCUAUAGAUAAGCCAAAAUCAUCCUAAGCUCUGGAUUUCAGGUUCAGUACCUGCAAAAUCUGUUAGGGGGUGAGCGAAACCACAGCUCAAUAGGAACAUAAAUCUUUUUACAGGAAAUUAAUAUAAUUAAAUUAAGUGACAUAUAAUCAUAUAGCCAAAUAUCACAUUAUUAAUAAUAAUGCAUGAAUGUUCUUCAUCUAAUCCUGUUAAUUCAUAUAACUGGACAAGUAGACCCACACGUCCCAUACCAUGCUUAUACCACUUGGUCCCGGAUGUCCAUUUAUAUGAACUAACCCCCAUCUCAAUUAUCCCAUAAAUCUCCUUUUGUUAGUCAUCUUGUCUAACUCUCUGUUGCUAGUGCCGUAUCACCCAAUAAAAACCAUGUGCACUGUGGGAUCCCUGAGAUCUGGUACUUGCCAAGAGUUAGACUCAACUACCCAAAAGAUCAUUUCCAUUACCCUCUUUCUCCAUCAUUAUUUUGUCAACCCAACAAUUCUAGCCAAUUUCCAUGAUAUGAUAUAAUUAUGCCAUUCACAACAAUGUAACCAUUUAAAACAUCACCAAUGUAUAUAUAAUUAUGCAAACAUUGUUCAAAUAGUUAAAAGUACGUAAACAUCCAAUACAAGGAACGUCAACCAAACUGUAAUACCAUGCAUAAUAUAAUGCUCACGAAAUUUAAUUAAAUCAAUCUCUAUAAAAGGCCCCCAAGAAACCCCCUACCUUGACACCAAAGCUUUUACUAGAAUUGUAAAACAACUCCCUAAUUUCCACCACAUCCUCACUCAAAUUCUCUAUAAAACAAAAAUGUUCUUGAAAAGGAAUACAAAUAAACUUCAGAUAAUAUUUCCCUAAUGUUGUAGUUGAUGGUGGGCCAUAUAGGUUUUUUUCUUCCUCAAAAACCUUUUGCCAGAGACAGCAGAUAAUUUCACCCAAAAAAAAGUCCGCAGAUAAAGAAAAGAAGAUAGCACUUUGAGAAAAAACCAAAAGGCAUCAACUUCUUGUGGUUUAUCAUUAGUUUUUGUUCAAGUUACUGGUUGUGGUUCCACCCCUGUGGAGGACAGUAAAUUACUGUCAGAAAUCAAUUCUUGAGUUUACUGAGCAAACAACAUUACAAUGGAUGAGAGAGAAAUCACAGGGGAGAGUAUAAAGUCAAGAAAUUUGGAAUCGAAAAAAAGGAUGUAUCAAAUCUUUUUCAUCUUGGAUGUGGAGAGAGAGAGAGAGAGAGAGAGAACCAAACCACUCAGAGACAAAUGAAGAAAAUCGUCAGAGGUAAGUUUUUAUGGGUUAGUGAUGAAUUUAGAUGUAUUUAAUAUAUAAUAUUAACAAAAUGUUGGAUUAAGUACAAAUUGAGUUCACCGUAAUUAAACACACACUAAUUCGGUGAAAUACAUGCAAAAGAACGACCACCACACCCAAGAAGGACGAUUGUCUCACUAGUUUCAAAAGAAGGAAGUUACAAACUAGAAACAUGAAUAGGAAAAUGUUUGUACCCAAUUUUCGUAAACGGGCCAAAAUUGGUAUCAAGUUUUAAAAAAUAUAUUUCAAAACAAAGCUAGGCCCAUUAGCAUUUGUUUUUUUUCCUUCUUCUGAAAAGCCAUCUUCUUCCCAACUAGGCCUCUUUGAAUAAAUCAAUAAAAAGGCCCAAGUCAGGAAAGUCAGACUUCUAUCUCACACUACAAGUUAAAAGAUUGGUAAGCGUGUUUUCUAAGCCCACGUGGGAGGCCGAAGGAGAUUAUCGCAUUUAAUGACUGUUUUCUAAGCCCACAAGUCGUACUGAAGCCCCCAAAACCAGAGAAGGUGAAGAUUGCCAGCCGGGUUUUCAAGUACAAAGAAGUCAAAUCAAGAAAGAUCCACAAAGGAAACCGACAGUUCUUGCCAGAAAUCCUCCAUCAUUCCCUCUAUGAACUAGUUAAGAUCGACGAACUAGCAGCUGACCUGAAUCACAAGCCAAAGGUCUUGUCGUAAUUUCCGUCAUUACAAGUUCCUCCACCUCUAUAAAUAAUAAGAGUCUGCCUCAGAAAAAUAGGACUUUCUCUCCAAAACCAGACGCAACGUCUCAAAGAACACUCGAAAAAGACUCUCAAAAUAACAACCUGCCUACUUUUUUUAAGAUAACCAGUCGACGGCUCUUGCGUUUAUCUCUUGUAACUCUGCCAUGUCCAUGGUAUGAUUUUCUUUUAAGACGUAUGUUGUUUCAAUUCAUGUAAUCAUUUGACUGGAUUGAGAAAUCUCCAGUAUCUUUUUCUUUACUCUAUGAUUCCAAUUUAAGGAACAUAAUGGAUUGACUGAAGAACCUUCUGUUAUUUAAUUUAAAUCUCAAAGUAAAUAUAAGUUACAGAAGGAUCUAUAUAGAUAAAUUUCAUUUAAUCAUCUAAGAAAACGGAUCAUGGAUAAUUCUAAUAUAUAAAAUUGGAUUCCUGCCCUUUUGCCCUUCGAAAAGUCCAGAGAAACCAAUAUUUGGGCCCGAAAGAGAACAGGGGCCCGAACGAAACAGUAAAAGAAAAAGGAUAGGAAGUUGAGUUGGGCCCGAAAUUGCACCAUUGGGCCCGACCUAACUACCAAAUCCAGUUUGAAAACAAGAAAAAUAUUGAAACAGGUUAAUAGAACCCAGGCAGGGUUUUUGUUAACUAUGAACUUGGUCUUGCUUUAUUGCCGGUUCAGAUAUUGCUCAUACUUGCCAAGGCGAUAUUCACGGAGGGGAGAAUAUUGAAGUCCUCUUAAUUGAGGCAUAGAAAAGAAUCAAUCCAGGCCAGUACCCCCCCUGGAGCACAAUGGCUUGGUAAGAAGUCCAGGAAAAAGGCGCAAGCUCCUUCAGCAUUAAUCACUCAUCUCCAUACUAGAUCUAUUGGGCUGGUCAUAUACCCAGUAGUGGCACGCCUAGGCAACAACAAGGAUCAGUACUGAGAAGAAGUUGACAAAUAGGGCCUUGAUUGGGCCCGUCUGCUUCUGGCAAACUGAUUCAUUUUCAAUUUUGUUCAGAAAUUGAAAGAAUUCUCUCUGCGAGCCAAAAGACACCAUCCGAUCGGGGCAUAGGUGUUGAUCCAACGAUUUCUCCUCGUUCCUCAGAGCAGAGCUGACCCCUGUGGUUGGUAAAAGGACGAAAGGCGAAAAAAAAAGGACCAACAGAAAAGAAGUGCAAAAAUGUAAAGUUGCUUGCAAAACCUAAAACUGUAAGUUCUAAUAACUCCUAGAUGUCAACAAUAUUGUAAGUUCUAAACUCCUAUGUGUCAGCAAUAUUGUCAAGGAUGGAAAGAACUAUUAAACGUGAAAUUAUAGAUUUAAAUAGUGCACUGUGCUUGCAUGACUUUUAUAGCUGGUUGUAAGAGGUUUAAGUUCAACUCAUAUAAAUGUUGAUAAUUAUAUUCAUAAUUGGUUCGAUAUCCAGUUAUAGCUAGCCAUCACAGUAAACAAUUUUUUUGGUUGGAAUGGAUAUAGACCUAGUAGAUGGGCAUAUAGGUAUCCUUACAUAUUAUAGUAUAGUUCAACAAAUGUAGAAGAAAAUGAGUUUUGUGGCCCGGGGUUAGACGGUCGACAAUAUAAUAGUAUUGGGGAAUACUCUAUUUUUCAUGAAAAGAACUCUAUCCAUCCUUUGGAGAUGUCCAGGUUGAUGAAGGAUACUUGAUUUAUAUAAAACUCAAUCCACCCAUGAUAAAACAACGUAUCUAUGAAUUAGUGUAAGUUCAAGAGAUACAACCUUUGCAUUAUUUUUCGCCCAGGCCUAGACGGUCGAGUGAAAGCAGAAGUGCAAGCACUUGAGCGGACGUUGCGAAUCCAGCCCUGAUCCUUGGCGUUUUAGGAUAGUUUUUCCUAUUAUUUUGGGGUUUUCUAGCCUAAUUUAAUAGGGUUUAGUUUCUUAUUCCUAGUUAAUUAGCAAAAGUCCUAUGCAUUAUAAAUAGGACUUUUAGGGCUAGGUUAAACAAGAGAGGAAAAUUCAAGAGAAAAUUUUCAAGAGAGAAACACAAGAGAAUUUAAAAGGGAAUUCUAGGGUGUUUUUUCAAGUGCAUCAAGGUUUGAGCAAGAGUAAGAGAAAAGAGAGCUAAGUGCUUGUGAGAGCUAAGGGGGUUCUUGAUUGUAACAAAAGUUGUUCUUACAUACUAGUGAAUUUCUCGGUUGGCUCACCAAGAGCACGUAGGCACCGAACCUCUAUAAAUCUUUGUGUUCUUGUGUAUUUUGCUUUCUCUCUUCAGUUUAUGUGUGUGUCAUCGCAUAGUCCAUCAAUGACAAGGUCUUGGAGUGUUUUCCACAACAUUUGGGAGCAGAAGAAGGCCUUAGGUCAAUCCAACUAACACUCCAUUGAUAAUUAGACUCGAAUAAAUCAACAGUAAAAGAAGGUAAUGAAUCUCUUAAUUACAACAUGCGCCAACAAUGAAUUCUUUUCGCUGAGCUGCACUAAAACAUAAACACCAACUUCCCCUUUACACAAUAAAAUUAAUUAUUUCUGCUCAGCAAAUGGAAAACAAAUGAUAAUUAUUUACCAGUAACAAUGAUAAUCAACUUUAUUUAAAGAAAAAGAAACAAACAAUGUACUAAUUUUCUAGUCUUACCGCUAGUCUCUCCUCUUGGCCCCUUCUUCAUGAGAAAGACUUCUACAAAACGGGGAUAGUACUAUUUUUCUAUCCUUAACCAAUAAUGAUAUGACAGACAUGUUAACACUUCAACACGGCAUAGUAUUAUUUGUCAGGACCCGUCCCGAAUUUUUCGAAACCCGAGACGAAUCCUAUGAAAUUCCCGACAUCACCCCGAUGUCUGGCCCACUUUUAAAACUAUAUCCUUUUUUCCAAAAAAGGAAUAAGGGCACGAGAUUUUCUGCCGAAAUUUCGGCAGAGUCUCCCCUAUAUAUUGGACAUUUCCCAAAAUUUCAACCUGCAUAAAACACAAUUUAUAUUCCCAACUGGCAGCAUGCACAAGAUAAUUUCAUGCAAUUCACAUAAACGGCCUUCGGACUUCCAAUAAUUCUUAACAAACUACCAAGCACGUUAUCAGCUCUAUUCAUACAUUAGACAAGGCAAACAAUAAAUUCAAAUAUGAAUACUAAAUACAACCUGCAUCAUCUAACUUUUUCAAUCUCAAUAUACGAGGUUUUAAUCUCCUAACACAAUCACAUCUAUGUCUGCGGCUGCACCUAACAACCUUAGGCUGCCUACGUACCCUCACUGAGGGAUCAAGCCACACGUAGUUCUUUCUUACUAAAACCCGAUUCCAAACAUAUAUAAUACCUUUAUUCAUCUCUCUGUAUUUCACAAUAUCUCCCCAUACGCCGGUACAACCAACGCCAUGUAUGAGGUCUGUCAACACGCCGGAUAACCUACGCCACGUGCGACCUCACCAUAUUAUCACAAUAUCUCCCCAUACGCUGGUACAACCAACGCCACGUAUGGGGUCUGUCUUAAAGCCGAAAAAUCCUACGCCACGCGAGACCUCAACAUACUAUCACAAUAUCUCCCCAUACACCGGUACAACCACCGCCACGUAUGGGGUCUGUCUGCACGCCGGAUAACCUACCCCACGUGAGACCUCACAUAAUAUCACAAUAUCUCCCAAUACGCCGGUACAACCAACGCCACGUAUGGGGUCUGUCUCAACGUCGGAAAAUCCUACGCCACGCAAGACCUCAACAUAGUAUCACAAUAUAUCCCCAUACGCCGGUACAACCAACGCCACGUAUGGGGUCUGUCUGCACGACGGAUAACCUACGCCACGUGGGACCUCACAUAAUAUCACAAUAUCUCCCCAUACGCCGGUACAACCAACGCCACAUAUGUGGUCUGUCUCAACGCAGGAAAAUCCUACGCCACGCCAGACCUCAACAUACUAUUACAAUAUCUCCACAUACGCCGGUACAACCAAUGCCACGUAUGGGGUCUAUCAACACGCCUGAUAACCUACGCCACAUGCAACCUAACAAUCAUAGCAUCUUCCCAUACGCCGGAAAUUUCAACGCCACGUAUGGGGUCUGUCCUCAAGCCGGAUAACCUACGCCACGUGGGACCUAACAAUCAUAUGGUGGUACUUACAGUGAAAUCAAUAUCUGGAGAGAUACCUAGGGUAGUGCGUAUAGCACUUCAAACUGACAUUCUAAACUCCUUUCAUACAUUUAUAAAUAUAUAUAAAUAUACAUUUUAAUUUCUAAUAUUGCAUAAACCUUAACCACCAUAUAGCAUCCGAUAAUCCCCCACUCUAAAACAUUAAAUUAAUAUCAUAAUCCCACAUAAACAACAUAAUUCAACUAACAAUCAAGACCUAUCUCUACGGUCAUUUAAAUCCUCCUGGGAAGGUGAGACUACCCCGGGAGACUCACAGUCAACCAAGGGUCAAAUUACCCCAAACUUGGUCAAACGAGCCCACGGGGCCCACGACCUCCAAAUUUCAAUCCGAAGGUUCCUAUGGGUUCUACAAGGUAUAGGACACUCGUCCUGCAAGUUUAGUCUAGAUCGGACCGUCGGAUCGCUCACGAUCGCACGAUCUGACGGUUAUUAAAAACAUAAACUUUAAAUUAUUAAAUCGGAACAUUCAGGGCUCCGAUUCACAAUCCGUGAAUUCCUACACGAUCCUAGAAUUGCCUAGAUUAACAUAUAUUAAAUUUAAGACCAUCCAACGGUCCCAACCUAUCGAACCCGGAUAACGCGCAAUAUGCGAAAUCCGUUCGGGGUUCGAACGUCAAUCAAAUUGGAAUCUGAGCACACCGACCCACUCGGGACAACAAGGGGAUUGCAUCGAGACACAAUGUCUCUUUUCUACAGUGCCCACGCGCCGCCACACGCGCCGGCAACGUGUGGGUGUCCAAAGCUAUUACUCACUGCCAGAAAAUCUCAAAAUCACGGCUCAAGACUCCUACCCUCGGUAUAACACCCUAUUUGGAACCACUUUUGUUCUUGAACUACCCCAAAAACUGACCGGAAGUGGCCGGAAUCUCGAUCCCAAAACUGGCCGAAUUCCAAUUUUGAAAAUCAAGCUACCUACGCUCAAAAUUGAUGCAAUCCUACCCAACCACCGGCUAGAUCAUGGAAAAUAGGUAGAAAAGCAUACCUCACUCGUCAAAUUUGGUGGAGAAUUGAGAGAGAACGAGCGGUUGCAAAAUUUGUGAAAAUCGGCUCGUUUUUUAUGGAACCCGGCGGCUGGCGGGCUGCUCGCGAAGGGAGCGGGCUGAGGCGUGACGAAGGGGUCGGGCUGGUCAGGUUGGUACCGGUGCCGUGGCCUGUGGUGGCCGGAACCGGUGGCUGCGCAAAAACUGGUCGGAGGAGAGGGCUGCGCUCGCGGGAGAGAGAGAGAGAGAGAGAGAGAGAGAGAGAGAGAGAGAGAGAGAGAGAGAGAGAGAGAGAGAGAGAGAAAUCUAAUUUUUAUAAAAAUACCAUUUUGAAAUAAUUACGAUUGUGCCACUGGGUUUCUCUUGACCAUAUCUCUCUCAUUACAACUCCGAUUCGAGCCCACCACGUGUCUACGGAUUCAUCUCAGUACAACCUACCCAAAUAUACCAGUCAUUACCCCAAACCCUUUUUGGAUAAGAAAAUGACCAAAAUACCCCUACCCCAAGGGUAAAUUUGUAAUUUCACUUAAAUAAUUUAAAUAAGGGAUUAAAUUUGGAGUCGGGGUGUUACAUUAUUGGUCGGAGAUAGCAAAACAAUGUUAUUCCAGUUGCAACUAAAUUUUUCUCCAUAUUCACGGGUCAAGGCAGACAUUAAUUUUCUUCACGCCCUGUGGAAAAGAAAAUGUGUCCCCGAGUGUUGAAAAAUCUAGCUCUGCUUGUUCGUGGCAAUUUAGGGGGAUUUAUUAAAACACAUUUCAAUGGCCCUACAGUUCAGUACAGUUGCACAUUUAGACUUUAAUGGCAUAUCCUGUGCUGUAAAUUCUACCUCUGUUUGUUCGUGGCAGCUUCUUCUUGGGUUGUCCUCGGCCAACUGCUAAAACGAAGGACAUAUAUCUUCAUACAACAAAUUAAUUUGGGAGUUUUGAAGUAAUAACUUGGUUUUGUUUGUUUUUUUCAAAACAGAAACAUCGGAAACCUCUUUAGUUGAAAUAUACUUUUGGAAUGUAGAAUUAUAAGGCAUUUAAGUGAUUUAUUUAGUUCUUCUGAUCUGAGUUAGGGCACUUAAUUAGGAUUAAGUAGUUUUUUUAUCUUUAAAUAGUAUUUGGCUGAACUCAAUUGGGGACCAAGGCCUUUUCCAAACUCCCCUCAUAGUCGACCUUGGCUUCACCGUCUACCCAUACAGACAUAAACGGAGUCUGAACAGGCUUUCGACUAAAACAUGAUCAUCAGAGGAUAAAUGUUCAAAUCGUUACUUUUAUGACUUAGUUUUUUCAGAGAUCACUUUUGAAUGGAAAUCAUCAAGAAUGUUUUAUAUCAUUGAAUUAAUGAUGAAUGGGCCACACAAUGAAUCCCUCAACUGUAUAUAUGGUCAAAAUUAUGUAACUAGAUUAUAAAAAAAAAAAUUACGUUUGUUGACUAUAAAUAAAUCUAUACCACAAACAAACUCAGCGAAAAAUCAACUUGAUAAGUUACCUACUCAAAUUCAUAUUCAUAAGACUAGUUGUCUUGUCACUUGUAUAUAACUAAGGCCCAAGCUCAUCAAAUUCGAAGCAAAGCAAACUGAGACAUCCCAAUUAUGAAGACCCCAGUAGUAGUCCUCAGCCUCAGCUUAACCAUCCUUUCCUUCGGAGGUAAACAAGCUUCUUAUUUUCUUUACGUUUUUCAUUUUGGCCAAACGAUAGAAGCUUCUUAUUAAGUGUGGUUUGUGAUUACUGCAUCAAAUUAAGUGUGGUUUACUUUGCAUGGCAGGUACAUAUGCGGCGACAAGUUUUUUCAAAAACAAUUGCGCCAACAUGGUCUGGCCAGGAACCCUAACCUCCGAGCAAAAACCUCAAUUAUCAACCACAGGGUUCCAGUUAGCAUCCCAAGCUAGCUUCUUGCUAGACACUCCAGUGCCGUGGAAUGGCCGCUUUUGGGCCCGAACUGGAUGCUCCACGGACGUCUCUGGAAAGUUCGUCUGCGCCACCGCAGACUGUGCCUCUGGUCAGGUCACGUGCAAUGGUAACGGUGCUAUUCCGCCGGCAACUUUAGCGGAAUUCAAUAUUCCAACAGGCGGAGGACAAGAUUUCUACGACGUUAGUGUUGUUGAUGGCUUCACCUUGCCCAUGUCUGUGACUCCACAAGGCGGUACCGGAGACUGCAAGACAGCUAGUUGCCC
rnacentral:lncRNA from 1 species